CUUUGCCAACUGAGUUAGAAAAGAUUCAUAAUGUAUUCCAUAUAUCUAUGUUACGUCGUUAUCGUUCCAAUCUUUCACAUGUGAUUUCACCGACAGAGGUUGAGAUUCAGCCAAACAUGACUUAUGUUGAAGAACCGGUAAAAAUUUUAGAUAAAGAGAUCAAGCAACUAAGGAACAAAAGUAUUGCACUUGUGAAGGUGUUAUGGAAUAGGCAGGGGUUGAUGAGGCUACAUGGGAGCUCAAAGACGCUAUGCGAAAACAGUACCCAAAUCUUUUCACAGGUAAGAUUUUCGGGGACGAAAAUCCCUAAAAGGGGGGAGAAAUGUAACAUCCUGAUUUUGGGCCUAGUCAGAAUAGUGGUUUCGGGACCACAAAUUCGAUAAGGAAAUAUUUAUUUUUACUAUAUUUUUAUGGCCUACAAUUUCACGGAAUGAUUUCAUGAAAAUUUCGUUCAAAAAUUUCGACAUUUGGACACUCAAUUUAGUCAAAAGGGCUAAAUUGUAAAACGUGCAAAAGUUAAGUUUUAUAUGUUAAAGGUAUUUAAUUGUUAUGGAACUAUAAAUUAGGGGUCCUUAUAUGGUAAUUAGACCAUUAGUUAAUGAUGGACAAAAAUGGACAUGAGAUAAGUGAAAUAGGAUUUUUUUUAGUAAGGGCAAUUUUAGUCAUUUAGUAAAUAAAUGAAUUAAAAAAGGAAAAAGAUGUGAAAAUUUUGUGUUCAUCAUCUUUGCUUGCUGCCAAAUUUGAAAGAAGCCAUAGCUAGGGUUUCUUCACUUUCUCAAGCUCAUAGUAAGUGAUUCCAAGCCCUGUUUUUAAUGUUCUUUACGUUUUGGAAUCCCGGUAGCUUAAUUUAGCUUAUUCUAGCAAUAAUUUAACCUAGGGUUUAUAUUUGAAAAAAUACCCAUAGGUUAAAUAUGUUUAUUUUGAUGUUUUAUGAUAGAAUAUGAAGCUAUAAAUUAUGUUAAACAACUUUUGCUAGUCGAUUUUAAGUGAAAACGAGUAAAUUGACAUAAUCGGUAAAAUAUAUAAUGUUCAUAAGUAAGUGAUAGAGUAAGAAUUUGAUGUUGUCAUAGAAAGGAAAAAUGUUCAUCAUGUUAUGAAACAUAAGAAUAAGAGAUGAAGUUUAAUUUCUGAGCUUUGGGGCAAAAGUGUAAUUAUGUAAAAGUUUAGAGACAAAACUAUAAUUUUGCCAAAAUUAAAUCAAGGACUGUUUUGAUGAAUGUGAGUAUCAAAUUAGCUAAAUUUUCUAUUAUAGAUCAAGAAGAACGAAAUCCGGAGCUAGACCGGGGAAAGAAAAAGAUUGAGGACUAAAGUGUUAGAUUUGAUCACAUUUUUUGUAUCGAGGUAAGUUUACGGUAAAUAAAUACAAUAUUUUAAUAAUUAUUAUUAAUGUUGUUAUUUUCUAGCAAAUAUUUAUUUAUUUCAUGAAUUUAUUUAAUGUUGACUCAAGAAUGAGAUGACAGAAAAUCAGUGAUAAAAUGUCCCGUUGAAACAUAAGGAAUGUAUCGGAUACAAAUGUCAUGACAUUUGGGUAAAGAGGUCCCAUGUAAGACCAUGUCUGGGGCAUGGCGUUGGCACCGAGAUAAGAGGUCUCAUGUAAGACCAUGUCUGGGACAUGGCGUUGGCACCGAGAUAAGAGGUCCCAUGUAAGACCAUGUCUGGGAGAUGGUGUUGGCAUCGAGAUGAGAGGUCCCCCGUAAGACCAUGUCUGGGACAUGGCAUGGGCACCGAUAUGAGAACUCUCAUGUAAGACCAUAUCUGGGAUAUGGCAUUGGCAAUACAAAAAACAUCCCAUAUAAGACCAUGUCUGGGAUAUGGCUUUGGCAUGUUAUUAUCAGAUAUGAGACCCAAGUAUCCUUAAUAUUCCAAUCUGGCUCAACGGGCUAGAAAACAGAUUAUGUUCUAUGGAAGUUCAAGUAAAAGUAUAAUUAGCAACUUCAAGUGAGUUAUAAGAGUUAAGAAUAAGUUAUGAUAUCAGUGAGAACCAAUAUUUCAGCAAGAGAAGAGUAAGUUGUAAUCUUAAGCUAUCUAAAUAGGUAAGUAAAUAAACAAGUAAAUGAGAGUAAGUAAAGAGGAAACUUAAGAACAUGAUACUUGCAUAUCAUUAUUUGUGUUAAAUGUUGUUAUUUAUUUACUUGUAAACUUACUAAGCUUUAUGCUUACUUCUUUUAUUUCUUUUUCUUUCAUAUAGUAUUAUCAAGCAUAGUCGGGAUCUUGAAGACGACAGAGAGCGUUCACACUAUCAACCACCACAACUCGGUAUUUUAAGACGAUAAAUGUUUCGAGCUAUGGCAUGUAUAGGGACUUAGUCAUUUCGAUUGUAUAUUCUUAAAUUAUGACCAAAAGAUGAUAUGUAAAUAUUUUAUGACGAAUAAUUAUUAAAAUAGUUAAGUAUGAAGGUGUUUGUUGUUAUAAAAGUCUAGGUGAUAAAUUAUGCAUAGAAAUCAUGAAAAAGUAAAAAUUGGCAGUGAAUCAGUUUUUAGACAGCAGUAGUGACGUGAUUUUGAAAAAUCACCAAGGAUAGUAGAAAAUGAAUUAGAAAGUGUAUAAGAUAUAGAAUUAAAUAUUAUUGAGUCUAUUUUCAUAGAAAAAUAAUAGUGUAGACAAAGAAAUUAUGUAUUCUGAGAUAUUUGCAUUUUAGUUAGACAAGGUCAAAGUGGUUUUCGGAAUCCCCUGUUCUAUGUUUGGAAAAUCAUUAAAAAUUUUAAAAAAAUAUUUAUGAGUUGUAAUUUAUAUUUCUAGAUUCCUUAUUGAGUAUAUUUUCUCUAGAAACAAGUUAGAACACCAUAUGAAGUCUGUACAAUGAGAUAAUUAAAUUUUAGUAACGAGAGGUUAGGACAGUCGGUCAGUGAAAUUGGGGAGACUUUAACUAAUAAACUGUACUAAUUGGCUAAACCAAAAAUUAUAAAAAAUUUAUGGUAAAAAAACAUAUGAGUUUAGUUUCAGAGAAAAUUUACGGAUCUAAAUUUUGAGUUUCUUAGCUCGAGUUAUAAUUAAUUUAGUAUCUUCUGUGCAGGUGGACAGCUUUGUUGUGAAUAGUGAAAUUAAUUUUAAAAGCAAAUUUUUAUGCCUUAAACUAGUAAGUUAAGUCAAGUAACGCCUCGUGCUCGACUCCGUCAAUGGUCUCGGGUAAGGGUGUUACACAUUAUUUAUCCUUUCAUUUCACAAUUUAUUUUUAAUUCAAUAUUUCAAACAUGAACAAGAGGUGAAUAUUUACCUUGUAACGAAAAUUAUUUAUUUAUUUUAGCAGAGGCCCAGUAGAUUAAACAGAAUACUUAGGAUAUACGUAACUGAUACAGAGGUGCAUUAUUAUGCACUAUUAAACAGAAAGCACUAAAGUAUUAUACAGAGAACAUAAAUGUGCUAAUAAUUAGAGAGCACUUAAUAUCCUAAUAGUUCUAAUCUCGUCUACUUGGGCAAGUUAUUUCAUGCAUGCAUAUCACUUUUACACUUUUCUCAUAAUGCUUUUACAUGCUUUACAAAUUAAUUCUUGUACCACUAAUCUAUAUAUUUAUAUCUUCUCUACCUUUAAUACAUGUAUUAUAUUUCAAAAUUCAUUAUUCAUCCAUAAUUUUCUAGUAAUCCAUAUCAUGUACUUCAUAUAUCACGUUUACAUGUUUUGCAAUUUAGUCAUCAGCACAAUAUUUCUUGUAGCAAAACAAUACACUUUCUAAAUAUGCAUGCAAAACAGAAUAAUAACCGGUCAUAAACCGACCAGACCAACAGGGCUUUCGUCUAACAUUAUAAUUAGCUAACAUUCUCACAACAUAAGAACUCUAUCAGAACUGAACAAUUACACAUAUAUAUCUCUGAGAAUAAAAGAAUAUAUAUAAUAUCCAGAAAAGAUCAUCAUGUUCAUUUCGACUGUAACCUUCACACACAGACAUCUUUACCACUUAAUUACCAUUUCUCUGACUAAUUCUGUUAUCACACUUUAUUCCAUUCACUAAAAAAAAAACUUUCAAUUAAUACAUACAUUCUUUUAAGUAUCAUACCUCAAUAUUUUGUCUCAUAAAAUUUAACUUCUUCUUUAUUUACUCUCACACUUGUUUACUUACUUGCUUGCUUAAACAACUCAUGAUUAUAACUUACUCCUUCCUUAUUGAAAUUCUUUUCUUAACUGAUAACUAAAAUAUUUUUAACCCUUAUACUCACCUAAAUCUAUUUAUCAUACCUUUACCUGAACUUUCAUGUAACAUAAUUUCUUUACUAGCCGUUGAAUUACUUGAAAUACUAAAGAUACUCAAGUCUCUUAUCUAAAUAUAACAUGCCAAAGCUUUGUCCCAGAUAUAGUCUUACAUGGGAUGUUUCCUAUACUGCCAAUGCCAUAUCCCAGGUAUGGUCUUACAUCAGAGUUCUCAUAUCGGUGCCCAUGCCAUGUCCCAGACAUGGUCUUAUGGGGGACCUCUCAUCUCGGUGCCAACGCCAUGUCCCAGACAUGGUCUUACAUGGGACCUCUCAUCCCGGUGUCAGCGCCAUGUCCCAGACAUGGUCUUACAUGGGACCUCUCAUCUCAGUGCCAACGCCAUGUCCCAAACAUGGUCUUACAUGGGACCUCUCAUCUUGGUGCCAACGCCAUGUCCCAAACAUGGUCUUACAUGGGACCUCUCAUCUUGGUGCCAAUGCCAUGUUCCAGACAUGGUCUUACAUGGGACCUCUCAUCUUGGUGCCAACGCCAUGUCCCAGACAUGGUCUUACAUGAGACCUCUCACAAUUUCAAUAAUGCCAAUGUCAUGUCCCAAACAUGGUGUUACACUGGCUCACAUAUCGAUGUCGAUGUCAUGUCUCAGACAUGGUCUUAUACGAGAUCGCAUGCUGAUGCUAUAUCCCAGAUAUGGUCUUAUACGGAAAUCACAUAUCAGAUGUUGCCACGGUCCAACCAUGGUCAUUUCUGUCAAUUCAUUACAUAUCACUGAACGAAAGUACUCAUUCCUAUGUUUUACUCAAUUUGAUCUCUCAAUUCAAUUUUCAUACUAUUAUAAUAUUCAUGGUUCAAUAGCAAAGACAUAAAACAAACAUCAUAUUAUUUCUAAUUUAACAAUUAAACAUAAGAUUCUAUCAUAUAAACAUACUGAUUACACUUAUUCAAGCAAGUGUACAUAAACAUACAUUCCAUCUAUUUGUGUAUAUUUACUUACCUUAUUUACUUAAUCAAAUAUGUUGAGCACAUAACAUCAUAUGCGCGCCAAGCAAACGCAGAUGAGCAUAUCACCAUAUAAACUUUCAUUUUAUUCUACGUAUCUACAUUUCUGAACUCAUGGUUGUGUUACUUCAUACGUUAACACAUACUCAUCAUGAAUUUUCUAUUCAUAUCUUUCUAAAUUUCGUUUCAUCAUAAACACAUUUCAAUUACCUCAACAUCAAUUUUUUUUAGCAUUAUUGGAAACAACUCGGAUAGAAGUCAUCUCUGUCUUACAAAACAAUUUCAUUGGAGUUGAAAGAUAUUAAAUUAUCACGAGUAAUAAUAUGGCAUGUAUAACUAAACUUACAUACGCUAUGUUAGUCCAAGAACCGACUAAACCAUAGCUUUGAUACCACUAAAGUAACACCCCAAACCCGAUCUAAACGUUAUGACCGAAUCUGGCGAUGUCACAUUUUAACACCCCUUACCCGUAUUCGACGAUCGAAUAAGGUACGAGGCAUUACUAGAAGACAUACAUUUGCAUACGUAUUAAACCGAGUUACAACAUUUCAUCCGAAUUAAAACUUUUAAUUAUUAACGUGCUUUUAUAAUUCUUUACAACAUAUCCUCGAAAUAUUAUAUUCAUAACAAAUAGGGCCUACGAGACCCGAUAUUUACUCAUGUAAUUCAAAGCUUCAUUUCCAUUUCAUUCAAUUCACAAUUUCUCAUGUUCACAAUUCAAAUCAAUUUCUCAAUCCAAUAUAUAUAUUUCAAUCAUCUAAGAAUAUAAUUCAAGUUACACAAACUUACCAGGCUAAAUUACAGAAAUACCAACCUCAAAUUUUCACCCAAUCUUGAUAUAAAUUAAUAUUUCAUUCAAUUUUUUAAUUUAAAUAAUAAAACAAUUCAUUUCAUGCAAUUUGGUCACUUUUUGACAUUUUUACCAAUUUACCCUUAACAUACUACUUUUAUUCAAUUUAGGCCUUGAACCUAAAACAUGCAAAUUGGUCAUUUUUAAUGAGAACUCAUGCCAUUUGAAUAAUCAUUUCUUUUCCUCCUCCUCCUCUGCAUUCCACAUCCUUAAUGUAUAAUAUGCUUAUAUGUAACAUUAUUUAUAAUUUCACCAUUUAUUUAUAUAUUAGUUCAAAGCUGUCCACUUGAGUCAUAGUCACUAAAUUAUUUAUAUCUUUAGCUACGGAACUCCAAAUUAAGCUCCGCUAAAUUCCUAUGAAACUAGACUCACAUAUAUUCUUACCAUAAGAUUUUUAUAAUUUUUUGUUUGGCCAAUAAGUACAUUUUAUUCUAUAAAGUUUGCCCUAUUUCACUGUUUGACAGUUCCAACCCCUCUUCACUAAAAAUUAAUUAUCUCUUUGUAGAGAAUUUGGAUGAUGUUUCCGUUUAUUUCUAUUGAAAAUAGACUCAUUCAGGAUUUUUAACAUAUAAAUUUAAGCCUCUAAUUUUUUUUGUUAAAUUUUUUAUGAUUUUCCAAAGUCAACACAGGGGAACCCGAAUUCAUUCUGACCUUGUCUCACAAAAUUUAUUAUACCUCAUGAUUUACAAUUCCAUUGCUUAUAUCAUUUCUUCUAUGAGAAACUAGAUUUAAUAAGAUUUAAUUCCAUAUUUUUCUCAUCUCUAAUUCGAUUUCCAUAAUUUAUGGUGAGGUUUGAAAGUUAACCUAUUGCUGCUAUCCAAAACUGUUUUAAUGCAAGAUGUUGAUUACUAAGUUUAUAACUCCCUAAUUCCCUUUCUCUAUAAUAUUUCCCACCAUUUUCACUUAUUUCCCUUCACUAAUAUAUCAAGAACAUAAGACUUUAUUUAAGAAAACUCGACUAUAACAUCAUUUCCAUGUUUUUUCAACAAUAACAAACUUAAAAAUAUAUUGAAAUCUUGAUGUUCUUACCUUGUGCUAUUGAUUUAAUCUUUAACUUGAUUUUGUCUCUCCUCCAGCUUCUAUUUCUUGAAUCUAACUUGACAUUCUAGCUCCCCAUUGUCUCCUUAUUAUUUUUCUCUCUUGGAAGCUAUGGAAAUUCUUUUCAUUUCUAGGUGAAAAUAGUGAAUUUUUGGUGAAAGGACCAAAUUGUAAAGAAAGCAAAACUUUCUUUCUUCUCUUCUCUUCUAGCAUUGGUUGCAUGAAAAGAUGAUAAUUUUUUCAUCCUCUGUCCUCCUUUUUAUAUUAAUCAUCUAAUAAUAAACUAAUACCAAAGAUAUUAAUAAAAUAUUAAUUAAAUAACAUUUAUCUAAUUAAUUAAUUAAAAAUAUCACAAACAUCAUCAUUACCUUUUAGAAUUCUCUCAAUAUUUGACCAUUUUGCCCUUUAUAAUCUUUUGAAAUUCCAUCCUUGAGUCAUCACUUAAUUUGAUAAAAUUGCAAUUUAGUCACUCAAAAUUCUUCACCUUUUUAAUUUGGUCCUAAUUCAUCCAUUUUCUGUAGUUUCUAGAUUAUUCCACCCUUAAAAUAGUUACACUAUUAGUCCUUGAAAUUUUUCAUAUUUACACUUUAACCCCUCAAAUUUUGAUUAUUUACUCUUGGGCAACAAAACUUUUCCCACUUUUCAAUUUAAUCCUUUCUUGAAUUAAUAUGUCAUAAUAUACUUCCCGAUGUUGACAUCACUCAAUAUUACCCUUUUUAUCACUUUAUUUCCUUAUUUUACUAUAUCAAGGAUAUCAUCUUACUUUCUUACUGUAGUAAUUUUCAGGGUAUUACAAAACUCAAAUGCAUAUAACUCAAAUUACCUUUCAAAUGAAUGACCCACACUAAUUAAAACAACUAAGUCAAUUUUAUCUAUCGAAUAAUAACAUUUCAGAAUAAUCCUUUGUUCUUGUUGUCAAGACAACCCAGACAUACAAUCUAUCAUAAUUCCCUCAUAAAACCAAUCAAAAAUCUCAACAAAUUGCCUUAAGUCAAACGAAACAUAACAUCUCGUUUUAACUCGUUGACAUAAAUUUAGAUUACCUGAGGAAUGAGAACCGAUAUACAAGUUUAAGCUCAAUCUUCCACCAUUCUACACUUUUGUUGUUGACUAUCCUUUUCAUGAAAGCUAGAAAUGAGAUGUAUAAUAAAACUAUUUCAACUAAUAACAUCGAAACUUUAAACCACACAAAAUCCGCCACCAUCAGAUGAAUUAAAAGCACAGUGUUAUAAUUUGCAAUUGUAUAGAUAAAACAAUACCUCAAAUAUCAAUAGUGUAAUUCGAGACCAAAGAGAAAAAACCAAAUGUAGUCCCAAUAACAACUAGUGCAGUAAUACCACCUCUAUAAUCUGGGUUCUAUAACAUCGUUCUCCCAUUAUCAAAUUAGGAAUUAUAACUAUAAUAAAUGUUUUUAUCUCCAGCAAUGAAUAUCCCUUACAGAUGAACCAUUUUUAGUAGAUUAAACAAUAAGAAUGAGAAGAUAAACAAGAUAACGAAAUCCAAGAUGUGGAGCUCUACUGAAUCUUUGAGAAUACAACCCAUAUUGAAUGAUAAAGUGAUUUAUGAUACCCUAGAGAAAAUCUAGAAGAUGAAUAUAGCUCAUCUGCACUGGAACCAGUUGUGACAGACACAACAUAAUAGAAUCUUCUACCGAACAUAAUAAAAUAGAAUGUCAAAGAAAGAUAGAGAAAUACUGAUCAUUAAUUAACCAGACUAACAAUACUUCCGUCUAACAUUAUGAUUAGCUAGCAUUCUCUUAUGAUAAGAAUCACAUCCGAAAAUGAACAAUUGAAUAUACCUCUAAGGAUAAAAGAACAUAUAAAAUACCCAAAAGAGAUUGUCAUAAGUUACUCGACUAUAAUCGCUACAUUCAAAUAUCUUUACAAUUCAAACAUUAUCCCACUGACUACUAAAUUCAUCGAUAAUCUCACAUUAACCCAUUUCACUAAUGAAAUUAAUUCACAAGAAAUUCGUGUUAAUUUGUUCUUUAGAUACCAUACCUGAAUAAGUCACUUACCUGUGAAUAACCUCUUCUUUAACAGUGACAUUGCGUACCCCGAGUGAUCUUCAAAAGAAUUGAUAUCCUUUCUAAAGCUCUCUUUACUUGCUAACCUGAUGCGAUCAUGGUCCAAGACCCAACUAAGGCUGCUGAAGAACCCAUGGAGCUACCAAGGGACUGAUUACUCGUGCUCGAGCUAAGAGGUUCAUGGAAGCUGUUGCAGGCUUUAUUGAUCGAAUUUGGGGUGAAGUCGUUGCGGGGUUUAUUGAUCAAUCAUUGACAUGCACUCCAAGCAUGCCAUGCAACCUACUUCAAGCUCAACUUUAGUUUUCUCCAGCUUGUGAAUUUAUUUGCUGGAAUAAAGAAUUAAAUUCGGUUCUAGUUAUUUUAGUUAAAUUAGUUUAAGUAUAUAAUUAUGUCAUAAUCUGAACAUAUUUAAUAAGGGUUUUUAAUUAUGUCAUAGUUUAGGACAUUUUAAAUACAUAAUUUAAAUAUGUCCUAGUUUGGAAAUCUUUAAUAUAUGUGUUUAGUUCAGACAAAUUAAAUUAUGUUUAAGCUGUGUUUAAUGUGUCUUGUAGGGUGAUCAAUGGACGGCAUUAAAUGGGGAAACAUGCAUUUAGACGUGCAUGCAUGGAUGCUGGUUGAUCUCUUCCAAGCAACUUUUCAUGGAAUGCAAUGGACACAAGUGCUUUCACAUUAUUCCAAUCAGCUGGAUGCUAUAUUCACACUAAGUGACCAUCCAAUUUUGAGUUUUCACACCUGAAGAGAUGUUUAUGUGCCCUAUGCAACAUUAAAAUGGAGACUGCACAUUUGGCUUUCCAAAAAGGCAUCAACCAUGUUCACACCAUCCAAAAUUGAUCAUCUAAUUGAACCAUCAGCUCAAAUUAAAGGCUACACGUUUUGGCUAUUUGGGGAGUGCAAAUGACAUGGCUGUUGGCGUCACCUAUGCAUGAGAGUCUUCAAAAGUCAUGUAGAAUAGGUCAAUAGUUAGUUAACUCAAUUAAGCUGAAUUAAAUUAGUCCACUCGGCUGGACUUCUGUAAAGCUAUAAAUACUAAGCUCAAAUCUUGUAUUUGGAACUUUUGAUCCUUUAGUGAAUUUUAAUCUAUUUGUGAGUUGUUCAACUCUCAUUGUUCUUUUGUGACUCAAAUUGACUUAUCUAGCUAGUCUAGUGGCGUCAAUCUAUUUCUCUUUGUGAACUUAUCACUCUAAUGAAUGUGGCGUUCAACCUAUACCAACUGGUUCCUAUCUCUUAUAAAUAGUAGGUCACGGUUAAGCUAUCAAGUCCAUUUUCAACUUAAGAGCUACUAUAAGAAUUAGUUAAAUAUUACCAUAUAAUAUUGGUUCUCUCUUUAGCCUUAAGCCAAACCUAUUUUUGCCACCUCUAUCCAUUAAAAAUUCCUUUGUUUCUAGCCAACUUUGUUCGUUUACAACCCUUUCAAGAACUAAGUCCAUACUUCUUAAUUUUACGAUCGAAAAUAUAAGAUGCUCGAUUUGCCCAACGAGUACGAGAUCGCAUCAUAACCCAUUCUCGACUCUGACAACAUUAUUAUUCAUUCAGUCACUAAUCUUUUUGAUUUCAUACUUGUAGGCUUAACCAAAAAAAAUCUUGUGAAUUCCAUUGUAUACAACCUUGAGGGUGGGGGUGGCGAUCGUAAAGCCUCAAAAUUUGACUCUUGCAUAUAUAAACACAUAGCAUAGCAUUCCUCAUUAACAUAAUCAUUAUAAAAGUUUAUGUAUACCUUCAUAAGUUUCUACUCAUCCUUGACAACUUUUUUACCCAGAUACUUGAGUAUCACAUUCAGCAUUAUCGGAAUUAGCUCGGUUCGAAAACAUUUUUGUCUAAAAAUAAAACAAAUCUCAUUAAAGUCGGGAGAUAUCACACUAUCACAGGUUAUGUAGUGGCAUGUAUUUCUAGACUUCAUACAUGCUACAUUCAGUCCGAGAGCUGACUAAACUGUAACUCUGAUAACACUAAAUGUAACACCCCUAACCCAUAUCUGUUACAGAAUUAGGGUUAUAGAGCAUUACCAAAAACUUUUAAUUUAAAACAUUCAAUUACAAUCAUUUAUAAAACACAUCAUAUUCAAUUCAAACACAAGCAUAAUGUCCCUUUUUCAAGCCCUCGAGGCUUUAAAAAAUCUUUAGAAAUAAUUCGGGACUAAAUCAAAAAAUUUAGAACUUCAUGAACAAAGAUAGAAAAAUUCAUACUACAGUGGUCACACGGCCGUGUGACCAGGCCAUGUGACUCACAUGGCUAAGCACACUCCGGUGUCUCAAGUCGUGUGGGUAUUCGAAGUAGGGACACACGGUUGUGUCCCAGCCCGUGUCCGUGUCACUAUCUUACUUGGGUCACACAACCAAGCCAUACGCUCAUAUAUCAGGCCAUGUAAUGCUUGAAAUGUAACCAAUAAAAACCUACAAGGGACACAAGACUGUCUUGCGUGACCGUGUGUCACACACGGUUGAGACACAUGCCCGUGUCUUAGGCUGUGUGGAUGAGAAAUAGGCCAUUUUCAAGCCAUUUCAUUCACUCUAAACAUGCUCACACACACAAACCAUUUGUACCUAUUUCAAACAUCAAAAAAAUGUACCUAAAACAUGCAUAAUGUAGUUAAAUCAAAAUGGCAACUAUAUAUACAACCAAUAUGCCAACAGGCACCUCAAUCAGAACGAUCAAAUAUACUUAAACAUAUGCAUAAUUUAGCCAUCCCUAAACCAUACAUUUCUAAUCUAAUUCAAUACCAAUCUUACCACAAUGACCACAUGCCAAAGUCACAUUCAAACAUACCAAGUUUCUCAUUCAAAAAUGCAUUAACCCCUUAUCAAAAUAACACACACCAAAUAGGAAUCAAAGGUACCAAGGUUACAUCAACCAAAAUGACAUAUGCAUGUCAAACUCAUCAACUAACAUGAAACACAAGUCCACCUAUACAUGUCAUUAUAACUUUGAUUUGGACACCAAAAUCUACCAUUAUAAUCGUUGGAUAGUGUGAUAGAUCUCUGACUAGCUUCCUAACCGAUCGAGCUUCCGAUAAUCUGUAAAGUAAGAGAAAGACAACCACACAAGCAAUGAAUGCUUAGUAAGCUCAUAUAAAUUUUAAACAUAAAAUUCCAUUUUUAUACAUGAACUUUAUAAGUCAUAAAUAAACCUAUACCAUUGCUUCAAGAUUUAUCAAACUAUAUAACUAUCAACUCACAAAUGAAUAGGUUCAUUAACAUCUCGAAUACUUUCUAUUCAUACCAUAAUAAAGUCUUAUAAGCUGAAUUACAUAAUCAUCAACCUUUUCUUAAAAUAGUGAACCAUUUCAUUUACUUACUUACCAUUCCAUUUACUUAGCAUAAGCUUAAUUAUGUAUCAAUUCACGAAUCAGUAUACCUAUUCAUGACAUAAGUAAAUUCCUUCCUUACAAGUAAGUCCUUUAACUUGACAAUCCUUUUUAUUUCAUCAUAUUUCGUCACAUCUAUGAACUUAUCAUUUCCAUAUAUAAUCUCACCCGUUUCAUUUGUAUAACUCACAAGAUAUAAGCAUAAACAUCAACCAUAACCACAAGCUAGUGCACUUAAACAUAACUCCUUCACAUUUAACUAAUAAUCAUUCUGUAAUUCAUCAUUCAUCUCAAACUUUCCAAUAAACAUGUAAUCUGGAAUUACUUACCUUCACUAAAUAAGAUUAAAUCUAAAUGAAUAAAUUAAUCAUACCUGUUAUACAUUUACAAAGCACUUAUAGGCUUAGUAUUGAAAAUGAUUCAUCGCAUGCUUCCUGUACUAUAAUAGUUCAACCCAAACUCAUUUAUAUAUGUAUAUAAACAUAUAUAUUUAACUAAAUAAUCAUCAAUAUAACGGUACUCACAUAUGAUCAAGUAAUUCAUUGAACAUUUAACAUUUAACACUUACUAAUUUCUUAACUAUACAUUAGCCUUUAACAUUAAACUAAUUUUAUAAAUUUCAUUCACAGUUAGCCCGAUGAACUAGUAACUUGAAUAGUAUACUCGGGUGGCUACACCACACCAAAGGCAUCAUAGAUGCAUAACAGGGGCACCAUAGUGCGAAUAGAGGCACCGAAGUAUAUAUUGGGGCACUAAAGUGCAAACUGGGGCACUGAAGUGUAACUCUUGUACAAGUGUGCAUUCUAACCCUAUUGGUAUGCCAAUCGUAUGCUAGUGAUUACUACAUUCAACCAGGCAUUUCACGUAAUCCAUUUAUUUUAAACAUAUUUAUCAUUCAAGGGCACGUCAUUAUUUUCGUACACAUGAUAUAAUAUCAAUACAUAUAUUCACAUUGUCAAUGUGCCAUUACAUAGAUUAACAUCAUCUAUUUAUCACUUUCAUCUUUCUCGAUACACGUGCUAUAAUAAUUCAUAAUCAUGCUGAAAUCACAUAUAUAUCAUAUCUCAUAAAUAUUCAAUAGUUUUCUAAUAAAUCCUUUCUCACCUUAUAUUCAAUUAUAAUAUUUCGAGUUUCAGCUCACAUUUUAAACAUCAUAUAUAAGUAUAUACAUUCAUGAAUCAGCAUUAACAUUAUUUAUAUAUAUAGGUUUGUACAAUUCUAUACCUACGAGCUUACCUGGCUAAAUUACAGAAAUGUCAAAGUAUAGGGGCAUUUUGGUAAUUUUCCAUUCUCCUCGAUUUUCCACCCGACAUUGAUCUAAAUUAAUAAUUGUAUUCAAUCUAUUAAUUUAGAUAGUAAAAUAAUAUAUUUUAUACAAUUUAGUCUUUUUGACAUUUUUACAAAAUUACCCCUAAAGUUUCACUUUUACUCAAUUUAGUCCCUGAGCCUAAAACAAGCAAAUUAACCAUUUUUACCCAAAAUUGAGCCCAUCUGAAUACUUAUGCUCUCCAACACAGGCCAUUCAUUCAAUAAUUUCAUAACAAAUCCUUAUAUUUUUACUAUUUUAACAAUUUAGUCCCUAACAUCUAAAAUCACAAGGUUCAUCAAUGGCAAUAUUAAAAAUCUUUAACAGUUUCAAAAUCGAAGGUACGGGCUAGCUAUAACUAAUUGCAACGAUCUGAAAAACAUAAAAAUUAUUAAAAAUGGAGCCAAAAUCACAUACCAUGCAAUAGGAAAACCACUAUGGCUAAACUUAGCUUAAAACCUCCAUGGACAUUCAUUUGUUUGAAGAAGAAACUGAAAAGAUGAUAACCAAUUACCUUUUCUUUUUAUUUUAUUUUAAUUUAUUAUACCAAAUUACCAUUUUAACCUUAGUUAAUAAGUAAAUAAAACAUCAAAUUCAUAUCCAUUAUUGUCCACUAACACCUUGAAUGAUCUAAUUACCAUUUAAGUCCCUUUUCCUUUAUUCAAUUAACCAUUUAAUCGCUCAAAUCAAAUAGUGAUUAAAUUUUACAUCUUUUUCUAAUUUAGUCCUUUAUAAUUAAUUAACUAUCGAAACGUUAAAAUUUUUCAAGGAAACUUUAAUACCACCUGAAUGACACUCCAUAAAUAUUUAUAAAAAAAUUAUGGUUUGAUUUAUAGAAACGAGGUCCCGAUACCUCAUUUUCUAAACCCACUUGACCUUAGGGUCUUACCACUUGAACCUAUUAAAUCAUUUAUAUAACAAAAAUCACUAUAUCACAAACCUUUUUAAAACCAUGUUUGGCUCGUAAAUAUUAAAUGAUAAUAUUUACGAACUUAUUCAUCGAAUUUGGUGGCCCCGAAACCAUUGUUUUCGACACUACUGAAAAAUGGGCUGUUACAUCUUCUCCCUUCUAUUCAAAAAAAAAAACCAUUGAUGCCUUGCUCUAGAAGCUAAUCAGGGGUUUCUCACUAAUAUGAAACUAAAGAUCGGAGUUCAUGUAUAAGGUUGUUUCUCACACGGGGUAAGUAUUUUGGACUCACGUGUUGUUUUUAUAAGAAUGUGUUUGAUUAUGUACGUAAAUGGGGAAAAAAAGAACUAAGGCCUUGCAUGGUGAAUAUUUGUGCUAGAAAUAAGGGUGAGAUUUGAUAAUAUUCCUAUGUCUUAUAAACAGUAACUUUUAAGGGUCCGCAAGAGGAUGUGCGAACUUGGGGAUCAAGCUGUUGUUUAUGGAAGUAAGGUGAGUCCCUCAAUUGAUCAUUACAUGUGUAUUAUGCUUAUCUAGAAAAUUCUAUGUUAAAAUUCUACGCUAAGUGGCCAAAGCAUGAGAUUGGAACUAGUAAAGCAUGAUAUGACGAAUCUAAUAAGAAAUGUAAGACUUAUGAAACUGAAUGAAUAUGGUGCUUAUGUCUGAAAGUAAGAAGAUCGAGUCUGAUAGGAAGUGCAUGUGUGUCUGGUAAACAUAAGAAUGUCCAUCAUAAGUGAGUUAAUACGUGAUGAGUCUGUGUUUAUCUCCAGAGUCGUCAAAGGGAUCCGUUAGGACAAAAUCACAAAUCUUUGAAAGGAAAAGUCCAUGUCCAUGGCACUACAGAAGACGAUAUCAUGUAAUACCAUAAUUGGUGGGUUAUGACAUCAUAUUUGAAGAAGAUCAUAUCGUGUAAGACCGUAACUGGUGGGUUAUGGUAUCAUAUGGAAAAAAUUUAAGGAAGGUUAUUGCCUAAUGUGGUUCUCUAUGUGUCCUAGGACAAUAAGGGGAAAACCUUACUAAGUGUGAGUCUAGACAAAUCCCUAUCGCCUAAAUCACCAGGAGAAGAAAAUCCUUUGUGGCAAAACUUUGGAAAGGCAAGCCUUUGUGGCAAACCUAUUAAAGGAUAACCUUUGUUGCAAAACUUUAGAAAGGCAAGCCUUUGUGGUGAAACUCUGAAAGGACGCCUUUGUGGAGAGACUCUGAAAGGAAAAUCUUUGUGGCCACUACUUAAUGAAAAGGAAGCCUUUGUAGAAAUAUCUAGAUAAGGAAGCCUUUGUUGAAAUCUCUGAAUUAGGGGGCCCUUAUGGCAAUAUCUGGAUAAAGAAACCUUUGUGGCUAUCUCUAAAAAGGAAUGUCUUCAUGGUGCCAUCGAAAGAAUGACACUUGCAGUAACCAUUUGAAAGAAAUGCCUCUGUAGUGGACUCUGAACAAAAAGAAAGAAACCCAUGGUGAACUCUAACAAAAUGGCGUAUAAAGUCUCUUGAAGGAACGAUAAGUAUGGUGAACUUUGAAUGAAAGGCUCCGUAAGAAGUGUUAUGGCUAACCCAGUAUAGUAAUAUGGUAAGAACAACGAGACUAGAGUGUGCCAACGUAAGUAGUGAACCCAAGGUCUUCUAUCUGUAAGGCCCUCUGUAAUAGAAAUGGUUAAGAAAUCACUAAAGAACAAAAUGAAGAAUGUGAAUAAGGCAAUGAUGAUAGGAAUAGUAUGUUAUGAUCUCAGAAUGAGGAAUGACACCAAUGACACAAUGAAUGGAAUUUUAUGGAUGACACAAUGAUAUGAAUAUGGAAUUUUCAAGUAUGAAAUAGGUAAAGGAGGAUUUGCUCACUAAGUUUUCAUGAGCUUAACUUUGUGUCUUUUAUGACACAUGUAAGCUUAUUUGAGGCUAUAUCAGGAGGGACUACGCUAGGUGAAUGGUGAGAUGGGUUGUUAUGCAUACAGAGUGAGCUUGAAAUGAAGUGAUCAAGUUUGACAGAAACACUCUGAAUGGGCUACGCAAUCUAUUUAGAAGCUUGGUAGUGAGAAUAGAAUGUGUUGUGAAAAUAAGUGUAAUAUAUAACUUGUGAACCCUCGUCUAAUUAAAAGGCAUGUUUAAUGUUUGUAAUUAGUUAUUAUACAUCCAGAUGUGGUCUAGCUAAGUAGUCCUAUUAAAUAAGAUGGAUUUUGUUGAAAGUUUAAAUGUUUAGAUAUAAAUAAGUCUAUAAUAGGAAAUGUAACACCCGAGAUCCCAAUCCAACGAAUCAGAUCAAGUCGAGGGCAUUAUAGUUAGUUUAAAACAUUUACUUAACAUAGAUCUUACAAAACACAUAAUCAUGUAGAGCUCGUUGCAUAGAGCUCGCAUGUCACUGUUCAUGAGAUCACAUAUUGAAAUACUUUCGUAAAAUGAAGUAAUAGAAAAGACUUACUUAUCAAAACUUAGGUCAAACCCUAAGCUCCUGAUUAACAUUACAGGUCGCACAUACAAGUUGCAAUCCCUAAACACUCACUAAUUUUUCUUGAAGACUUAGACAAGUUUUGCUAUUCCCUUGACUUUGCUUAAAGAUGGUUCUUGAUUUCUAAGUGUUGGGCUCUUAAGACUUGCAGACAGAAUAAUUGACAGUAAAUUUAGGAGAAAAUAAUGUGUAAUUCCCUUAAUGGAAAUGGCUUAAUUAUAGGCUCUAAGUGUCUUAAUGUCUUUAAUACUCUAAUUGUAAUAGGAGUAAUAUUUAGCGACAUGCAUGGAUAGUGUUGUAAAGAGAAAAGUAAGCUAACAUUCCUAAAUGAGGCACGACUCUACUUUGGCCAUUCUUAUUUUUAACUCACAACCCAAAACUGUAGUUCGUUGGCCUAUUGGCGAUCCCUAUUUCGCCAAAAAUGCUAGCGAUCUAAGUUCUCUAAAUUAUUAGGCGUACUCUAGCUCACCAAGCCUUUUAGAGAACUCCUACUUGCAAAGCUUAUUGGUGUACUUUAGCUCGCCGAACUUGUUGGUCAUACACUUGCUCACGAAUCUACUAGCAUAUACAUGCUUGUCAUUUUCUCUAGCGAACCCUUGUUCACUAGUCUUACUGACGAGUACCUAUUUGUCACGCUCUUGGGCAAUUUUUUGUUCGCCUUGGUGAACCCAACUCACUUGGCCCCAUACUUCUAGGCUCUACUUCAGGAUGUUACAACUCUCCCUCUCUUAAGAAAUUUUGUCCUCGAAAUUCCCUAUGUUUAGAACAGGUCAGGGUACUGGUGUCUCAUUGCUUCCUCUAUUUCCCAAGUGGUUUCGUUGGUCUUGUGAUUUCACCAUAACACUUUAACUAAAGGUAUCUUCUUAUUUCAUAGAGUCUUUUCUUCACAAGCUAAGAUUUCCACGAGCCGUUCAUCAUAAGUAAGACCAGGUCGCACAUCAAUUUCAUCUGUUGAAACAAUGUGGGAAGGGUUCGCGCGAUACUUUAUCAACGUGAACACAUGAAAAACAUCAUGAAUUUACUCCAGUUCUUGUGGUAGCUUAAGUCAGUAGACUACUGGACCAAUCCUUUCAACCACCUCAUAAGGACCAAUACUUGCUUACCUAUUUGGUACUCUAUGUCUCAUCAUUUCAGAUCGGUGUAAGACUUUUGUCUGUCUAAAAAAACAUCCAGUCUUUCGCAAAUCACUUUCACCUUAUCUUCUAUUUAACGAAUUAGCUCUAGUCUAAUCAUUCACUUCUCAUCUAAUUCCGCCCAACACAAAGGUGUUCAACACUUCCUUCCAUACAAUGCCUCGAAGGGUUCCAUUUGGAUACUUACUUGGUGAUAACUCUUGCAAAGAGUUAUAUUUCAUGCCCUUAGGCUUAGUUCAUUACCUGUACUUAAGUGUUGUUAGUUCCAUUUUAGGAUAUUGCAUUGGCACUUUUAAAACAUUGCAUUAAAGAGCUUCGAUUGCGCUUAAUUGUGAUUACAUGUUGAUUUUAACCGCUUGUGAGAAAGAUUUGUUUGGCGAUUGUUUAGUAGGUGUAAAGUGUAGAGAAAAGUUUAACGGUUUGUCAUGGAAAAUACAGAUAGUUUGCCAACACAAAUGUCGUGGCAAUGCUGGAAAGACGCCUAGUCAGCACUUAAGGCGUACCACUCUUGUCCCCACAUAUAUAUCUACUUGGCAAAUAGAGAAAGGAUCACGGGUUGAUGGACCUACCCUAGAAGGUGAAACUUAUGAAAGCCAAGCAAGGAACCAUAUUUAAAGGGAGCCUUUAGACGAAAAAGAGCAACCUUGAGCAGCCGAAAAUAGACUACGACAGCAGCCUUGGAUGAAAUAGUAAAUAUCAGGUAGGGGCCAAGAACAAGGGUAGCAAAAGAAGUAGAAAACAACUGCAAUCACCUUGGGCAAUUGCAAGACAUUGCACUGCCUAUAUUGAGAGUUGGAUAGGAGAAAGUUGUAAUCUUAGAUUUCCUCCUUUGUUUCUUAUCAUGCUUUUCUUUAAAGCUUAUCAGUUAUUGAUGAUGUUGGUUAUCGUAUUAAACUCAAACCUGAUUUUCCCAACCAUGAGCUAAAUCUCUUAGGCUUGGGAUUACUUUGAUGAAACCUUUGUUACUAUUAAUGUUUAAAGUUUAAUUUUGGUUUGCUCUACUAUUUUAUUCAAUGGCAUAUCACGUUAUAUGUAGGUUGUACAUUAACGAAUGUACGACAGGUUUAUAAAGAAAACUUAAUACCGAUAAGGUUGGGUUACCUGGAUAAGUGUUGGAUAAUAUGAGGGAAUGAUUAAUCACUUAUACAUGGCAACCUUUAGACAUAAAGCCUUGCCUUGUGCAAAAGAAGGUAGGAAAUAUUAGUGGUAGCCGAACUCAAAGCUUAUAGACAUAUAAUGCCCUAGGGAAUGUAACCGAAGGUCUUGCUCUCGAGAGAAGUAGACUACUGUAGAAACCUAUUGAAUAGUAGAAUAUUCACGACUUUGUUGUGGCAUUAAUAGGUAAUGAAGGUUGAUCCAUUAGUAAUCCCAGUCGUCCUAAUCAACAUUGUAGCUCCUCAAGCCUUUUUUGUAGUGAUUUUUCCAUGGCAUUCUUGUUCUGUUUACUUGUUUUGCACAUUUUAUACAUCAUCAUUCUCUCAUUUUUCCAUUGAAUUCUUAUUCUUAUUUUGCUUUAGCAUUAAUCGAACUUAACUAUAAUAACUCAACCAAAUUAUACCUAUCUAAUCCCUAUGGAGAUGAUAUCACUCAUUACUAUAUUACUUGAUCGACGUGUACACUUGCACGACUUGCAUAUCAGCUGUGCAACCAACACCUAGGAACUGUUGUUAUAUACGAACUCUACUGAGGGCAAAUAUCAUUCCCAGCUUCCUGCGAAUUCCACCACAUGGCUUGGUUGCAUGUCUUCUAGUACUUGGAUCACCCUCUCUUAUUGACCAUCUGUCUAUAAAUGAUAAGAAGUACUGAAAUUCAAUUUCCAACCCAAGGGUUCUUGUAAAAUUUUCCAAAAUCUCGAUGUGAAUCGUGGAUCUUGAUCGACGGUAAUAAAAACAAGCACGCCAUUAAGUCGUACAAUUUUUUUGAUGUAUAACUCCACCAAAUUUUGCAAAGUAUAAGUGAUGUGGACUUCAAAGAAGUGAAAAAUUUUAGUGAGACAAUCUACAAUCACCCAUAUUGCAUCUUUCUUUGUCAAGGUCAGUGACAAGCCGGACACAAAGACCAUGGUGAUCCUUUCCCAUUUCCACUCUAGAAUUUUGAUUGGUUGCAACAAUCCUAAAAGAUACUGAUGCUCAACCUUCACCUCUUGAAAAAUAAGACAUUUUCCACAUAAUUCAUAAUGACUUGCUUCAAGCUAGGUUACCAAUACAAUUCAUAAAGGUCAUGGAACACCUUAUUGCUCCCUGGGUGUGACACGUAAAAGUAGUUGUGAGAUUCUAUAAGGAUCGCAUAUUGAAGUUUUUCAUCACAGGGCACAUAUAGUCUUCCUACGAAACAAAGUAUCCCUUCUUUAUUCAGUGCGAAGUCCCCCUAUAACUUGGGGUUUGUGCAAGUGUACAUAGUCGUUAUCAAGUAAUAAGUAAGUAUCGAGUUAUCGUCACCACAGGGAUUGUAUUUGUGCUAAGUCACUUAAUUUGUAAAAUUAUAUUAACAAUUUGGUAAAUAGAAACACAAUAUAGUUGAGAAAUGGUGAUUAAAAUAUAUUAAACUAAAUGCAAUGAUCCCUAAUGCAAAUUAUCCUAAGUAUGCAAACUAUAUGAAUGAAAUAGAUUUUAGUAAAAUUUAACACAAUUUGCAACAAUUAUAACAUAAAUAAACUAGGACAAUUACUUUAAUUAAACUCAAUUUAUUAUCAACAUGCUUAAUAACAUUCGGAAAAACAUUCCAUGGCAACUCCAUCUUUCAUGAGUUUGGAAACCACCUUAGGUCCUUUCGAAAUCCUUUACUUAGUAAAUACACAUUUUAAUAAUCCUUAAUUACUAAGGGUUUCUUAGCAUUCGUGUGAGGUAACAGGGAUGUGUUAGGUUUGAAACAAUUUAAUCACACAAAUCUAAAAACUAUGCAGAUAACAGAGCUUGGUUAGAGUUGUUAUGCAACCUACAAUUCAAUCGGGUUAGGAUCUAAAUUAAGAAUGCACAUUUCAAUUAUGCGUCCAUUAGCCGUCGUCUGGUUAGGAUCACUCAACUAAUUCAAGUCCGUUUAAGUCACGUAUGAAUGAAAUACAGACUUGAUUUUAAUUGAAAACAUGAUCAAUUGAGGCACAAACAUUAUAAGCAUGAAUCAAAUAAAUAUUAUUUAAUCAAAAUAAUCAUCCUAGCUUAAAUAAAAUUAAGCAAUCAUUGUUGUAAACAAGAAAAAAGAGCACAUAGAAAACAUCUUUAAAUUAAAUUUAAAGAAGAGAAUGAUUAAACCCAAUUCAGAGUGGUUGUCACCCAAGACUCUGACUGACGAAGCUCAUUUGCUUCUUUGCGUUGCUCGUUUGCUGAUGGCUUUCCAAGGUGGCCAACUAAGGAUUCUUUAAGAGGCUUAAUUGCUAAAAUCCUUAUGCAAGGAUGAUGAAGGGGAAAGAUAGCUAAAAGAGUUGAGAGAAUGAUGAAUGAGUGAGAGAUGAUGGGAUGAGGGAUGAUUGAAAAAGAGAGAAAUGAGCUCUUAUUUAUAGGUGAGGCAAAGGAACUAGUUUGCUAAAAAUAGGAGUGUCUAUCCUUUGAAACUUCCUCCAAGAGUGGUUGGCCAUGAAGUGAGGAAAGGUGGCUGAUUUUUCCUUGAUUUUUGGUCAAUUUGAGUGCCACAACAACUCAGGACUAAGACUCGGUCAUCAGCAAAUCUUCGGGAAAAUCUCUGAUUUCUUUAACUCUUCAAGGACUUUGUAUAAUUAAACCAAAAAAUGGUUUAUGACAUCCAUGUGCAGCCAAAAAUUGGGUUGACUUGGUCCCCAAUUUGGACGAUUUUGCAAUUAGAAGAAAACUCUCAGCCCUGUCCAAAAAUAGUAGAUAGUUUAGAGGACCAAAUAAUAUAAUUUAACCACUCUAAUUAAUCAAUUUAUUUAAUUAAUUAAAACCCAAUUUAUUAAUGAAUUAUUAAAAAUUAAUUAUUAAAUAUAACUUUAUAUUUUAUUAUUUAAUUUAAUCAUGCAUGGCCCACUUUAUAGCUUAAAAAUAUAAUAUGCUUAAAUUAAUAUAAAAUAAGUCAUUUUAUGCAUGAAAACUAUAUAAUAAAGUAUAAAAUCACAUUUUAAUAAUUUCUAUGUCCUAAUUUCAUAUUUUCGCAUAUUUCAUUAAUUUAUUAAACAAUUACUUGGUUUUAACAACAAAUUUAAGUAAAAAGGUAAUGAAUUAUAUAGGAAAAAUCCUAUAUAUUUUUUAGUUUACACACCCCCAAACUUAAAUCAUUGCUCGUCCUAAGUAAUGUUCAUGCACAGCACAAGGUCUUACUAAGGCAAAUUUUGCUAAGAGUGUAAGUAGCAUCAAUCUUUGUUUUAUAAUCAUGCAUCAAUAAAUUCAUGCUCAUAGACCUUCUUUAUUAACAACUCAUAUACAAACAUUUUGAAAAUUUUAUUCUAAGUUUCAAGAUAUGCCAACAUGAAUCAUAGUUUGCAUGUAUGUCACAGUCAUAGAUAAUAUUUUUCAUUCAACACAAAUUCUCAUCAAUCAAGCAAAACAAUCAUAAGGCUUAUUUAUGAUCUUCAUAUGUUGAACUUAAUACUUCCUCUCCACUAAUGUAGGUGACAUAACCAUCAAAUCAAUAGGUCUUUUAUAAGGUUGUAAUGGGGCUCGGUUAAAGGCGGGGAUUUUAAGAGAUGGGACAUUUCGGUUUCAAAAUCUUAACUUUUAACUUGUCUUGAAUUUCUCGAAAUUCAACUUUUUUCUUCAAGUGAACCUAUGGAACUCCGUUUGAACUCAUACUCAUACAUUUUCUUUUUGGAGACUGAGCAAAUUUUUCUUCACUCUUUCUUUGUAUUUGUUGUUGCUAUUGUUUUUUUAAGCAUGAACACAUACAUCUUUAUGAAAAUUUCCUCAAAUGUUCAUUCCCAAGACAACUUUACUUAGGAUAAGUGCACAAAAUUAAUAUAAUUUUAAAAAGAUGGUACUGGCUUAUAAUGUAGGUUUAUUACAAUGAACAGGCUUUUAAGCUCAAAAUUAUAGUUUCAAGGGUCUAAUAUCAUAAGGUGGGCUUGAAAAGGCUUAAACGAUCCAAAGAAAAACGGUGUUGUAAUACCCCUUACCCAUGUUCCUCGUCGGAACAAAGUAUGAAGUAUCAUUAGAACACAAAUACGAAAAAUUAAUUUUUUUUUUACAAAAAUUUUGACAUAGUCCUCUUUAUAAAUACAUUACCUCACCUACACAUUUUCAGAUCAUAAUCCAACCAAUUCCAAUAUUCCAACCAACAUUUAUAUUCUCAAUUAUAUUCAAGUUAUACACAACACUUUAACUAUCAUCACUAGCAUUGCAUAAAAAUAAUUUAUCAUAUAACAUACACUAACAUUUAAACUAAAUACUUUGUAACAUACAACAUCUAGUUAAGCCAUCUAUACAUGUCAUAAUUUAGAAAUGUUGAUUUCAAAAUACCAAAAUAUAUGGAUAGUGUUAAUGAGUUCCCGACUAUUUCCAAAUUCUGAGUUGAAUUGGUAACACUAUAAAACAAGGAAAAAGAAAGAGGGGUAAGCAUAUAGCUUAGUAAGCAAGUAUGUGAUUAAUAAACAAAUUUCUAACAUGUUUUCAUAGAUGAUAUAAUUUAAAUCACACAUAAUUUCAUUAUUUGCACAAUUUCCAGCAAGCUGUUUUUAUGCAUCACAGUCACUAAAUUAUUUUUAUCUGGAGUUACAGGACUCCAAAUAAAGAUACGUAAAUUUUCCUUGAAACUAGACUCAAAUAUAUUAUUUCCAUAAAAUUUUUAGAAUUUUUGACUUGAUAAAUUAGUACAGUUUAUUAUUUAAAUUCACCCUUGUUUUACUACUCAACAUCACUGACCUCUUUUCACUAAAAAUGAAUUAUCUCAUUGUACAGAUUUUUAAUGAUAUUUUUGUUUAUUUCCUUUGAAAAUAGACUAAUUCAGGAUUUUAAACAUAUAAAUUAUAACUCAUAAUUAUUUUUUUACAAUUUUUAAUUAUUUUCCAAAGUCAGAAUAGGGGAUUCUGAAACCAAUCCAAACCUGCAUCACUAAAAUUCAAAUAUCUCAAAAUAUAUAACUCUUUUGCUUACUCUGUUUAUUUUAUGUAAAAAUAGACUCAUUAAGAUUUUAUUUCAUAUCUUAUUCACUCUCUAAUUCAAUUUUCACCAUUUUUGGUGAUUUUUCAAAGUCACACUACUGUUACUGUCAAAAACAGUUUUGUUGCUAAUUCUACUUUUUCAUAAUUUCACCUUUUUACUUUUAAUCACUAUUCCAUUCAAAAUUCACUUUUCCAUUUUCAAGUCAAUAUUCAAUUUAGUUCCACACAUAUAUGCACUUAUAAAUCACAUAGUCAUUUCAUCAUAUCAUGUAUUUCACUUAAUAAAUUUCCCGUUAACUUAUCGGACUAAAAAAAAUAGAUUUCUCGGUGGCCUGCACACAGUCCGUACCACCUUUGUGUAAUAACAGAUUCUCGGUGGCCUGCACAUAGUCCGUGUCACCCUUGUAUCUUAACAAGUUAUUGGUGGCCUACACAUACUCUGUGCCACCCUUGUGUCACAACAGAAUAUCGGUGGCUUGCACACAGUCCGUGCCACCCUUGUGUCAUAACAGAUUAUCGGUACGGAUAGUAGCCUGCACUUAGUUUGUGCCACAUAUGCGACCUAUCAGUCUGGUACACGUAGUGGCCUACACUUAGUCUGUACCACACGUGACCCAAUUACGACCAUUCAUAUCUUUUCUAUUCCGAGUUUCAAACGGAAAUUCUUAUUUUUCAAUCUUUUCCCAAUUCUUCUCUAACCAAUCUUAAUUUAUAAUUUACAUCAUAAAUUUGUUACACAUAUAACACAUCUCUUAAAUAAAAUAAUAAGACACUUAAUCAUAAAUAAAACAAUAUAUUAUCUACAUACAAACUUACCUCGGUGCAAAAUAUUGUAGUUUUUGCAAUUUAAUCCACGAUCUUUUCCUUUCCCCGAUUGAGGUUGACUUCUCGUCUUUCUUGAUCUAUAAUAGAAAUUUUAGCUUUUUUAAUAUUCACAUUUAUCAAAAUAGUCCGCAACUCACUUUUAGGAAAAUUAAGAUUUUGUCCCCAAAUUUUUGCAUAUUUACAUUUUUGCCCCAAAGGUCGAAAAUUAAAUUUUAUUACUUAUUCUUGCGUUUUAUAACAUGCUGAACAUUUUUCCCUUCUAUAGCAACAUCCAAUUCUCACUCUAACACUUACUUAUGUACAUUAAGUAUUUUUACCGAUUAUGUUAUUUUACUCCGUUUCACUUAAAAUCGACUAGCAAAAAUUGUUUAACAUAAAUUCUAGCUUCAUAUUCUACCAUAAAACAUCAAAAUACAUACAUUUCACAUAUGGGUAAUUUUUCAAAUUUCAACCCUAGCUCGAAAUAGCAGUAGAAAUAGGUAAACCGAGCUACGAGAAUCUUAAAAAUGCAAAGAACAUUAAAAACUAGGAUAGGAUGUACUUACAAUCAAGCUUGACAGUGGCCAAAACCCUAGCUAUGGAGACUUAGAAAUAUUCAGCCAAGCAUGGAGAAGAUGGACACAAUUUUUACCUUAUUCUCCCUUUUUAAUUCAUUUAAUUACUAAAUUACUAAAAUGCCCCUAAUUAAAAAAAAUCCUAUUUCACUUUUUUUUCAUGUCCAUUUUUUUCCAUCAACACACUAAUGGUCUAAUUCACAUAAGGACCCCCAAUUUAUAAUUUCAUAACAAUCAAACACCUUUAAUAUAUAGAACUCAACUUUUGCAUUUUUUACAAUUUAGUCCUCUUGACCAAAUUUAGUGCUCAAACGUAAAAAUUUUCGAACGAAAUUUUCACGAAAUCUUUCCGUGAAUUUGUAGACCAUAAACAUAUAAUGAUAAUAAUAUUCUCUUUUUUCAGAUUUGUGGUCCCAAAACCACUAUUCCGAUUAGGCCUUAAAUCGAGCUGUUACAGAUGCUUAUAUCAUUUUAGAUUUUUAUGUCCCUUAGGAUUUCACCUCAAGAAAGUUACUAAGUCAAUUCUAAAGAUAUAAACUUUUAUGCAUGUCUAAUCUCAAGAGAAACUAAGUUUUCAUGGCAAACAUUACCUAAGACUAAGAUCAUAAAAACAUUCCAUUUUUCAUGAUAACAUGCAAUCACUCAGAUAAAAUCAUCAUUCAUGCUUGCAUACAAGCUAUCUUAUUAAAAAUAAUUUCUCUAAACAUUUAUUUAUUAAGACAUGUUUGUGAAAGAAUGAUUUGAAACAUACUUGAAAAUUUUAAAAAUUUGAGCAAUUUGCCUUACCCCCUUUAAAAAGAAGUAAUGUCCUCAUUGCGAGAAUAAAGUAAUGAAUGAAAACUGAACACGAGGUAGGGUUGUCAAGAAAGAGAGGUGAGUCAUUAAGACUACUUAAAUACCAAGUCUUUCCUAAUAACACAAUCCUAGACAUGUUCAUUCCCAUUGCCACAUCACUUAAUCUUUUUCUUUCUAAAAAAGUAUUUAUUCAUGCUUGCUAUGUUUUAUUUUGCAAAAAUUAAAUCCUAUUUACUAAAGAAAUAAAUUCCUAAAGACCUAAAAAUAAUUAAAUAAAAAACAAGACAAGAACCCCCCCUUUUAUUUUUCUGACUUAUUCCCCUUGUCUUCUUUAGUUUCAUCUUCGCUUGCAUCGUCAGUCUCUUACGUCCAUGUCUCAAAGAUAGCAUCUGGGAACUCAGGAAAAAAAGUAUUAGAGAUAUUCUUAAAAGUAUUUCAUAUUGAAUCAUCUCUAAUUUUUGCAUAUUUCUAGUAAGUUUGUUGUUGAUUAUGCAUGAACUUACAUAUCCAUCAAAAUUGACAACUCUGAUUUCCUUGAAGUACUUGCAGAAGUCGACAUGGGAUUUGUAUAUUCAGGUUCAACACUUAGCUUGAUUGGUUCUUCUUUUGGCUCAACCCUAGGUUCAGGGUUUUCAGCUCCUUCAGCUGGUUGAGGACUAUUUGGUUUCUUGUCAGAUUCUUCUUCUUUAGUGUCUGUAACUGAAUCAGCUUUAGUUUCUGUUUUAUUUGUUCACUCUUUGGUUUCUACCUUAGUUGGUUCCUCUUGCUCACAUUGGUUCAACUCUUGCACUCUUUCUACCAACCUUUCAAGAUCAUGACUUGUAAUGCACCCUUGGACAUACUACCCCUUCAGAUUUUCUUGUGUUUUAACAUGGGCCCUUAAGCAAAGUGAAGUAAUUAAUGAUGGGAAAUAAGCACUUCCUGCCUUCUUUUUAGCACAAUCAUGAAUCUCCUUGAGGAUAAUUUUCCUAACAUUAAUGGACUUUUCUGUCAAGAUUGCAUAUAACAAGAGCAUUCGUUCCCAUUUGAGAGCAUUGAUUAUCUUUCUAAUUGGCAAAGGAACAACCAUCACAUCAUUGCUCUUCAAAUUAAAACUUUUUCUCGGCAUCAUAGGUUGAUGCUUGAAAAUUAAAUCAAAUCACUCUUUCACUUCUUUAUCAACCACAAUCAGGUUUUCAGGAGUAGUUUUUAACGAUCUAGUUCUUUUGCGAGACAUGGUACUUUCCCAAACAUUUGGCAGAGGUUCUGCGCAAGAGAGAAAAGAGAAAUCGGCAAAGUUGGUAUAACUUGCUAUGGCAAAAAUCUUGCGACAAUAAGGAUGGUGCGGCGGCGAUCUCUUUGCGACAGCAAUAGGGAAUUUUGGCAAAAAGAAAGGACUAGGGUUUCUUUCGGUAUUUGAGGUUAACGACACAAAAAAGAGAUUUAGGGAUUUUUAGGGCGGAAGCAAAUUGCUUUGCGGGAGAUGAAAAUUAGUAGAAUGAAGAGGGCUUUAUAUAGGGAAAAUUAGGGCAACAUGCAACAAAAAUUUAGCUACCUUAAAGUUACUUGGGCAGCAAGUAAUGGGUGUGACGGCAAGGCCUAGUUUUUUCCCUCUUUUUUUGCUAUCUUGGGCCUCAAACUCAUACUGUAUCUUAAAAAAAAUUGAUUAGUACUUGGGCCAAAUUUGACCCCCUUUAUUAACACAAAAAUUUAAAAUUUAAACUGAACAAAAUAAAACUUAAAAAUUUUAAUUAGAAAAUUUCUUCUUAACAACUUACAUUAAAUUAAUUCCCAGGAAAGGUUGGAGGGGUCACAGCGGUCCCGCUUAAGUUCCAAUCUCCUUAGACAGAAUUAAUUAAAUGUAAUAAAUUAAGAAAAUAAGAUCUAAUUAUUUAUUUAUUUACACAAUGAGUUCAUGAAAAAUUAAGGGUCUGUUAAGAUGAGUGAGGAUUCAGUUUGCUCAACUUCACCAUCCCAGUAGUGUUUGAGACGUUGACCAUUAACUUUAAACGUACCUCCAUAAUUGUCGUAUAAUUCAAUAGCUCCGUAAGGAUAAAGUCGGUAGAUGGUAUAGGGUCCUUUCCAUCGGGAUUUCAGCUUCCCAGGAAAUAACUUCAGCCUUAAAUUAAACAACAACACUUUCUGACCUUCUUUAAACUCGCGAAGUUAUAUAUGAGUAUCAUGCCAUCUUUUUUAUCUUUCUUUACACAUUUUGGCAUUCUUAUUGGAAAACAACCUCAGCUCUUCCAACUCAUCUAAUUGUAACGUCCUUCUCUCACCGGCCUAUUUUAGAUCAAAAUUUAACUGCUUUAAUGCCCAGUGAGCUUUAUUCUCCAACUCUAAUGGCAAAUGACAUGCCUUUCCAAAGACUAACCGACAAGGAGUCAUUCCUAACUGAGUCUUAAAUAUUGUUCGAUAGGCCCAUAAUGCAUCAUCGAGCCUUCGAGACCAAUCUUUUCUGCUAGGGUGUACUACCUUUUCAAGGAUACUUUUGAUUUCAUGGUUCACUAUUUCAACUUGUCCAUUAGACUGGGGGUGAUAAGCAGUAGCAAUCUUGUGCUUCACAUCAUAUUUAUCAAGCAACAACUUAAGUCAUUUGUUCACAAAGUGAGAACCUUCAUCACUAAUAAUAGCUAUUGGUGUCCCAAAUCGUGUAAACACAUGCUUAUGUAGGAAUCGCAUGACUACCUUAGGAUCUAACUUCUGAUUCAAAAAAUGGUCCUUCCGAGUGGCUUUGUUCAACUUUUUGUAAUCAAUACAGAUUCUCCAACCGAGAAUAGUUCUCGUCGGAAUUAACUCGUUACGCUCAUUUUCAACAAUCGUGAUUCCACCUUUCUUUGGCACACACUGCACCGGACUUACCCACGAACUAUCUGAAAUAGGAUAGAUGAUUCCUGCAUCUAACCGUUUGAUCACUUCCUUUCUCACAACUUCUUUCAUGAUAGGAUUGAGCCUUCUUUGCCCAUCAAUUCAGGUCUUUCACCUUCUUCUAAAAUGAUUUUAUGCAUGCAAAAAGAAGGGCUUAUACCUCGAAUGUCAGCUAUGGUCCAACCAAUUGCUUUCUUCAACUUCUUUAAAACAGCAAUCAGUUAUUCCUCUUGAUCUUUCGUUAGUUCUAUUGAAAUAAUCACAGUCAAAGUAAAAUAGUCACCUAAAUAAACAUAUUUCAAAAGGGAAGGAAGUACCUUUAGUUCAAGUGUAGGUUGUUCUUCGGUUGACAACUUGGGUUGCACAAAUUCUCUGACUUCUAACUCCAACAGUUCAAACCGUGUGGAUUGAAUAAAAUUUCUCGGAUUGGCUUCCAUCAAAGCCAUGUUUUUUCACCUUCUUCAUCCUCCAAAAGGUCAAACUCUAAGGCUUUCUCCAAUGGAUCUUUCUCAAAAUUUCUUUCCAUAGAAACCAAGGUUUCUAUCUCUUCCAUAACUGAACACUCCUCUAUCGGAUCGAGAAAUUUCAUCGCUUUAAGAAUGUUAAAGGUUACCUGAUCAUUUUGAACUCGCAUGGUGAGUUCUCCUUCCUGCACAUCAAUUAACAUUCUUCUCGUGGCUAGGAAAGGUCUCUUAAGGAUAAUUGGCACUUCCUUAUCUGCUUCAAAAUCUAAAAUAAUGAAAUCAAUAGGAAAAAUACAUUUAUCGACUCUUACCAAAACAUCCUCGAUCUUUCCUUCGCGAUAUGCUAACGAUCGAUCCACUAGCUGAAGCGUCAUAGUUGUAGGUCUUACUUCACCUAUCCUUAACAUCUUGAAGAUAGACUUAGGCAUCAAGUUGAUACUUGCUCCUAUUCACCAAUAUUAUAAGGUAUAGUAAAGCUUCCUGGGUCUUUCAAUUUCGGUGGUAGUUUGUUCUGUAGGAACGCACUGUACUCCUUUGUCAAGCCAAUAGUCUCAUACUCACUCAUUCGCUUCUUCUUGGACAGUAUAUCCUUCAUAAACCUUACAUAAUUUGGCAUUUAUUCUAAAGCCUCCACCAACGAGAUAUUGAUGUGUAACUACUUCAGAAUAUCCAAAAACUUCUUGAAUUGCACCUCUUAUUUCUGCUUGUGUUGCUACAAUCUUUACGAAUAUGGAGGUGAUGGAACUUUCGGUUGAAUCGGACAACUUUUCUAAGUAGGUAAAUCUGCAUCCAAAGAAGAUGUUAAAAUAUCUGAAUUCACUAAGUCAGGGUUUACCUUGUCAGACUUUGCAGAAUUGAUUCCUUUGGUGUAGGAACUUCAACAUCUGGUUGACUUUCCUCCUUUUCAGACUUUGCAGAAUCUGAUUCCUUUGGGGUUCCAGAGUCUUACCACUUCGCAGUACCACUACAUUGAUAUGUUCUUUACCAAAAUUCCUUGGAUUCUAAGUAUUGCUCGGCAAGGUUCCUUGUGGUCUAUUACGAAGCUCUGUAGCCAACUGACCCAUUUGGUUUUCCAAAUUUUUCAGUGUUGCUACUUGGCUUUGGAUCAAAGUGCCUUUCUUUGCUAUGUACGCUUUCAACAAGUUCUCCAAAUUGUUUGAUGCCUCAGCUUGAGGUGCUUUUGGAGCUUGCUGAUUAAACCCUUGAGAUUGGUUGGGUCUUUGCUGCAAUAAGUUUUUGUUCGUUCCAUUUCUUUGGUUGCUCCAAGAAAAGUUAGGAUGAUUACGCCAUGAAGGAUUGUAGAAGUUGGACUGGGGUCCUUGUCCACUCCUAUUUUGGUAUUGGUUCCCCACAUAGUACACUGACUCGAGAUUUGAUGGAGAAUUCUCAAAACAAUGACCUUCCCCAUAGUACACACAGGAAACUACUUCAAACGGACUUGGUGGCUGAGCUACAAAAUUAUUUGUACUAUUAGCGAUUAACUAUUUUAACAUGGAGGAAAUAGAUGAUACCUGAGCUGAUAACGAAGUGAGAGAAUAAACUUUAAGAACUCCGGCUACACGCCUUCCUAAAGUUGUUUGAUUUGUUGGCCAUUGAUAGUUAUUACUCGCGAUCCUCUCGAUAAUCUCAUAAUCCUCAUUAUAAGACUUAGAAAAAAUUGCACCAUUCGUGGAAGCAUCUACCAUCAAUCUUGUAUGUGCAUUGAGACCAUUAUAGAAUGUCUCCAACUGGAUACAAUGAGGAAUCCCAUGAUGAAGACACUUACGAAGUAACUCCUUAAAUCGCUCCCAAACCUCAUACAAAGACUCGUCAUUAAUUGUUGGAAAGUUGUGAUCUUAUUCCUUAACUUAGCGUUCUUACUAGGUGGGAAAUACUUAACCAAAAAUCUCUCUGCUAAUUCUUGCCAUGUAGAUAUGGAACUUGGUGGCAAUGAAUUGAGUCAUGCUCCUGCUCAGUCUCGCAACGAGUACGAAAACAAAUUCAACCUCAAUACGUCUUCAGUCACCCUAUCUAUCUUGAAUGAAUCACUCACCUCCAUAAACAAUUGAAGGUGGAGAUGUGGAUCUUCCGUUGGCAUACCACUAAAUUGGCCCACCGUUUCUAGCAUUUGAAACAUCACUGGUUUCAAUUCAAAUUGGCUUGCCUCAAUAUCUAGGUUUCUAAUUCCUAGGUUUAACUCACUGAAAAGUGGCACAGCAUAUUGACUGAUGUAUCGAUCCCAAACAUCGGCUAUAAGGAUAGGAUUUCGUACAUAAUCGGCUUCAUUACCUUAGUCUUUAUUCUGAUUUCCAUGGUCCAUCUCGACUUCUCUUUUAGUUAUUCGUUCACAUCUUCUUUGUCUGAAAGUUCACUCAAUUUCAAGGUCUACAGGGAGUAAAUCGAUAAUUCGAUCUAUGCUCAUAAACACCUGAGAAGAAAAUCACAAAAAUAAAAAAGAAUAAGUAAGUACUGUUAGAAAUAAAACAAAUUGAAAAUAAAUAAUUUCAUGAAAAAAGUGAAUAUGGCAAUAGUUGACAAUCCCCGGCAACGGCGCCAAAAACUUGUAACACUGGGGUUUGUGCUAGUGUCCACAGUCGUUAUCAAGUAAUAAGUAAGUAUCGAGUUAUCAUCUCCACAGGGAUUGUAUUUGUGCUAAGUCACUUAAUUUGUAAAAUUAUAUUAACAAUUUGGUAAAUAAAAACACAAUAUAGUCGAGAAGUGGUGAUUAAAAUAUAUUAAACUACAUGCAAUGAUCCCUAAUGCAAAUUAACCUAGGUAUGCAAACUAUAUAAAUGAAAUAGAUUUUAGUGAAAUUAAACAAAAUUUGCAACAAUUAUAACAUAAAUAAACUAGUACAAUUACUUUAAUUAAACUCAAUUUAUUAUCAACAUGCUUAAUAACAUUCGAAAAAACAUUCUAUGGCAACUCCAUCUUUCAUGAGUUUGGAAACCACCUUAGGUCCUUUCGGAAUCCUUUACUUAGUAAAUACACAUUUUAUUGAUCCUUAUUUACUAAGGGUUUCUUAGCAUUCGUGUGAGGUAACAAGGACGUGUUAGGUUUGAAACAAUUUAAUCACACAAAUCUAAAAACUAUGCAGAUAACAGAGCUUGGUUAGAGUUGUUACGCAACCUACAAUUCAAUCGGGUUAGGAUCUAAAUUGAGCAUGCACAUUUCAAUUAUGCGUCCAUUAGCUGUCGUCUGGUUAGGAUCGCUCAGCUAAUUCAGAUGCAUUUCAAUCACGUAUGAACGAAAUAUAGACUUGAUUUUAAUUGGAAACAUGAUUGAUUGAGGCACAAACAUUAUAAGCAUGGAUCAAGAAAAUAUUAUUUAAUCAAAAUAAUCAUCCUAGCUUAAAUAAAAUUAAGCUAUCAUUGUUGUAAACAAGAACAAAGAACACAUAGCAUACAUCUUUAAAUUAAAUUUAAAGAAAAAAAAGAUUAAACCCAAUUCAGAGUGGCUAUCACCCAAGACUCUAACUGACGAGGCUCAUUCGCUUCUUUAUGUUGCUCAUUUGCUAAUGGCUCUCCAAGGUGGCCGACCAAGGGUUCUUUGAAAGGCUUAAUUGCUAAAAUCCUUAUGCAAGGAUGAUGAAGGGGAAAGAUAGCUAAAAGAGUUGAGAGAAUGAUGAAUGAGUGAGAGAUGAUGGGAUGAGGGAUGAGGGAUGAUUGCACAAGUGAGAAAUGAGCUCUUAUUUAUAGGUGAGGCAAGGGAGCUGGUUUGCUAAAAAUAGGAGUGUCCAUCCUUUAAAACUUCCUCCAAGAGUGGUCGGCCUUGAAUUGAGGAAAGGUGGCUUAUUUUUUCUUGAUUUUUGGUCAAUUUGAGUGCCAUAAAAACUCAAGACUAAGACUCGGCCAUCAGCAAAUCUUCGGGAAAAUCUCUAAUUUCUUUAACUCUUGAAGGACUUUGUAUAAUUAAACUAAAAAUGGUUUAUGACAUCCAUGUGCAGCUGAAAAUUGGGUUGACUUCGUCCCCAAUUUGGACGGCUUUGCAAUUAGAAAAAAACUCUCAGCCCUGUCCAAAAAUAGUAGAUAGUUUGGGGGACCAAAUAAUAUAAUUUAACCACUCUAAUUAAUCAAUUUAUUUAAUUAAUUAAAACCCAAUUUAUUAAUGAAUUAUUAAAAAUGAAUUAUUAAAUAUAACUUUAUAUUUUAUUAUUUAAUUCAAUCAUGCAUGGCCCACUUUAUAACUUAAAAAUAUAAUAUGCUCAAAUUAAUAUAAAAUAAGCCAUUUUAUGCAUGAAAACUAUAUAAUAAAGUAUAAAAUCACAUUUUAAUAAUUUCUAUGUCCUAAUUUAUUUUCGCAUAUUUCAUUAAUUUAUUAAACAAUUACUUGGUUUUAACAACAAAUUUAAGUAAAAAGGUAAUGAAUUAUAUAGGAAAAAUCCUAUAUACUUUUCAGUUUACACCUCCUAAACUCCUUGUUCCACUUGGGGAACCCUCUUCGCCAAAUCCUCAUAUGAGGCUUGCUUUUCCUUUAUCUACUGCAAAAGGGUUGGUUUCACCUUUAAUUUUGCAAGCAGUCCCGCAUCGUAUGUCACACUCAAAUGAACGAACAGAGCUCACAGUUCACUCACUAAUUUUCAACUUAAGGCAUCUAUGACCACAUUCACCUUUCCUGGGUAAUAUUCUAUCACACGAUCUUAGUCUUUUAGUAUCUCUAUCCACAUCCUUUGUCUAAAGUUUAGUUCUAUCUAUGUGAGUAAGUACUUGAGCUCUUAUGGUUAGUCUAGAUAGUACACUGUUCGCCAUACAAGUAGUGUCACCAAAUCUUGAGUGCGAAGACCACUACUUCUGACUCCAUAUCAUGCAUUGGGUAGUUUCGUUCAUGAGGCUUCAACUGUUUGGAUACAUAUGUCACCACCCUUCCUUUCUAUACCAGUACGCAACCAAAACCCAAGUGCGAUGUGUCACAAUAGACUACAAUGUCUUUCUUAGGUUUUGGUUGAACCAACUCAUGUGCUUUAGUGAGUAUCGCCUUAAGUCUCUCAAAGCUUUUCUGUCUUUCUUUCGUCCAUGUGAACUCCUCAUAUUUCUAUGAUAACUUUGUUAAGGGUGUCGCAAUAGUGGCGAAUCUAUCAACAAAUCUGCGAUAGUAACCUGCGAGCCCUAAAGGCUUCGUACCUUUGUGACACUUCUUAGAGAUCUUCACUCUAGGAUUUCCUCAAUCUUCUUUGCGUCCACGCAAACUCCCUCUACUAAGACCACAAGACCCAAAAAGGCUACUUCCUUUAACCAAAAUACAUAUUUGUUGAACUUCACAAAUAGUUGCUUCUCACGUAAAAUUUGUAACAAUGUUUGCAAGUGAGCAUCAUGUUCUUCAUCGGUUAGCAAGUACACCAGGAUAUCGUCUUUUAAGACCACCACACACUAGUCCAAAUACUUGUGGAACACUCGAUUCAUCAAGUCCAUGAAUGCAACAGGUGCAUUUUUCAAUUUAAAGAGCAUAACUAGGAAUUCGUAGUGCCCAUACCUUGUGUGAAAAGCUAUCUUCUAAACAUUUGCUUCCUUAAACUUAAGCUAGUAGUACCAUGAUUGCAAGCCUAUCUUUGAAAAUAUUGUGGCACCUCGCAACUGAUUGAAUAGAUUGUCAAUUCAUGGCAAUAGGUACUUAUUUUUUACAAUCAAUUUAUUCAAUUAUCUAUAGUCAUUAGAGAUUCUCAGGUUUUCAUUUUUCUUCUUUACAAACAAUACUGGUGAUCCCCAUGGUGACACACUUGGUCAAAUAAAACCCCUGUCGAGUAGCUAUUGUAGUUGGAUCUUCAGUUCCUUAAUCUCUUUUGGUGCCAUUCGAUAAGGUGUAAUAGACACUGGCGAACUAUCUAGGUAUAACUCAAUGGAUGAUUCCACUUCGCAGUUUGGGGGUAUUCCAAGUAGCUCAUCUGGAAAUAAAUCAGGAUUGUCUUUCACCGUGCGAAUGUCACAAAAUCCUAUCGGUUUACUUGGUGAGCCCACCACAUAGGCGAGGUAGGCUUGGCAGUCUUUCCCUAUCAACUUCUCUGCCCUAAUUAUUGAGACCAUAUUGGACAAGAAUUGAGUUCACUCACCAACCAUCAUAAUUUCCAUCCCUUCACCAUUUCACAAGGUUACCCUCUUAAGUGCAAAGUGUAUUUUGGCUUUAUUCACAAGCCUUGUUAUUCCCUUGACUUUGCUAGUUGAUGGUUCUUGAUUUCUAAAUGCUGGGAUCUUAAGACUUACCGACAGAAUGAUUGACAGCAAAUUUAGGAGAAUAGCAUAUGAAAUUCCCUUAUUAGCAAGGACUUUAUUGGCUCUAAGUGUCCUAAUGUCCUUAGGAUACUCUAAUCGUAAUAGAAGUAAAAUUUAAUUACUUGCAUGGAUACUGUUGCAAAGAGAAAAGCAAGCUGACUUUUCUAACCGAGGUAUGACUCUACUUUGACUAUUCUUACUUAUGACUUAUAGCCAACAAUUGUAGUUUCCCGACCACUGGUGAUCCCUGCUUCGCCAAGCCUACUGGUAAUCUAAGUUCCCUAACUUCUUUAACAUACUCCAGCUCAUUAAGCCUUCUGGCAAACUCCUACUAGCCAAGCUUAUUGGCGUACUUUAGCUAGCCCAACUUGCUGGUCAUAUACCUUGUAACACUCCUAACCCAUCUUCAUCGUUGGAUUAGGGUUACAGAGUAUUAUAGUACAAUUUAGAACAUUCAGUAUCACACAGUGUCAAUUUUACAAUUUAAUUAUCAAAUUUUCAUAUAACAUUUAAAUUAAAGUGAAACAUACAUUUAUGGGCCUUAAAUCCAACCUAUGAUGCCUUAAAAAUAGUUUUGCAACAAUUAGGGACCAACUCGAUACAAAUCAAAAUAUUUGGGGCAAAUAUGAAAAGUUUGAAAAUAGGGGUCACACGUUCUAGUGACAGAGCCCAGACCGUGUGGCUCCAACCAUGGCCGUGUGGCUAUCCCACAUGCUCGUGUGCUCACUCGUGUGUCUGCCCAUGUAACUUAUUGACUUGGGUUACACAGCCAUGACACAGGUCGUGUGCCAGCUUGUGUGAACCCUACACCUAACAUGUUCGGGGCACACGACCGUGUGAUAGCUCAUGUCCCAGGCCAUGUGUGCCAAAAAUGACCCAAAACUUGCCCAUUUCACAUCCAAUUGAUUAGGUACCUAAUUAUACACUUACACACAUGUUCACAAGACUUUGGGAUGCAUUUUGAACCACUCAAAUCAAGUUAAUUAACCAUCCUAUGUGCCUAACCAAUGUGCCACCAUUGACACCACAUUUCAAUCGCAUAUCAACAAAUUAUCAAGCUAAACUUUCAACCCAUCCAUGCACACCACAUCAAACAGAAUAACUUACCAAUUCAUGCUUGAUUACCAUCAAACACUCAUACCUUCACUAUAAUUAAGCAUACAUACCGCAAAUAGCUACUUGACACAACAAUAUUACGAGUACAUCAAGCUACCACAUAUGUGCUUAAAACUAUCACAAAACAUCCACCACCUAUUACGUGCCUAUAAGCCAAAGUUACACUCAAAGUAUACCAAAAUCUUCUCAGAUACUGUGAUUCUUCGAGUUGAUUCGAUCUCCCAAUUUAAAAAAAACAUAAUCUAUAAAGAAAAAGACAAGGACAGGAGUAAGCUUACAUAAAGCUUAGUAAGUUCGUAGGUUAAAUGAUUAAUCUUAUCGAAUUAAAAUAAUAAUUCAAAUAACAAGGUUACUAACAAAUUUCUGGCCAAGCAUAACUCACUACAGGUGAGUAAUGCUCAAAAAAUAGUACAAAUCAAUUUCUCACAUUUGAAUAACAUUCAAUGAUCAAUAAAACAUUACUCGAUGAGCGAUAUACAAAUAAGAGUACUUGGUUAACCAUCCAGAACACACCAGACACUCAUAUGAGCCAAUCCAAUCAAUAACACACCUCGACACUGAGUGUCUAGCCCGUAGGCUAACAUAUGCCCCCGUAACACACCAGAAAAACAUUGUAAUAUAACACAAUAGUCUACAAUGUAUGUAGGACCUCAAUAUAUUCAGUGAAUAUAGGAUAUACAGAAAUCAUCAUCACAUCUCAUGCCAAUCCCGUCCAAUUUGCAAAACAACCUAUUGGCAUACCAAUCGUACUCUAUCCUACAUUAAUCGGCUCAACAUAUUCCAAUCAGUGAUCGAUACCAUAUCAAUUCAUUAUUUUCAUUCCCAAAUACAUGCAUCAGUAUUAUCCAUCAUUCUACAAUUAAGUUCAUAUAAUAUACAUUUAAAAUGUAUUAAAAUCGAACCGAACGAACUUACCAGAUUAAACUACAGCGAUGACAAAGGUACGAGGACUAUUCAACUUCUCUAUGCCUCGAUUUUCAGCCUAUUCUUGAUCUAGAAUAAUAAUUUCAUUCAAUUAACUAAUUCCAAUAAUGAAAUUAACUCAUUUUAUGCAACUAAGUCUUUCUGGACUAUUUGACAAAAUUGCCCCCAAUAUUUUACUUUUAUGCAAUUUAGUCUCUAAGCUCAAAACAUGCAAUUUAACCAAUUUUAAUUAAAACUAAGUUCAAUCGAAUUGUAUAGAACUCCACUACAACACAUAUUUGCUGUUAUUUCAUAUCAAUUCCUUGUAAUUUUAUCACUGUAACAUUUUAGUCUUUAAACAUUAAAAGUACUAAAAACUACUUUACAAAAUAGUCCUAUUUAACAACCCAGCUUAAUAAUCUACCAUAAAACUUCAAGAACAACUCAAACUCAUCAAUGGAAUAAUCUAUAACAUUUAAUAGUUUUACAAAUUAGUCCCCAGGUUAGCUAAAUCAAGAUAAUACGAGCUCAAAAACAUAAAAAUUACUAAAACGAGAUCAAGGAUCACUUACAUACCCCAACCCUAGCUUGACCAAAAUUUUUCAAGAACAACUCAAACUCAUCAAUGGAAUAAUCUAUAACAUUUAACAGUUUUACAAAUUAGUCCCCAGGUUAGCUAAAUCAAGAUAAUAGGAGCUCAAAAACAUAAAAAUUACUAAAAUCGGGAUCGAGGAUCACUUACAUACCCCAACCCUAGCUUGACCAAAACUUUCUUCUCCCAUAACAAUGGCCAUUUGAUUUCCAUAAGAAAAGAACAGAAGAUGGUAACUUAAUUUAGUAUUCUUUUAAUUUAACCUUUUAUUUACUUAAUUUACAAUUUUAACCUUUACAUUAUGACUUAUAAAAAAAAUAAAACAUGUCCAUAUUUUUCCAUCAAAUGAGAAUAUGGUAUAAUUACCAUCUAAAGGGAUUUAAUUGCAUAAUUGGUCCUUUAAUUUUUUUAAAUUUUUAACUAAACAAGCUUAAUUUCAAUUUAACCCUAAACUAAUUAGGACUAAACGAGCAAAUAGCCCAAAAGCUAGAGGAUUAAUCAUAUCCACCACCGCUUGGAACUUUUUACCAUGAUUUAAUCACCAUUUUGGUCUAUUUACUAAUUUAAAUCUAUAGCGAUUAACUUUUACCACUUUUACAAUUUAAUCCUUUUACCUUAAUUAAGCAACCAAUUGUCAAAAUUACCUUACCAAACCUCAAUUCUCCUAUAAUACGACUCUAUAAACAUUUAAUAAAAAUAUUUACGGCUUUAAGUUACGGAAAUGGGUCCCAAUACCUCAUUUUUAAAAAUCACUUGACUUUUAGAUUGAACCACAUAUACUAACCAUUAAUUCAAUUAAUUAAAAUUCAUCAAAUGAAAAUUCAAUAUAAAAAUUAUUAUUGACUCGUGUAAUUUAAAUACUAAUUUUAUGAACAUACUCAUCAUAUUUAUGGUCUCGAAACCACUAAAAAAUGGGUUUUUACAGACUUGCUCAUAAAUCUAAUGUUGUAUACAUGAUUAUUAUUUCCUUUGGCAAGCCCCUAUUCACUGAUCUUAUUGAUGAGUACCUAUUCGUCACACUCUUGGGCAAUUUCCUAUUCGCCAAACUCUUUGGCGAACCCAGCUCAUCUGGCCCCAUACUUUUAGGCCUUACUUCAAGAUGUUACAAUUGCAAACCCAAACAAAACUGUCUACAAGCAAAGAUAAGGGAAAAGCUAAGCUUCCCUAAGUUUUCAGCGAAUUGGUGAGUGUUCAAGGAUAGCCACUUGUAUUUCAAAUCAUAAUGUUUAUUAGGAGCUUAGGGUUUUGACCUAAUUUCUGAGAGUAAGUAUUUUCUAUAACUUUGUUUAAUGAACGUAUUUAAAUAUGUAUUUUUAUGAACAGUAAUAUGUUAGCUCUACAUGGUGAGCUCCAUAUGAUUUCAUGUUUUGCAAGCUUUGUGUUAAGUAAAUGAUUUGACAAGUUAACCUUCUAAAUCUAUUGGAUAUAAUGGCAUACCAUAGGAUACUGAGUACUCACCUUUAUGUUUUAUGUUUUGGGUAUUGAGCCUUGUGACAGUAUGGAAUGAUUUUUUAGCCUUGUUCUACACUUAUAAGACAUGUUAAGGACUCGUUGAGUCAUUCUAAGGCGUUAUAAUGAGAUUCACUUAUCCAAACGGAACAAACAAGUGAAUAAGAUUGUGUUUCUGAAAGCAUAAGUUUUUACUAAGUUAGCUGACUGUAAGUGUUUGCGAACCAGGCUUCACACAAGUCUGGCAAGCCUUGUAGAUAGUUCAGUAACUAUGUCUAUGUUUCUAUUUAACUUAUGUUUUGCCCGUGCUUUGUAGUUAUUCUUUCCUGUUUGAUGUGAGCCUGACUACGUGGGCCUUUGAUUGGGCAAAACUCAAUUCUCUUCUACGUGGGCCUUUGAUUGGGCCAAGACUCAAUUCUCUUUCUUUAUUGGGCCACAAAUUAAAGGGCCAAAUUGGGUUUUUACCCUCAUAACACAAGUUGGGUCUAAACAUGAAGAUUGGACCAAACGUGAGGGACCCAAAUGCAAGCUGAAAUGCAACCUCUUCGAAGUGGUUGUCUCGGCCAUAUUUUCCAGCCACUUAGUAGUGGAACUUCAGUUUCCUACUUAAUUUCUAUUAUGAAUGUUUUAUUUUUUUGUGUAUUAUAGUUUUAUGUUUUAAUAAUGCUCAUGCAUGUUUUGAGCUUAAGUGUUUAUGUCAUUUGUUCAUUUCUCAUGUGUCUGUUAUUUUUAUUUCGUAUGUUAAGAUAUGUGAUUGUUUAAUUUUAUGUGUCAUGUCAUGUGUUUUUUCUUGUGUUGAAAUGAGCUUAUGUUUGUUCUAUUUAUAUGUGAUUUAGGUACAUUAGCUGGCCAUAUUUAUACCAUACAUGUACCUUGUGGAUUUUCACCUUGUUCUCUAAAUUCAUGUACGACCAAGGGAGGAUGAAUGGAUUAAACGCAUCACAUUGAACUCGAGAGAUACAUUGGCAAGAAGGGAAGAAAGUCCAUAAACAUGUAUCAUCAAGGGGGGACAUUUUUUUUACUAUUCGGUCGAUUCAAUGAAUGCCAAGAUACAUGUACGAUUAAGGGAAACGUAUGUGACUUAUGUAGCAUAUGUUGAACCUUGAAAAUGCAUGGAUGAUAAUUAGCAGAUGCAUGGAUGGCAAAGGGGAAGAGAAUGUGACCAUUCACAUAAACGUUGAACAAUUAGAUGCAUGCAUGUCAAGGAGGGAAGCAUAAGACUUUUUGUUCAUUUAAUGUAUGAAUAAAUACAUGAACUCCUUUGGUUCAUGAAUGGGUUUGAUGCAUCUAAUUAUUAUUGGAAAAAUUUUUCCAUUCAUCUAUCUUAGUAGUUUUCCUAUAAAUAGUUGUGAUUGUAGACAUUUGAAGGCUAAUGAACAUUUUAUAUAUUUGAGUUAAAUCUCUUUUGUUCUUUGACAACUUAAAAAUUGAACUUAUCUAGAAUUGUUUUCUUCUAGUGUUCACUACCUUCAAUCUUAUCACUUCCCUUCUCACCUAUUUUCAAAGUGUGCCAAUCAACCCUAUAUCAUUGGUUCAUAUCUCUUUAUAGAUAGUGGGUCACAAUUCUUAUUCGUUUCCCAAAAUUUUUGAGUUUUAAACAACUUUAUAGAAAUUGGGUCUCGUCAUUAUAUAACGUAGGAUAAUUUCUAAGCUUGUUUCAAGUUCGAAAGUUAUAUCCCUUUUAUCACAUUGUUUUUUAUCCUUCUUUUUUCCACUCUUUUAUAAUAUUUCAAGAGUUUGAUCACAUAAGAAAUUGUAACGCCCUAAAACCAACCUAGACAUUACGUCUGAAUCUCGAAGAUCACAUUGGCCAUGGCAAUGGUGUGAAAAAUCAUUUAACUAUUUCUCCCAACUAACGUCGUUACUAAAAAAUUGUCAUUUUGAUUUUCUUGAGAAAAAUCAAAUAGUACCUUCAAGUUUUCUUUUGGAAAAAAUUUGUCAAAAUCGAUUUUCUUGAGAAAACUCUAGUUUCGAUUGUUUUUAGAAAACAUCAUGUUUCAAAACAGUCACAGCAAAAAAUAUUUUACCUACAUCUCACUCAUUGAUUUGAAAUCAUAAUUUUGACAUAUCUUGUAAAAUAUCAGUUAAAUGAGAAAAUAGUGUUGAGUUUUGAAAACAAAGUCUUGAGUAUGAAAUAACGAUUGUUAAGUUGAGUUUGUCGUUAGGUUGAAAAUCCAGUUUUUCUUACUAAAUUCAUAAAUAGUCUUAGGUGAACAACAUUACAAUUGAGUGACGUUUUCUUUUAAAAAUAAAUAAAUUUUAUUAAAUAUUUUUCAAAGAAAUAAAAUUAGUCAAUCUUAAAAAUUUUACUUUUCAAACUCAAAACCUUUAUUUUCAAGUAAACAAAUAAUUUCGCACUUCGUUAACAUAAUUACUAAGAUUCAGCCAUAACGUCUAGACCAGGUUUGGGGAGUUCCAUUUAAUGGUAUUAGAGCCCGAUUCAAAACUCAGACUGUGUAUUUUAAUGGGUCUCUAUGCAUAUUUUAAAAGAAUUUUUGGCAAACCUUUCUUUCUAUUAAAUUUAAAGAUUUUUAAACCUCGAAAAAUUAAAAAUUUGAGACUCCCAAAGCUGAUCCAAGAUAAGUACUCCUUACUUAAGAUUAUGAUAUUUUAGAUAGUAUGUUUUCAAAUAGUAAAAACUCUGAUAAAAAAUAUUCAAGUGAUAACAUGGAAUUUACUUUUGUAAUUGUUAGAUAAUUCACAAAAUUUAAGUACUAUGAAUAAUCAAGGGGUUAGAACUCGUGGUGCACAUCGUUGUGCGGCUAAAGAAGAGUCAUUCACUAUUCGAUUGCCUAUACCAGACCUCAGUGUCAACGAGGAUGAUCCUGUUAUAGAAAUUAUGAGCGAUGUGCCUGAGGAAUUUGUUAAUGGAGAGGAAAAUCAUGAAUCUGUUGAUGGUAUGAUUUCCCAAACACUAUUGAGGGUUUUAUAGCGGGUUGUUAAAGGCCAACCAGAAACUGGAAGUCGUAAGUCUAUUACUGAUAGGCUUCGGUCGAGUAGAGUCGAAGUAUUUAGAGGAGUUGCUAGGACGACCCUUACGGUAGCUAAGUACUAGAUUUCAUCUAUUGAGAGGAUCUUGGAUAAUUUUUACUAUACCCUAGAACAUAAACUUAAGGGUACAGUGUCUCUUUUGAGAAAUGAGGCAUUUUGUUGGUGGAAAUCUAUCAUGGAAGGUACCCAGCCAAAGAAGAUAACUUUGGAUUAUUUCAAAACUGCCUUUCAUAAAAAAAAUAUGGGAUCGAGGUAUGUUGAAGCCCGAAAACUUCAUUUUAUUAAAUUGAAGCAAAGGGACCAAACCAUAUCCGAGUAUGAGGCUGGGUUAUUAAGCCUGAACCGGUAUGCACAAGGGGUGGUAGCUUCAGAGUAGAACAACUGUGUUAGAUUUGAGAAUAGGCUGAGGUAUGACCUCAAGGUCCAAGUUGUCAUAUUGUAGGAGAGAGUCUUCGAGACUUUAGUAGACAAGGUGAAGAUCCUUGAAAAGGUGAAAUAGGAUAAGCAAGAUAGAAGAGAUAAGACCAAGAAUCUAGUGAAGAGAGAUUUUGGUCUGGGAAAUUCUAAUCCAUGCCCAGUGAAGAGGGUCCGUGAAAAUAGACCACGUCAGUACCCUGCUAUUGCAAGUAACAGAAAUUAGACCCGCAAUUAUGCUUACUGUGGGAAGUCUCACAAUAGGAAAUGUUGAAAGAGCAAGGGAGCAUGCUCUAGGUGUGGGGCGUGGCAAUAACAAAAUGAUAAUAGUGGGUGGAGGACAAAUGGUCAAGGUACGAACUGCACUAAUGUUAGACAGCCCACCUUGGUUUAUGCAGCAAGGCACCAAGAGGACGGUAAUGCGGCUGAUGUUAACGCAGGUACUUUUAUAAUAAAUUUUGUACAAUACUUUGCUUUGAUAGAUAUAGGAUCAACUCAUUCUUAUGUUUCCUGCUCUAUGACUGAUAAAUUGGGAGUUCUAGUGGAAAUUAAUGUUAGCGGCAUAACUGUACUCAGUCCCCUAGGACAAUUUAUGUAUGUGAAUAAAAUAUUUAGGAGAUGUCCUCUAGAAAUUUAGGGUGAGUUGUUUCCAGCUGACUUGAUGGAGCUGCCAUUCAGUGAAUUUGAUCUUAUUUUGGGCAUGGAUUGGUUGAAGGAGCAUCGAGUUAGCCUUGAUUGUGAUACAAAGUCGGUUACUCUGAGGAAUUCAACCAGAAAGGAGAUAGUUAUGAUCUAUAAGCACCAAUAUUACUUGUCCAAUGUGAUCUCUACUUUGGUAGCCGAGAAAUUAGUUCAUAAAGGGUGCGAUGCCUAUUUGGCGUACAUUCUGGAUAUGAAAGCUGAUGCCUCAAUGUUAGAAAGCAUAUGUGUAGUGAAAGAGUUUCCUGACGUCUUUCUAGAAGACUUGCCAGAUCUACCUCCAAAAUGCGAGGUUGAUUUUGGGAUUGAGUUGCUACUUAGGAUAGCUCCGAUGUUUAUUGCUCCCUACUAAAUGGCACCUAAGAAGCUUAAAGCAUAGUUGCAAGAGUUUUUAGACCAUGGUUUUAUCUUGGAGAGCUCCAGUUCUACUCGUGAGGAAGAAGGAAAAUGGUAUGCAUUGAGUGUUAACUCGGUCUUCCUGGAAUUUUCACAACAUUCGUGCUGAAAAAAUGUCUAACCUUUUGCCCUGGUAAAACUUCACUCCUUUAUUUCUCGUUCCUCAACCUACACCUGCAAAAGCACCAAACACAACCCUACCACAAGCAAUUAAAAGUACCUAAUAUUUAAACAAAGUCCAAGCUCCUAAUGGAAUGAUGAAGAUGUGAAUGAAAUGUCCUAAAAUGCAACUAAAUGUACCUUGGUGCAAGUAAUUAGCUAGGCCUUAAAGCAUGAAAUAUAAAUUUUUUCAAGAGUUAUCACACCCUCAAACCUGAGUUAUUACUUUUCCUCAAGCCAAAUACAUAUGAAUGCAUGAAUCCAUAAAUUUUUACCCUUCCAUAUAACUAUCUUAUACUGUUAAUCUAUUAAAAGAACAACAUAUACAUCAGUUCUCAGUAGUCUUCUUUCUCUAAAAGCUUUAUUGAAUGUCAAAGGUUCAUUUCAAAAAAGGUAGUGUAGAAAAUUUGUCCCUAAAAAUAAAUUUCCUAAAUACUCAUGUAUGCUUUCUGGCCAUAGAAAAUAUCUCCUAAUGCACUCAGUCCAUUUGUAACCUAAACUGUAACAGCCUAUUUUUAGUGAAAUCGAGACCACAAAUCCUACGUGAAAAUAUUUAUAUUAUUAUUUUAAUGUCUAUGGCAUGUUAAUAGUGUCAUUUGCAUGCUUAAUUUAGUGAGAAUGGCUAAAUUGUAAAAGGUGUAAAAGUAGAGUUCUAGUAGCUAAAGGUAUCAAAUAGCUAUAGAACUUUAAUGUAAGAGUACUUAGGUGGUAAUUAGACCAUUUAUGUGGUAGUGGAAAUUUAUGGGUUUGGUUUUAUUAACAUUAGGGAUACUUUUAAAGGUUUAAAAUGUAAUUAACUAAAAAAAGGUUAAUAUAAUAAAAACAAAAUAAAGAAAUAAGAUAUCUUCCUAUCUUCAUCCUUAGCUGAAAUAUUCAAGGGAAACCAUAGCUAGGUUUCAGUCAAGCUAUAUUCACCGGUAUGUAAGUGGUUUUUGUUUCGUUUUAAUGAUUUCUAUGUUUUUGAAGUUGUUGUAGCUUAAUCUAGCUAGCCCAGGGACUAAUUUGCAAAACUAUUAAAGGUUUAAGGUUUUACCAUGAAUUUUCUUACAUGAUUUAAGAAGUUUGAUGAAAGAUUAUGAGUCCUUGUGGUUAAAUAAACAAUUUUUGUAAAGUGAUUUUUGAUGAAUUUGUCAUUUAAGGACUUAUUUGUAAAAGUAGUAAAAUACCAUGAUAAAUUUGUGAAAUGUCGAUUUGUAUGAGGUUGUAUGAGCCCCUAGGCAAAUCAACUAGCAUGAUAUGUGGAUGAAAUUGCAUAAAUGACAAUUUACGAGCUUAAGGACUAAAUUAUAAAUAAGUUAAAACAUUAGGGGCAAAAAUGUACAUCUGCAAUAGUAUGAAUUUUGGACUAAAUUGAAUAGUAUGUGUAUUAAAAAAUAUUGAAUUUUCUUAUUUAGAUAAAGAUAAACCUUGUACGGAUUUAGAUCGAGGAAAGGCUAAAGUCUCGGAUUAGUGAUCCUAUUUUGACGUCUUUGUAAUCAAGGUAAAUUUGUAUGUUUAAAUAACAUUAUAAUGUUAUUUUGAUAUUUAUGCAUUGUAAUAUAUAUCAUGUAAAGAAAUUAUGAGAAUCCAAUGACGUUACGAUGACUAUCGAGCUCCGUUUGAACCUUAGGAAUAUAUAGGAUACAAAUGAAAUGUCAUUAAGGUUACCAUGUUUCGGAUGCUGGUCUUGAAUGUCCUACCAAUGGAUGAGCUCUAGAAUUUUUUGCUGAUACUCACCAACUUAUGUGAGUGGCAUUGUGUAGCUACAUUCUGAUCGUCAACUUGUGUGAGUAGACCUAUUUAUGGCUUGAGUGAGCAAUGAUGUAAAGGAAAAGGAAUGGUUUCAACCAUAUGUUUAGCACAUUUUGUGUGAGCUUCCCGCGUAUCCAAUAUUGUUCUAAGUGGUUCAACGGGUAUGAAAUGGGAAGGAACGGUAAGUGUUCCAUUGACUACAUUAUGAACUUAUGGAAAGGUAUGAAUUGAUAAUGAUCAGAGUAUACAUAGUUAUGUUUAUGGAAAGUAUGAAUUCAAAUGUACUAUGUUCAUGAAAUUUACCUUACCAUGUGAUGCUUUUGUUGAGUUAUGUGUUAAGGCACUAACUUAUGUUGUUGAUGAUGCUUGGGCUUGUGUCAAGCUUAUUUUGGAUUGAUUGAUGUUUAAAUUAUGAGGUUUUGCAUUGAAAUGGUAAGCUAUGUUCAUGAUUUACGAACUUACUAAGCAUUAUAUGCUUACGUAGUUUUCUUUUCUAUGUUUUAUAGAUUAUCGGAAGCUCGUUCAGUUUGGAAGUUCGUUAGAGACCUAUCAUACUAUCCGGCGAUUAUAUCGGUAGAUUUUGAUGUUUUGGUCAAGGUUACAAUGGCAUGUAUAAAUGGACUUCUGCUUAAUGAUCUAGUUGUUUUGGAAUGUAUAAGUGUUAUUAUGGUUCAUGUACUUAUGGUUUUUUGAUGCCUUGAUGGUUGGUGUUAUUAUGGCCAAGAUGUUGCAUGUUUUGAAUGAUCAAUUUGGUAUGUGAUGGUGUAUUUUCAAUGUGAUCAAUUAAGGUAUGUUUUUAGUUGAAAUAAGUAAAAUGUGUAAGGUUGAUGAAUGGUCAAGUAUGCAUAUUUUUUGUAGGUUUAAUGGAUUGUAAUUAAGGUGUCUUAUUGGCAUAUUGGUUGCAUGGAUUAUUGGUAUAGAGAUUUGGUCAUUUGAUGUAUGUUUUGGGCAUGUUUUAAGGUCUUGAUUAUUUAUGCAAUUGGCUUGUAGGUACAUGUCUAAAUGGGUGAAAGAAAUGGUUUGAUUUUAGCCAAUUCUUGUCCACACAGCCUAAAACACCGGCGUGUGUCUCAGUCUCUUGUGACACACGGCCAUGUGACACGGUCGUGUGUCCCUUGUAGGUAUUAAAGGUUUCAAGUCAGGCAGUUACACAGCCUAGCACACGUCCUGGUACACAGGCUUGUGAGGCCAUUUCGAGUGUUACAUGGCCUGGCACACGGGCGUGUGGCUUGGUCGUGUGACCUAACUUAGAGAAUUACAUAAGCACGAACACGGGCUGGGACACAGCCGUGUGUCCCUAUUUUGAUUGUUACAUAGCCUGAGACAUGGGCGUGUGUCUCAGCUAUGUGAGUCAUAUGGCAGUGUGACCCCUGCAGUUUUGAAUUUUCUAACAUUUUCCUGAUUUAGUCCUAAAUCAUUUCUAAAGUGUUUCUAAGGCCUCGAGGGUUCGAAUAAGGGAUGAUAUGACUGUCUAUGAAUGGAUUAUGCUAUGAUUAUUGUAAUGUUUGGAAAUGAAUGCUUUUAGGUUAUGUUUAUACAGUAAUGCUCUGUAACCCUAUUCUAGUGAUGGAUACGGGUUAGGAGUGUUACAUUUAGUGAUAUCAGAGCUAUGGUUUAGUUGGUUCUCAGACUGAACGUAGUGAGUACGAGUCUAAAAAUACAUGUCAUUAUAUAACCUGUGAUUGUGUGGUAACUCCUAACUCAAUUUGAACUAUACUUUUAUAUAGAUAAUGUCAUCCAACCAAGUCGAUUCCGAUGAGGCUGAAAGUAUCGCGCAAGCCUUUGUUCACGGAGCAGCGUUGAGUGGAACUAGACCCGUAUUUAAGGUAUGGGGAGGAGAGGCUAAGGAAACCUUCUUCCAGAUGAUGAAUGAGUGGUUCACCAAUUUUCUACGAACGAACCCAAUGGCUCAACGACCUCAACCCCUACAUAUUCCCCAACCAAUCCCUAUAGUUCCUCAAGGUUUUGAACCAAUACGGUUAAGCAAGCCUCCAGUUGAUAAAAUCCGUAAAUAUGAGGCUGAAGAGUUUAGAGCUACGUCUAAAAAUGAUCCAGAGAGAGUCGAGUUCUAGUUAGAAAAUACAAUCAGGGUUUUCAACAAAUUAUCUUGUACGCCGGUAAAAUGUGUGAAAUGUUUUGUUUCCUUACUGAAAGACUCAACCUAUCAGUGGUGGAAUACCUUGGUUUCUGUUGUGUCGAGAGAAUGAGUAGACUAGGAAUUCUUUCAAACUGAGUUCUAUAGCAAAUAUGUGAGUCAGAGGUUUCUUGACAAGAAACGCAAAGAGUUUCUCAAGCUUAAACAAGGCCAGAUGAUACUAUCUGAGUGAGAGACGGGAUUCGUUUGAUUGAGCAAGUAUGCCCGAGAAUGUAUACUGACUGAGAUUGCCAUGUGUAAACGAUUUGAAGAUUUGCUGAAUGAAGACAUGAAGCUGUUAGUCAAGAUUCUAGAAUUGAAAGAAUUUUUUAUUAUAGUUGACCGAGCACACAAAGCUGAAGAAUUGAGUAAAGCUAAAAGAAAAGUUGAUUAUGAGGCUUGUGAUUUGAGUAAGAGAUCGGCGGGAUAAUCAUCUCAUUUAUCGUCAAAGAAGUCAAAAGAAUAUCAUAAUCAUUCGUUAGCUUCAGUGGGUCAUUCUGGUAGAGAUCGAAAAAAAUAGCAUGCGAAUUUAAAACCUCAAGCUACUCUAUAUCAAGCCUAGCACACGGCCUAGCACACGGACGUGUGAGGCCAUUUUGAGUGUUACACGGCCUGGCACACGAGCCGCUGGCUUCGCCAUGUGACCAAACUCAGAGAAUUACACGGGCAUGGACAUGGGCUGGAACACGGCUGUGUUUCCCUAAUUUGAUUGUUAGAUGGCCUGAGACAUAGGCGUGUGUCUCAGCCGUAUUAGUCAUACAGCCGUGUGACCCUUGCAGUUUUGGAUUUUCUAACCUUUUCCACAAUGUUUCAAAUGUUCUUGAUUUAGUCCCGAAACAUUUCUAAAGUGUUUCUAAGGCCUCGAGGGUUCGAAUAAGGGGCGAUAUAAAUGUCUAUAAGUGGAUUAUGCUAUGAUUAUUGUAAUGUUUGGAAAUGAAUGUUUUUAGGUUAUGUUUAUAUAUUAAUGCUCCAUAACCCUAUUCUGGCGACAGAUACGUCUUAGGAGUGUUACAUAAACUCAAGUUACUUUGCUACCCUUGCUCACAACCUUUUCAAGAUAUUUAUUUGUACUUGUUUUUUCUCUUCUUUAUUAUUAUUAUUUUCUUUUUCUUUUCUUUUUUCUUUUAGCAUGUCACAAAAUUCUUUGACUUGAUAUUCACAAUGGAGCAUACACUAAAUUACCUAGCUCUCUAUCAUGUCAUAAUUUAAAUAUAAAUCACUUGUGAAGCUAAGGCUUUUGACUAAAAAGAUGGAUAAAGUAAACAACUACCUUCUUAGCUACUCAGUCUGUUGCUAUAGUGAAGUACCCAUUUUCUUUAUUACACACUAUUACUUGGACUGACCUUUCUAGUUAACAGCACAGUGGAGCAAAUAAAAUGGUGCUAACUUACUCAACAAUUUUAAGCAUUGGAGUGCCUACUGUCCUUUAUUUAAGUAAUGUCAUGGCAAAAUGACUGAGUUUGGCUUCAAAAACCCUAAAUUCAUCAAAAAGCCCUUGCUAUUAAUCAAAAAGGGAAAAAAACUAAGUAUAGGACAUCUCAUUUUUAAGAAUUAAUUUUCACGCAAUCUAACCUGAGCUAAACUCGCCUCAUCCACUAUCACAUGUUCUAGAUAUACUGAAGAAUAUAAGCUCAUCAUCGAAUAUCACAAGUAAAGAUUGAAUUUCUCGCAGAUAAAACAGUAUUUAAUAAUCACAAGGCAUUGGAAAACAACUUAACUAUACUAGGAUGAACAUACAUACUAGAUACGUAAUGCAACCUAAAUGCACAAUACAUCACCCCAAACUUAAGGGAUGCAUUAUCCUCAAUGCAUGAAUAGAUAUAUGCAAACUAUCUAUGUACAGACAAUGUCAUGACAAAAUAUAUGCUAUGCAAUAUGUCUGAAAUAAAACGAAAACUUUCCUUGCUUGGACUACAUUGUAGAUACUUCAUUAUGUCUGACGAGUUGAUUUAUGAGCAGCAACCUUGUACCUUUACUUCCUCUUCAUCCUCACAGUCAGUCUCAAUACUGACAAACUUUAUUUUCUCUGGUUCUUCCUCUGAUGCUUUAGGCGCAUUCUCUUAAUUGGUAGGAUUUGUCAAUGGGCUCUGCGUCACCGACCCCAUCCCCUCUUGCAGUUUAUUAAACAAAGGAAAUAAAUUAACUAAGAGAAAUUUAAAUCGAAAAAAUAAAAUAAAAAUAAAAAUAAUUUUCAAGAUGUUGAAGUUAAACAUCUCAAAGAUCAAUAGACUAUUUGUCUCACUCUACAUAAGCACCCCAAUAGUGUUGCAAGCGUUGUCCAUUAACUUUAAAUGUGUCCCCUAUUUUCAUGUACUUGACAUCAACAACUCCAUGUGGGAUAUAUAUGAGCUACCAAGCAUUAUUCAUCAAAAUUGAAAGGUUUAUUUUGCUCCAGCAAAGUGUAUAAGGGUCUCCGCUCAAAUGAAUCUUUAUCACUAUCAGAACUGAUGUGGCAAUAUAUCAUGAACUCUUCCUCCACUACUGUUUCUAUUAAGUCAAUGGCAUGGCAUUCUUUAUUAUCAUCAAAAUAUUUUUGUGCAUUAAAUACAUUGAAUGUGACCUAUUGAUCAUUCAUCCUCAUGGUCAAUUCACCUUUCUACACAUCAAUUGAAGUCCUGCCUGUAGCAAGAAAAGGCCUUCCAAGAAUAAUUGGCACAUCUUUGUUACCUUCACAAUCUAAAAUAAGGAAAUCAGCUGGAAAAAUAAACUUAUCUACUCUUACCAACACAUCUUCAAUUUUACCUUCUGGAUGUGCGUAGGAUCGAUCAACCAAUUGUACUGUAACUGUAGUAGGUCUAGUUUUUCCAAUUCCCAGCUUCCUGAAAAUAGACAGCAGUAUUAGAUUUAUACAUACUCCUGAAUCACAUAAUGCAUUACCAACAUAAUGAUUUCCAAUUAAACAUAGGAUAGAGAAACUCCCUAAGUCCUUCAACUUUGGAGGUAAUUCAUCAACAUUGUUGUGCACCCUUAAGUGAAAGCAAUAGUCUCAAGUUCUCCCAUUCUGUGCUUCUUCGACAGUAUAUCCUACAUAAAUUUCACAUAGUUUGGCAUUUGCUCCAAAGCUUCUACUAGCGAUAUAUUAAUAUGUAGUUGCUUCAAGACCUCCAAAAACCUUUUGAACUAAACAUCUUGUUUAGAAUUAUGUAAUUUCUGAGGAAAAGAUAGAGGUGGUCGUCCUUCAAGUUUCUGAUAUUGUUUUCCUAUAGCGUUUUUAUUGGCAGCCUGAUCUAGUUCUGCCACAGCAUUCUUCUGCUUACCCUUUUCAAGUGUAAUAUGUUUUUCAGAUGGCUUUGGGAUCUUUACAUGGUUGUUAUUUGAGUUAUCCUCUCCUACUGUGGCAUCUUGAACAACAUCAUUUAACUGAGCUCCACUUCUGAGAGUGAUCACUUUGCACUGUUCUUUCCCUUAUGUUAUCCAAUUCUAGGUAUCGUUGGCAAUGCUCCUUGUGGCCUCAAAUUUAAAGCAUUUGUUAUUUGCCCACUUGAUUCUCAAGAGCUCGUAGGGACAUAGCUUGACUAAGGUAUCUUUCUUGGCCAUAAAUUAUUUCAACAAGUCUUCAAUAGAUGGUGAUGAUAAUGACUGGCCUUGUUGUACAUUUUGCCUCGGCAUAGGAUGAUUAUAACUAGGCGAUGCACUAUCGGCAUUCUUCUUGUAGCAUUGUUAAAAUUCCCCUCACCUUGAUUAUUCCAACUAAAGUUUAGAUGUUGUCCCCACCCUAGAUUAUAGGUGUUGGAAUAGGGAUUAUUAUUCCAAUUGAAAUUACCUAUGUAGCACACGAAUGUUGGGUUUGAUAGGCAUUCAUCCAACACGUGGUCAUCACCACAAUAAACACAUGCUAGCCUAAUAGCUUUCACCUCCUGAACUGUAGUUGGUAUCUCCAUCAUCUUGAUCAUAUUAGUUAAAGAUGAAACAUGGGUAGUCAAUGAAGUGAUUGUAUUAAGUUCCAUGGUACCAGCAGCUUUCUUACCCGUUAAAACUCUCGUGGUAGUAUAUUGAUAAUUAUUGCUGGCAAUCUUUUCCAAAAUCUCAUAUGCUUCAUUAUAAGAUUUAUCCAACAAAAUACCAUUGGUGAAGGCAUCAACUACCAUCCUCGUAUGCGCAUUCAUUCCAUUAUAAAAUAACUUCAUCUGUGUCUAGUGCUGAAAUCCAUGCAUCGGGCACUUCUGAAUGAAGUCUUUAAAUCGCUCCCAAGCUUCAUAUAGCGUUUCAUCAUCCAAUUGCUGAAAAGAUGUGAUGUCAUUUCUAAGCUUGGCAUUCAUAUUUGGAGGAUUAUAUCGUAGAAAAAAACUCUAGCAAAGAUCAUUUCAUGAUGCUACUAUUCAGUACGGCAGAGCAUUCAGCCAUGCUCUCACACGAUCUCUUAAAGAAUAUGGAAACAGUUUAAGUCGCAAAGUGUCUUUAGGCACACCCUACUGUCUCUAUGAGUCAUAAACCUCUAAAAAAAGUCUUAAAUGAAGUAUUGGAUCUUUAUUAGGUAAUCCACUUAACUGUCCUACUAUUUACAACAUCUAAAAUAUUACCAGUUUCAGCUCAAACUACUGAACUUGUAUUUGUGGUCUGACUAUCUCUGGAUUCAAAUCAUCCAAAAUUAGCACAACAUGCUCUCAGAUUGGUCUAUCUCGGUCAUCUAUCAUUCUACGAACAUGAAGAUUAGCAUCCUGACCAUUCAAAUUAUCAUUGAGACUAGGAUCAUUUUCGUUUCUAGCAUCAUAGUUCUUUUCACCUUCUUCAUAAAGUUAUUUCGAUCUUUAGGUUAAAAGGAUACUCUUUGUUAGUAGGAAUAUCUUUUCUCAUGUACUGAUGGAAAACUUAUAGAAAAAUAUAACUAAGUUAAAUAAAACUAAUGGAGCUAAGUGAAAUAACAAAACCAAUUUUUAAGAAAUUGUCAAUCCCUGGCAACGGUGCCAAAAAAUUGUCGCGCGUGAAUAUGAUAUGUGAAUCGUGCAAGUAUACACGUUGGAUCAAGUAAUAAAGUGAUAAGUGAGUAUCACUCCCAUGAGGUUCCAAUUGAGGCACAAAAGUGGUCAAGUUAUUAUAAUAGAGUGUUAUUAAUGUUAUGGCAAAAACAACGAUAAGUAUAAAGGAGUAGUGAUGUAUGUAAUAUGUGGAAUUUAAUGAAUACUUGGAAAUGUUAUGGCAAAACAAAAGUAGAAAUGUAAUGGAAAUUAUGAGAGUUACUACGGGAAUAUUAUGUAAAUGAACAAAUAAAUAACUAAUAAUGAUGUGACAAAGAUACUAUGGCAAAGAACAAAGGAUAUACGAUGUUGAUUUGGAAUGUUGGAAUUAUUAAGAAUCUACCCUUACUGUCAGAGAUGCCUCGAAAAAAUCAUAAUUAAUUUACUACUUAGAAGAGUUCUAAAGUGGUCUGCUUCUUUCGAGAGCAAAAGUCUCAAGUUACCUUACCCAUGACAAUAGGCCUUUAAUACGGUACCCUGCACUAUUUCUUUUUGUAUGAAUGCUGCUCUAUGUCUAAAGUCUACUACAAGCAUCUAUUGAAUACUUGCUCAUAUCAUUCAAUUUCGGUCCAACUAAUCCAACCUUUUCAAAAUUAAAUUAGUUUAUGUGCAUGCUACACAAUCUCUAUGUCUAGGAAUUGCACGCUUAUAAUUUAGAAAAAAAUAAUUAAAUGAAACAGUAAAUUAAUUCAACUCUAUGCUUCAACCAUUAAAGAAAAUAAAGGUUUCAUCAUGUAAUCUCAACCCUAUGAGAUUUAGCUCAUGGGUUGGCACAUAAAAUUUAAAACCAAAAUAACAUCCAACACCAUUUUCAUCAUUCCAUUCAAGGAAGAACAAAGUAAGAAAUGUAGAAGACUUUGAGAAUACAACUUUUUCAUGUCAUGUUCACACUCCAACAACAUAGUGUUCCAGCGAUGGCUAAGAGGGACUACUUUUGUCUUCCUCUUUUUGUCUCUACUCAGCCGCUACCCUCUAUUUUUGCCUAAGGAGCUGUUGCUUUUUGUUCAUCAUUUAGGGUUUCCUCCUUUGGCUUUUUAUAGCUUUUUCCCUUGGGUAAAUCCAACAAAUCAUGUUUAUCUUCUCCUCUUUUUAAAAUUUUUUUUCUAGAAUAAAAAUCAAAAUCCCAGGAUUAUCUUCUCCUCUUUUAGGUACAUUUUUUUGGUAAAAAUGCAGUUGGGCUAAAAUUGGUAUGCAUUGAGUGUUGACUCGAUCAUCCUAGAAUUGCCACAGCAUUCGUGCUAACCAAAUGUCCAACCUUUUGCCCUGGUAAACCUUUACUCCUUUAUUUCUCAUUCCUCAACCUGCACCUGCCAAAGCACCAAACACAACCCUACCAUAAGCAAUUAAAAGUAUCUAUUAUUGAUUUUUUUUGGUAAGUGGUAAUAGGACUUGUAACUAAUAUAGUUUUGGAAAAAAAUAUGAUUUUUUUUAGAAUCUUUAAGGCAUAUUUUCGAUUGGUAAAUGAGGAGUUUUGAAUCAUAAAAUUAUGAUUUUAUGUUCUACCCCAUGAGACCUUUACAACGAGAUAUCAUAUGCUCAAAAUGGUUGAGUGAUGAAUGAGAAAUUGAUGCUCAAAGUAAGCUACUUGGAAAUUAUGUUGAGAAAAAUGAAAAAGCAUUAAUCCCACAUUUAUUAGGAAUCAAGUGUGGAACUUGAUAUAUAUGUAAACCAACUUGGUGGUUAUUAAAUGAGUAAACUAAUGCUCUCCCUCGUGUGCAGGGGGUGCAAAUCUAAAUCCACUGAGGUUGGGGGCACACCCGCACGACAUGGGCGUUUCCAAGAUUUUACUCAGUUUGAUUUAAAGGCUUCUUUAAUGCAUAUUUGUAUCUUUACUCAUGGAAAUUUCUAAAAUUCCUCCACAUUGAAUGCUUAUAAAAUCCUAAAUUCUUUAAAGACACACAACGAAUUUAUUUCACUCUCGAAAAUUCUAUUUCUUUUCUCUCCAAAAUUUUCAAACGUCCGGUGAUAGAAGAAGGCAAGGUUUGUUCGUUGAUCACUGCAGAUGUACUACUGCCGCAAUCAUUUUGUUAUUGUAUCCUGGGAGACAGAUGAUCAACAUUUCUCUAAGUACCAUAGGAGCAGCUGAAUCUGUCUUAAGGAAACUGUGAAAACAGACCUCAGCAUCUAGUAAAACUCGAUUUCCUUAUUCAAUUUCUGGUUUUUCAAAAUCUUGUUUAUAUAAUUAUUUUUUAGAUUUGAUGUUUUAAAUAAAUAUAAAUAUUUAUUUAUUUAUUUUGUUUAGAUCUGGUGUUUUUACACAAAUAUAGAUAUUUGGUUAUAUUAUUUGUUCAAGAUAUUAUAUUUAAUAUAAAUAUUUACAUUUAUAUUUGUUCGCUAACGUGUUUUGUCCAACAAUCUUAAGACAGAUUUUUAUUAUUUUAAAAUUCUCUAAUCCGAGUAGAACGAGACACGAAGGCAAAAAAAACAUAUUCUGUCUAAGAAAAAAUUAAAUUGAAUAAAAUCUAUUUCGGGAUUUAUUAUUGUCGUUCAAUAGACUUUAUUCCUUUUUUAUUUUGUUUCCAAACAAGAAUUAAUUGAAUAAUUCUAUUUCAGAAUUUAUUCUCACAGCUCAACAGAUUUUAUUCUAUUUUUAUUUUGUUUCCAAACAAUAAUUAAAUAAAUAAUUCUAUUUCUAGAUUUAUUCCCGCCAUUUAACAGAUUUUAUUUGAUUUUGAUUUUGUUUCCAAACAAGAUUUAAUUAAAUAAUUUUGUUUCAGGAUUUAAUCCUGUCGGCCAACAAAAUUGAUUUUAAUUUUAUUUCAGAAUUUUAACUCUUCCAUUUAACAAAAUCAAAGGGUAAUAUAAAUUUUAAAUUAAAUUUUUUAUUUAUUGUGGCUUUAAUUGUGGCUUUAAAUUGUGAAAGCUUAAAUUGUAGCUUCAAACUUGUGACAUCAAAGAAAAAAAAAAUUUAUCAACGGUGAAUUAAAAAAGACAAUAUGAGAGUGCAUGUCUAGGAUUGGUUCUUUGAAAGACUUGGUAUUUAAGUGUGCCAAGUGCACCACCUCUCUUUCAGGGUUACCUACCUGGCACAUUUUUUUUGUCUUUCGAUUAGACCGUGUAAACUUUUGUUUCAAGUUUUAUUAAAUUCCUAUCGUCUAGCAAAAGUUGAUAAUUUUUUUCUAAUUUUGGUUUUGUUUCUGAAAUCUUAACAGAAAAUGGAAACUCCCACCAAUGCUAUGGAAGAUAUGGACUUAUGUGCUGUGAUUUUUGAAGUCAACAUGGUUGACUCACAUCCAAGAGAAUAGUGGCUUGAUACUGGUGCCACACGUCAUAUUUGUUUGACAAAGACUUCUUUUCUGAGUUGGAGCCUUGUGAAGAUAGGGAGAAGCUCUAUAUGGGCAAUGCUAUGACUUCCAAGAUCAAGGAGAAUGGUACUAUAGUCUUGAAGAUGACUUCUGGCAGAGAACUCAAGCUUCAAAAUGUGUUGUAUGUGUUUGACAUACGCAAGAACCUUAUUUCUGAGACACUCCUUAGUGUACACGGUUUUAAGACGGUGUUUGAAUCCCAGAAGCUAGUUUUGUCUAAAGGGUGAAUGUUUGUGGGAAGGGGAUAUGUAUUAAAUGGCAUAUGGAAACUUAAAGCAAUCUCUGUAAAAUUAAAAACUAUGAAUAAGAGUGUUGUUUCUUCUUCUGUUUAUAUGCUUGAGUCAUUUAAUUUAUGGCAUGGUAGGCUCAGACAUGUUGGUUAUGAUACUUUACAUAGAUUAAUUAAUUUAGAGCUCAUUCCUUCAUUUCACAUUAGUUAUAAACAUAAAUGUGAAACUUUUGUUGACGAAAAAUUAACAAUGCCUUCAUUUGAAACUAUUGAAAGAAAUAUAGAACCACUCGAUCUAAUACAUAGCAAUGUUUGUGACUUAAUGUUUGUUCAAACCAGAGGAAGGAAUAAAUAUUUUAUUACCUUCAUUAAUGAUAGCACAAAAUAUUGUUAUGUAUAUUUGCUUCAGAGCAAAAACGAAGUUUAGAGAAAUUUAUUCUCUAUAAACAGGAAGUUGAAACCUAACUUAAUAAAAAGACUAUGAUGGUAAGAAGUGAUUAUGGUGGUGAAUAUGUUGAACCAUUUAGUGAAUACUGUGCACAACAUGGUAUUAUUCAUGAAGUGACACCACCAUACACUUCUCAAUCAAAUGGAAUAGCCGAGCGAAAAAAUCAGACUCUAAAGGAAAUGAUGAACGCAUUACUAGAAAGCUCUGGGUUAUCACAGAACAUGUGGGGGGAAGCUAUUCUAUGAGCUAAUUACCUUUUAAAUAAGGUUCCCUACAAGAAAAGGGACAAGACACCAUAUGAGUUAUGGAAAGGUAGAAAACCUUCCUACAACUACUUGAAACUGUGGGGGUGUCUUGCAAAGGUAAUGGCUCCAUUACCAAAGUAAAUGAAAAUAGGUCUUAAAACGGUGGAUGUAUUUUCAUAGGCUAUGCAGAUCAUAGAAAUACAUAUAGGUUUCUUGUGUAUGAAUCAAAGAAUCCUGACAUUCACAAGAAUAUUAUAUUGGAAUCAAUGAAUUCUUCAUUCUUUGAAAAUAUCUUCCCUUGUAAAGCUAGGGAAGUUGAUUCAAGUUCAACAAAAUGAACUUCAGAGACUAUAGAUGAAAAUAGUCAAGACGAGGUUAAAACUGUGAUAGAGCCAAGAGUAAACAAGUAACAGUGAAAAAAUCUUUUGGGUCAGAUUUUCUAACCUUUAUGCUAGAUGCUAAACCUCAAACAUGUGAUGAUGCUAUACGGUCAUCCGAAAGCACUUCAUGGAAAGAUGCUAUUAAAAGUGAAAUUGACUCCAUCAUGUAAAAUCAUACAUGAGAAUUAGUGGAUCUUGCUCUAGGAAUUAAACCAUUAAAUUCUAAGUGGAUUUUUAAAUGAAAAAUGAAAGCAGAUGAAACAAUAAACAAGUACAAGGUCAGAUUGGUUAUAAAAGUUUAUAGAUAAAAAGGAAGGCCUACUUUGAUACUUUUUCUCCAAUAUCCAGGAUAACUUCUAUAAGGAUGAUACUUGCAAUUGUCGCCUUAUAGAAUCUAGAAGUACAUCAAAUGGAUGUUAAAACAACUUUCCUAAAUUGAGAUCUUGAUGAAGAAAUUUACAUAGAACAACCUGAGGGUCAUGUAAUUCUAAGACAAGAAAGGAAAGUUUGUAAAUUGGUGAAGUCUUUAUAUGGACUUAAGCAAGCACUAAAACAAUGGCAUUAAAACUGUUCGACAAUGCCAUGAUGACAAAUGGCUUUAAGAUUAAUGAAUGUGAAAAUUGUGUGUAUGUCAAAACUACCGAUAUUGGAUAUAUAAUCCUAUGCUUAUAUAUUGAUGACAUAGUCAUUGUUGGAAGUAACAAUGAAAUGGUAAAACGUGCCACAGACAUGUUAAAUUCAACGUUUGACAUGAAAGAUAUGGGACUAGAAAAUGUGGUUUUGGCAUCCAAAUUAAGAGGUCAUAUGAAGGUCUGAUAUUGACUUAGCCACACUAUGUGGACAAGAUUCUUGGGAAAUUUAGCAAGGAUGAUUUCGGUAUAGCCAAAACUCCAAUAGCUACAAGCCAACAUUUGUCCAAAAAUAAAGGUGAAAGUGUUGACCAAGUGGAAUAUGCAGGGGUCAUAGGUAGUCUAAUGUACCUUAUGAGUUGUACUAGACUAGAUAUUGCUAUCACUGUGAGCAGUUUAAGCAUAUUCACAAGCAAUCCAGGGGAAAACCAAUGGAAAGUAAUUGUGAGGAUACUGAGAUAUCUUAGAUAUACUCAGGACUAUGGAUUGCAUUAUUCCAAAGAUCCUAUUGUUUUAGAAGGAUUCUCCUGUGCCAGUUGGAUAUCUGAUAUUCAAGAUACCAAAGGCACAAGUGGAUAUGUUUUUACAUUAGGAGGAGGAGCUAUGUCAUGGAAAUCCCCAAGACAAACGAUUAUAACCAGAUCCAUAAUAGAAUCUGAGUUUGUAGCUCUAGACAAAUCUGGAGAAGAGGCUAAAUGGCUUCGAAACUUCUUGGAAGAUAUUCCUGACUGGCCAAAGCCUGUGCCCACAAUAUGUAUAUAUUGUGACAAUCAAGCAACAAUUGGUAGAGCACAAAAUGUAAUAUAUAAUGGUAAGUCAAGACAUAUGCUUCGUUGACACAAUACUUGUAGACAACUGAUCUCAAAUGGGGUUAUCUCUAUUGAUUUUGUAAAAUCAAAAGAUAACAUUGUGGAUCCGCUAACUAAAUGCUUAAAUCGAGAUCAGGUUAAUAAAACAUCGAAAGGAAUAGGACUAAAGGCCAUGGAAAUUAAAGGCGCUAUGUAAAGGAAAACCCAACCUAGUUGAUUGGAGAUCCCAAGAUCUAGGUUCAAAGGGACAACCUAAUUGCAUAGGCCUUGUGAGGUCACUAUAGGGGUUCUUAUUCCAAGUCCAUUCCUAUGAAAUAAACAGUGAUUUAAAGUGAGAUAGGUUAAGUAAAGCUUUUAAUGACCAUUGUGUGUUUCGGAGAGCCAAGCAACAUAAGUCACCUAUGUUAGAGUGAAGUGGGGCUGCUUCGAGGAGACUAUUGUGCAUAGGUCUCUCAAAAUCUUGCAGAACCAGGAAAUGUUCAUGGUCAUAUAAACAUACCUAUGAGAACGAAGACCUUGCUAGGGAGGUAGUUGUGUAAGGAAUAUCAUUGUUUACACAAACGAUAGAACAGUUCAAGGAUAUUACGUCAACUAGUCAGCUAGUAAAAUAAAUAUACUUUCACAAGGGAAGGUUCAAGGGUUGAUGUUUGCCUAUCAUAUACAACUAUCAAUCGUAGAAUCUAUCACCACAUCCAGCCAAUGUUUUUCAUUAAACCUAUCAAUUUCAUUCAUGUGGGGUAUUGUUGGAAAAAUAUGAUUUUUUGGAAUCUUUGAGGCAUAUUUUCGAUUGGUAAAUGAGGAGUUUUGAAUCAUAAAAUUAUGAUUUUAUGCUCUACCUCAUGAGACCUUUACAACGGGAUAUCAUAUGCUCAAAAUGGUUGAGUGAUGAAUGAGAAAUUGAUGCUCAAAGUAAGCUACUUGGAAAUUAUGUUGAGAAAAAAUGAAAAAGCAUUAGUCCCACAUUGAUUAGGAAUCAAGUGUCACUACACCAAAAUAGGCUUUUAGCAGCGUUUUUAGUGGCAUUUGGAUAAAAAACGCUGCUAAAAAUCAAGCAAUAGCAGCGUUUUUUUUAAAACGCUGCUAAAGAUCCAAUAUUAGCGGCGUUUUUCGGAAAACGCCGUAAAAAAUGAGCAUUAGCAGCGUUUUUCAAAAAAGCGCCGCAAAAAAUCUAAGCACAACGAUGUCGUUUUUUGAGUUUUUGGGCCUUUAGCGGCGUUUUUUAAAAAACGCCGCUAAUGUUCGAGGCUUUAGCGGCGUUUUUGAAGAAGCGUCGCUAAUCCUCGGGGCUUUAGCGACGUUUUUGAAGAAGCGCCGCUAAUGCUCUGGUCUUUAGCGGCAUUUUUUAAGAAGCGCCGCUAAUGCUCUAGGCUUGCUCUGGGCUUUAGCGGCGUUUUUGGAAAAACGCCGCUAAUAAUCGAGGCUUUAGCGGCUUUUUUGAAGAAGCGCCGCUAAUGCUCUAUUUUUAGCGGCUUUUUUUAAGAAGCGCCGCUAAUGCUUUGGUCUUUAGCGGCGUUUUUGAAAAAAGCACCGCAAAAAAUAUUUUAUCUCUCUAUUUAUUAUUUAAUUGGUUUGUUUAUAUUAAUUAAAAUUCAAAUUAAUUUUAAUUGAAUAUUCAAAAUCUUCACAAAAAACUAAUGACACGUAGAAAUCAUUUGAAAUAAAAACAUAGAAAAAUAUUUGUUAAAAAUGGAAAAAUUAAAAUACUAUUAUUUAAAAUAAUUUUAAGUUUUUUAGAAACUGUGCAAAGUGUAUGCAAGCAGAUAAUGUUUAUAAUGCUAUUUUGGUCGUUCAAAGAGCUUUUACAGCACCUGCAAAAGCAGCGAUAAAUGAAAUUAAUUCAUACUUCCACAUGGAAGUUUUUGAGGUGAAUAUAAGUUUAAAUUGGUAUAAAUAAAUAUAAUUUUCCUUUUAGCUCUCUGGGUUUUUGUUCUUUUGAUUGUUUUAUAACAGUUUUUUCUUAAAGGAUAAGUGAUAGACGAAAUCCGGGAGUUGAAUCCUAGAGUUGAAAUCCAAGAGUUGAAUCCCUUAUAAAGGUACAUUUUUUUUCCUCAUUGAUAUAUGUUUAUUAGCAUUUGAGUCAUUUAGGUUACUUUUUAUUGUAUUCAUGCAUGCUUGCUUACUUCACAUUUUCCUUCUUCCAGUUUAAAUUUAAUUCUUUCAGUGCUGGAGAUGAUGAUUAUGAAGGGUACAAUUACCGCUUGUGUGGGCGACUUUCUGCUGUUCGAAUUGUUUUUCUUUGUAGGUUUGUUCAGGAGGUAUGAUGGGAUACAGUUUAAACUGUACAGUUUUAGCAUUACCAUCAUCCUAUUAUGGUUAAACCUUAACAUUUAACAAUUGAAGUUCACUUUCACAAAUAGUCAAAAUUUAGGUCUAUAAAUUUCAAGAAACUUGGUUUGGCAGAUAACAGUUUACUUCAUGGAGCUUGCUACCCCACAUACAGAAGAAAUAAUAAAACUUGUUGAUAAAGUUGGCGAUUUUGAGUGGUUAAUUCAGAAAUCUGAAAUUGAUGGGGCUGCUGCUUUGAAGCUGGAUCUUACAUUUGACACUCCAAUAAUUAUAGUUCCUAGGAAUUCAACGAGCACUGAGUAUGUUUAACUUUCCAUUAUCUUAGACUUGCAAAGUAGAACAGAACACUAACUGUUUUAGUCCAUUUUAAUAGAAACUGAACUCUCCAGGAUUUUUGUAUUAUUAUUUAGUGUGAACAUUACUAAUGUAUUUCCAUAUGACAAGUUUUGUUCAACUUGAUGUGGGUCUUCUAAAGGUCAGAAAUAAAAUAAGUUGAGCAUAUUAGGUUUGUCACUUAAAGGGCUCUGCAGAUUGUUUUAGAUUGGCUUGAUUUUUUAUUCACUCAAUAUUUCUCUUUAUCUCUCCAUGUGAUCCUAUUCUAGUAUCAUUUAGUACUUGAGUGAUCUAGAAGAUGUUGAUACAUGUCUUAAGGUAUAAUUUUCUGUCAGUUUACAUUAGAACAAGGUAGGUGCAUUAGACCAAGGUGUAAAUGAAUAUGAUCAAGUGUAUGUGUAUUCAAUAACAAGGACUAUUAGGAAAUCAUGUGUAUUGGCCAAUGAAAGAUUAAAAAAUUUUUGCAUGAUUUUUAGAUAAAAGGGACUAGUUGUUAGUGUUUGCUAUCAUAUCUUAAGCUAAUUUAUAUGUACACGGUCACACAUAAAAACACAAAUUUAUAUAUAUUGCCUCGUCUGUGGCAAGUGCUUUUUCCACACCUUGCCUUUUGAGUAAUAUAAAGGGUUCUAGUGCCUAGAAUACCUUGUGCUCUUGGCAACAUUUGGCUGGCCCUACAUUUCUUAAAUUUUUUUUCUAAUUCAAAUUCAUAUUUACUAUUUUUUGAAGAAAAAUUAAUAAUAAUUUUGUUUUGUCAUUUCUUCUAAUAUUAAUAACUAGCUACUUAUACUAUAUUAGAGAAUCAAAUAUUCACCGAGUCAAUGGAGUAUAUAAUUUAAAUAAAUUAUCCUUGAGAUAGUACCGAACCAGUUUUCCUCUUUGAAAUUGCUUUAACCAGUGAAAUGCUUCGGUAGUUUGCUACCUUUGUGGUGGAAAUUCUUGAUGUCUAUUUUGGACUUUGGAGCUAUAAUUUCAUUUUUCUUAUAUGCAAUUUUAUUUUUAUUAUUUUUCUUUUAUACAGGAUUAGAACCGGUAUACUACAGGAAGAGGAGUGCACAAAAAUCUGAAACGUACAGAGAAAGCUCGCAUUCUAGUUAGCAAAUUGCCAUGUAAGCUUCUAGUAGUAAUCUUACAUCUUGAAGUAGGUUUCUGUGACAUAUUAACUUAAUCUUCUUUGUUAAAUAGAAAACAUGCUUUAUUGCAAUGCAAUAUUUAGUUGAUUUGCUUAUAUGCUGGUUGUUUCUGAACUUGGUUUGGUUUUGUGUAACCGUGGUUUUUGAACUUGCAUUCUAUACUGUCCAAAUAUCUCGGUUCAGGUCAGUUUUCAAUUUUAUUAUUUACUCCCGAGCUUAAGCUCCAGUUUGAAUGAGAUUUUCCAGUAUAGUUAAAAGGUAAAAAGACCUCAAUCAAACUCGUGUGAUACUCUAGUCAAGCAUUAAAGUACUCGAAUUUGAUCUGCUCAAUAGCUCAAACUCGACUCAACACCAUUCAAGUUGUUGUUGUUAAUGGUUUUUAUUUUAAACUUAAGUUGUGUCUGCCAAUAUGCUCUUAAAUCAUGGUCCUUCUAUUUCUUUAGGUUGCUGAGAAGACUGCUCUUCUGCGGCCUAUAGAACUUAAACUUGUUCCUGUGGCCUUGGAAGGUAGUGCAUUUAAAAGCAAGUUUCUUGAUACGGAUGAACUUAUGAGCUACUGUAGCUGGUUUGCGGUAAGAAAUGACUCCUAUUUCUAUUUUAUGGUACCUGGAAUGGUUUAAUACUUCACCGUCUAUAAUAUUUCUAUUGCCCAUGGAUCUUAUGUUGUGGGUGUUAGUACCUUACCAAUCUCAUUAAUGUCUUGUUUUAUUCUUCCUAAAAUUCAAGGAAUCAGUUGUUUAAGUGUUUUCAUUCAGUUUACAUGUUUACCUCUGUUUCUCUGAGUUUCAUAUUUAACUAAUCCAUCUUAAUUGGUGGUAAAUUCAUGUUUUAGGCACUAAUCAAUUUUAACCAAAUUAUCUAACUGUAAUUUGUACUGCUUUCAGACUUUCAGUAGCAUGAUCCCAAAAUGGCUGCGGAAAACCAAAAUUGUCAAGAAAAUUAGCCAAAUACUGGUGAAUCACCUUGGACUAAAUUUGACCAAAGAUGAUCUACAAAAUGUGGUUGAUUUAAUGGAGCCAUAUGGUCAGAUAAGCAAUGGAAUAGAAUAUCUAAAUCCUCCCCUUGAUGUCAGUAACUAACUUGCUUGUCAUUUUAAAUAUGCAAGUCAAUUGCUAUUAAUAAUUUUCUGUUGGAUUCUUGGACUGAAAAAUAAUUGAAUUGCAAGGUCAUACAUGCUGUUAAUUUUUUAAGAGCUAAUAAAUGAGUAUGACAUAGUGCUCAUAAAUGUUCUAAGGAUGUCUUGAGAUGAAUGGAAUUGUCUGAUAGUUUGAGGUUAUAAAUCUUUGUAUUGAUUUUUCUCAACAAUCUGAAGCCUGUCAUACUUAGCAAAUAUUUCUGUGAGAAUGGGUGUUUAAGAACUGUGAAUUGUCUUGAAAUAUAUGCGGUUGAGAUGGUUGAUAUAUUAUCAAGCAUGCAAUAUAUAUCACUGUCGUGACAAGUUUUUAUAGGAUUUAUUUGAAAUGGGUACGAAUUUAUCUCCCUGUUACAUGGAAAUAUAUAUUUAGCUUUAAAGUUAAAAUUUUAAUAGAAAUUUUAAUUUAAUUAAAUAUUUUUUAUCCUUAAAAGUAUAUAGUUUAAAGUUUAAAUUUUAAAAACAAAACAUAAUAUAAUAUUUAUUAUACAAAUAAAUAUUAUUUAAAUAAAAUAUAUUUUUUUAAAUUUAUGUUUUUAGCGGCGUUUGUUAAAAAGCGCCGCUAAAAGUCAUCUUAUUGUGGUUUGUUGUAGAAACGCCUUUAGUGGCGUUUUUAGGAAAAGCGUCGCUAAAGGUCAUGGCCUAUAGCGGCGUUUGUGGGAAAAGCGCCGCUAAAGGUCAUGGUCUAUAGCGGCGUUUGUGGGAAAAGCGCCGCUAAAGGUCAUGGUCUAUAGCGGCGUUUGUGGGAAAAGCGCCGCUAAAGGUCUUGGUCUUUAGCGGCGUUUUUGGGAAAGCGCCGUUAAAGGCCAUGGUCUUUAGCGGAGUUUGUGGAAAAAGCGCCGCUAAAGGUCAUGGUCUUUAGUGGCGUUUAUUUCUAAAAACGCCGCUAAAGUUAGCGGCGCUGUCAUUAGCGGCAUUUUUUUCGGUGCUUCUCAAAGCACCGCAAAUACUCUUAGCGGCGCUAAAAAGCGCCGCUAAAAGUCUAUUUUGGUGUAGUGUGUGGAACUUUUAUAUAUAUGUAAACCAACUUAGUGGUUAUUGAAUGAGUAAACUAAUGCUCUCCCUCGCAUGCAGAGGGUGCAAAUUCAAACCCAUCGGGGUUGGGGAACACCCGCACGACGUGGGUAACGCGAAAUGUCCGGAUCGAUCGGGCCCUUUUAGGCCUGCGAAUAUUUUAGCCCAAUACGUAUUUAUUUUUUUUCUGAGCAUAUAUUAUACAGAAUAUGUUUUAAAAGAACAAAUAUCUCAUUUUGAUUUGAUUCCAAUCAAAUUUGAUUUUAUUUUAUUCAAAUUGAUUUAAAGGCUCCCUUAAUGCAGAUUUGUAUCUUUAUUCAUGAAAAUUUCUAAAAUUCCUCCACAUUGAAUGUCUAUAAAAGCCUAAAGAAUAUUGCAGAAUUCUUUAGAGACGCACAACGAAUUUAUUUCACUCUCGAAAAUUCUAUUCAUUUUCUCUCCAAAUUUUUCAAAUGUUUGGUGAUAGAAGGAAAGGUUUAUUUAUUGAUCACUGCAGAAGAACUACUCCCAUGAUCAUUUUGUUGUUGUUUCUUGGGAGACAGACGAUCAACGUUUCUCCAAGUACCAUAGGAGCUGUCGAAUCUAUCUUACGGAAACAGUGAAAACAGGCCUCAACAUCUAGUAAAACUCGAUUCCCUUAUUCGAUUUCUAAUUUUUCAAGAUCUUGUUUAUUUAAUUAUUUUUCAGAUAUGAUGUUUUAAAUAAAUAUUUUGGUUUUGUUUAGAUCCGGUGUUUUUACAUAAAUAUAAAUAUUUGUUUAUAUUAUUUGUUCAAGAUCUUGUAUUUAAUAUAAAUAUUUAUAUUUAUAUUUGUUCACUAAGGUGUUUUGUCCAAACUAUAGCUUCUCAAUAAUUGUCAAAUAUUAUAGUGAUAUGCUUUUUCUUUCAAUUAUUCAUAUCUUCAAGAUUAAAAGGUUUACUUUAGUAUUAUUCUAUUUAUUGAGUGUGUAUUAAUGUUUUGUACAGGAAUCCGUUGGAUUUUGGUCUUGUAUAAAUUAGUUGUGGUUGUGGGUAAAUAAAUGUGUGUCGUUCUUCAUUCUCCAAACAUGCUGAAUAUAAUUAUUGGCAUUUCAAGUGUGGCAUAAUAUAAAACAAUGGUUGGCUUCAUCAUAAUCUGUUUGGAGACUAACGGGCCACACUUUGACCUCCAAAUUUAGAAAAUAUUUCCAGAGUUGGAAAUUGUAAUUGUAAUACCGUAAUAUUUGUACACCGCACUACACCAAAACAGGUUUUUAGCGGCGCUUUUUUAGGCCUUUAGGGGCGCUUUUUAGUGCCGCUAAAAGUAUUUGCGGCGCUUUGAGAAGCGCCAGAAAAAACGUCGCUAGUGACAGAGUCGCUAACUUUAGCGGCGUUUUUAGAAAUAAACGCCGCUAAAGACCAUGAUCUUUAGCGGCGCUUUUUCCACAAACGCCGCUAAAGACCAUGACCUUUAGCGGCGCUUUCCCAAAAAUGCCGCUAAAAACCAGAACCUUUAGCGGCACUUUUUCCACAAACGCCGCUAAAGACCAAAACCUUAGCGGCGCUUUUCUCACAAACGCCGCUAUAGAUCAUGACCUUUAGCGGCGCUUUUCCCAUAAACGCCGCUAUAAGCCAUGACCUUUAGCGACUCUUUUCCCAAAAACUCCACUAAAGGCGUUUCUACAAUAAACCACAAUAAAGAUGACUUUUAGCGGCGCUUUUUAACAAACGCCACUAAAAACAUAAAUUUUAUAAAAUAUAUUUUAAUUAAAUAAUAUUUAUUUGUAUAAUAAAUAUUAUAUUAUGUUUUGUUUUUAAAAUUUAAACUUUAAACUAUAUACUUUUAAGGAUAAAAAAUAUUUAAUUAAAUUAAAAUUUCUAUUAAAAUUUUAACUUUAACGCUAAAUAUAUAUUUCCAUGUAACAGGGAUAUAAAUUCGUACCCAUUUCAAAUAAAUCCUAUAAAAACUUGUCACGACAGUGAUAUAUAUUGCAUGCUUGAUAAAAUAUCAACCAUCUCAACCGCAUAUAUUUCAAGACAAUUCACAGUUCUUAAACACCCAUUCUCACAGAAAUAUUUGCUAAGUAUGACAGGCUUCAGAUUGUUGAGAAAAAUCAAUACAAAGAUUUAUAACCUCAAACUAUCAGACAAUUCCAUUCAUCUAAAGACAUCUUUAGAACAUUUAUGAGCACUAUGUCAUACUCAUUUAUUAGCUCUUAAAAAAUUAACAGCGUGUAUGACCUUGCAAUUCAAUUAUUUUUCAGUCCAAGAAUCCAACAGAAAAUUAUUAAUAGCAAUUGACUUGCAUAUUUAAAAUGACAAGCAAGUUAGUUACUGACAUCAAGAGGAGGAUUUAGAUAUUCUAUUCCAUUGCUCUUAUCUGACCAUAUGGCUCCAAUAAAUCGACCACAUUUUGUAGAUCAUCUUUGGUCAAAUUUAGUCCAAGGUGAUUCACCAGUAUUUGGCUAAUUUUCUUGACAAUUUUGGUUUUCCGCAGCCAUUUUGGGAUCAUGCUGCUGAAAGUCUGCAAGCAGUACAAAUUACAGUUAGAUAAUUUGGUUAAAAUUGAUUAGUGCCUAAAACAUGAAUUUACCACCAAUUAAGAUGGAUUAGUUAAAUAUGAAACUCAGAGAAACAGAGGUAAACAUGUAAACUGAAUGAAAAACACUUAAACAACUGAUUCUUUGAAUUUCAGGAAGAAUAAAACAAGACAUUAAUGAGAUUGGUAAGGUACUAACACCCACAACAUAAGAUCCAUGGGCAAUAGAAAUAUUAUAGACGGUGAAGUAUUAAACCAUUCCAGGUACCAUAAAAUAGAAAUAGGAGUCAUUUCUUACCGCAAACCAGCUACAGUAACUCAUAAGUUCAUCCGUAUCAAGAAACUUGCUUCUAAAUGCACUACCUUCCAAGGCCACAAGAACAAGUUUAAGUUCUAUACGCCGCAGAAGAGCAGUCUUUUCAGCAACCUAAAGAAAUAGAAGGACCAUGAUUUAAGAGCAUAUUGGCAGACACAACUUAAGUUUAAAAUAAAAACCAUUAACAACAACAUAAAUUUCGCAAGCAAAUACAUGCAGACAGGAACAAUAAAACCAAAUAUAUGUAGGCAGUAAAAGCCAAAAUACACAGCGGCAGUCAACAAUUGUCUGCAUCAUAUGCCCCCAGGUCUCCAGUUUCUUAUCCAGAUAUGCAAUCAAUAGAGUUGAUAAGUAUCACCAUUAUUUCAUACUUGGCAAUAAUUCAGUUAUUAUUUGUGGAUCCUUUUCAGAAAUUCUCAAAUUAGACUUGUAUGGUGUUGAGUCGAGUUUGAGCUAUUGAGCAGAUCAAAUUCGAGUACUUUAAUGCUUGAUUAGAGUAUCACACGAGUUUGAUUGAGGUCUUUUGACCUUUUAACUAUACUGGAAAAUCUCAUUUCAAACUGGAGCUUAAGCUCGGGAAUAAAUAAUAAAAUUGAAAACCGACCUGAAACGAGAUAUUUGGACAAUAUAGAAUGCAAGUUCAAAAACCACGGUUACACAAAACCAAACCAAGUUCAGAAACAACCAGCAUAUAAGCAAAUCAACUAAAUCUUGCAUUGCAAUAAAGCAUGUUUUCUAUUUAACAAAGAAGAUUAAGUUACUAUGUCACAGAAACCUACUUCAAGAUGUAAGAUUACUAAUAGAAGCUUACAUGGCAAUUUCCUAACUAGAAUGCGAGCUUUCUCUAUACGUUUCAGAUUUUUGUGCACUCCUCUUCCUGCACUAUACCGGUUCUAAUCCUUUAUAAAAGAAAAAUAAGAAAAAUAAAAUUGCAUAUAAGAAAAAUGAAAUUAUAGCUCCAAAGUCCAAAAUAGACAUCAAUAAUUACCACCACAAAGAUAGCAAACUACCGAAGCAUUUCACUGGUUAAAGCAAUUUCAAAGAGGAAAACUGGUUCGGUACUAUCUCAAGGAUAAUUUAUUUAAAUUAUAUACUCCAUUGACUUGGUGAAUAUUUGAUUCUCUAAUAUAGUAUAAGUAGCUAGUUAUUAAUAUUAGAAGAAAUGACAAAACAAAAUUAUUAUUAAUUUUUCUUCAAAAAAUAGUAAAUAUGAAUUUGAAUUAGAAAAAAAUUUAAGAAAUAUAGGGCCAGCCAAAUGUUGCUAAGAGCACAAGGUAUUCUAGGCACUAGAACCCUUUAUAUUACUCAAAAGGCAAGGUGUGGAAAAAGCACUUGCCACAGACGAGGCAAUAUAUAUAAAUUUGUGUUUUUAUGUGUGACCGUGUACAUAUAAAUUAGAUUAAGAUAUGAUAGCAAACAUUAACAACUGGUCCCUUUUAUCUAAAAAUCAUGCAAAAAAUUUUUAAUCUUUCAUUGGCCAAUACACAUGAUUUCCUAAUAGUCCUUGUUAUUGAAUACACAUACACUUGAUCAUAUUCAUUUACACCUUGGUCUAAUGCACCUACCUUGGUCUAAUGUAAACUGAAAGAAAAUUAUACCUUAAGACAUGUAUCAACAUCUUUUAGAUCACUCAAGUUCUCAGAUUCAAUGUAUUCCGUGACAAAACCAAAUUAUAGUCCUCACUAGAAAUAUGCAAAUUUGGGCUAGCUGCCCCAUGAUGCACGUACUGCUUUUGAACACAAAGAGAGCUGCUUCACCAAAAACUGCAGUUGCUUCUUCAGCAGCACCUAAAAUAAUCGAACACAAAAGAACAUAACUUAAAUAUCAAUGAACAUAUGAGACCAAGUACUAAAUGAUACUAGAACAAGAUCACAUGGAGAGAUAAAGAGAAAUAUUGAGUGAAUAAAAAAUCAAGCCAAUCUAAAACAAUCUGCAGAGCCCUUUAAGUGACAAACCUAAUAUGCUCAACUUAUUUUAUUUCUGACCUUUAGAAGACCCACAUCAAGUUGAACAAAACUUGUCAUAUGGAAAUACAUUAGUAAUGUUCACACUAAAUAAUAAUACAAAAAUCCUGGAGAGUUCAAUUUCUAUUAAAAGGGACUAAAACAGUUAGUGUUCUGUUCUACUUUGCAAGUCUAAGAUAAUGGAGAGUUAAACAUACUCAGUGCUCCUUGAAUUCCUAGGAACUAUAAUUAUUGGAGUGUCAAAUGUAAGAUCCAGCUUCAAAGCAGCAGCCCCAUCAAUUUCAGAUUUCUGAAUUAACCACUCAAAAUCGCCAACUUUAUCAACAAGUUUUAUUACUUCUUCUGUAUGUGGGGUAGCAAGCUCCAUGAAGUAAACUGUUAUCUGCCAAACCAAGUUUCUUGAAAUUUAUAGACCUAAAUUUUGACUAUUUGUGAAAGUGAACUUCAAUUGUUAAAUGUUAAGGUUUAACCAUAAUAGGAUGAUGGUAAUGCUAAAACUGCACAGUUUAAACUGUAUCCCAUCAUACCUCCUGGACAAACCUACAAAGAAAAACAAUUCGAACAGCAGAAAGUCGCCCACACAAGCGGUAGUUGUACCCUUCAUAAUCAUCAUCUCCAGCACUGAAAGAAUUAAAUUUAAACUGGAAGAAGGAAAAUGUGAAGUAAGCAAGCAUGCAUGAAUACAAUAAAAAGUAACCUAAAUGACUCAAAUGCUAAUAAACAUAUAUCAAUGAGGAAAAAAAUGUACCUUUAUAAGGGAUUCAACCCUUGGAUUUCAACUCUAGGAUUCAACUCCCGGAUUUCGUCUAUCACUUAUCCUUUAAGAAAAAACUGUUAUAAAACAAUCAAAAGAACAAAAACCCAGAGAGCUAAAAGGAAAAUUAUAUUUAUUUAUACCGAUUUAAUCUUAUAGACUACAAUAUUUUGAUUUGCAUACAGAUAAGCAUCCAUAGUGCAGUUCAGAUUCAACUAAAUUGAACAAAGUUUAAGAAAUUUCAGACCCUAAAAAGUGAAAGUAAGAAGGAAAAAAUAUAGAUGAGUACUUGAAACGAUUCUUCUUUGUUUUUUUAGUCGACAUCAGAGUCAUCAAAAUCGUCUUUGAAGUUGUUGAAGAAAUCGGCAUCGGCGAGCUUGUUGUCGGAAGUGAUGACUCCUUCGUCGAAGAUCUCCGGUGUGUCAACAUCAUCGGCUUCCAUGGCUGAAUCUUUCGGGAAAUCUUUUGGGAAAAUUUGGAUUUUCCUGAAAAAUACACCGACCGGAUAAACGAGAGAAAAACAAAGAUGGUGGUUGAGAAGAAGAGGAGCUUAACGAUGAUGAUGAAGACGUGGUGGCGGAGAGAAACACCUAAAGGGUGUUUUUAGGAUACCAAUUUUAGGGGGGGAAAUUAGGGGUUUUAGGGGGGAAAUUAGGGAAAAAAAGGCGCAAUUUUGAAUAAAAUGAUACCGUUUUGUUCUGCUAAAAAUUUCUACUAUUUUUGUAUUUAUCAAUUUUUUAAAAUCUAAUAUUUAAAUAUAUUAAAUAUUUUAGAUUAAAUAUUUUUAAAUAUAAAAGCAUUAAUUAAUUAUAUAAAAUUUCAUCAUUUAACAAAUAUCAAGUAAACCUUAAAUCCUAAACCAUUUAAUAUAUAUAAAGUUUACUUAUUACCUCUUAAAUAAUUUAAACUAUAAUCAUAAUUUUAAUAUAUUAAAAUUAAAAUGAUCUCUUUUACAAUUAUAUAAGAAAUUAUUUAAUAUAUAAAUUAAAAACACUAAUUAAUCUAAACCCUAAACUCUUAACCUUUAUCCCCUAAACCUUAAAUUAUAAAACAUAAACCCUUAAACCCCUAACCCCUAAAUCCUAAACCCCUAAACCUUAAACCUCAACCCUUAAACCAUAAAUCAUAAACAAUAAUCCCUAAACCCAUAAUCCCUAAACUAUAAUGAUAAUUAAUUCAACAUUUUAAAAUUAAUACUAACUCUUUUACUAUUAUAUAAGAAAUUAUUUAAUAUAUAAAUAUCAAACACGUCAUAGACACUUAAAACUUUGAGAUAGUUAUAGUACUAUUUUUUAUUUCACUUAUAGGAACCUCAUAUACUCAAGCACUGCAAGUCUUUUGUGAAUUAACCAAUGCUUAUGAAGAUCUACUACUUACGGUUAUCAAUGCCAGCUGGAAUCACAAAUAUUAACAAGAAUCAGACAUAGAUAGCAAAAUUAAUCAAGCACUUUCAAGGGACAUCAUUCUAGCAGUUCUUUAAAGAAAUGGAUUUCAAUCCAGAAUUCAGUAGUUCUGUAACUAGCCUAGCAGAUAGAUGGAAAAAUAAUAUUUAUUUUAGAGAUCAGUCUACCUCUUAAGUGGAAUAACUUUCUGUAAGCUUUAACCUUGUGAACUUUUUUAUUAAUAUAUUUCUUCUAAUACUUCUUAGAGAUAAUCACAGACAAGAGAUUCAACCAUUAAGAUUCAAUGGAUGGUUAAUAUAAGACCAAACAAAGACAAUGCAUCUAAUUUAAUAAGUUAAGCCAUGCUCACGAACAAAGCAAAGAAGAAUUAUAUUCACCUCAAAAACUUCCAUGUGGAAGUAUGAAUUAAUUUCAUUUAUCGCUGCUUUUGCAGGUGCUGUAAAAGCUCUUUGAACGACCAAAAUAGCAUUAUAAACAUUAUCUGCUUGCAUACACUUUGCACAGUUUCUUACCAUAGGAACACCAACCUUUACUUCCGCAGGAAAGAAAACAUAAAUCUAGAGACAAAAAUACCAUCAGUACAUCAACAUUGAAGUUAUAAAAUUAUUUGUAACAAAAAAGUAAAGAAAAAGGAGUUGCUCUUAUUUCUAAUAUUAGAGUUAAAAACAAUGACCCGUUCUAGCUAUGCAAUCUUUUACAACAAGAAAGUGCAAACUCAUGCAGACAGUUUAAAGAACUCUAAACAUUUCAAAAAUUUCAAAUAUGGGCUUCUGAUUUAUAAACUGAUGAUUCUGAAAUAACUACACAGCUUGCUAAUUUGAUAUGCUUAUUACCUUGUAUAAGAAAUUAUUUAAUAUGUAAGUUAAAAAAAACUCAGUAAUGUACCCAAAAAACUUAAAAUUAUUUUAAAUAAUAUUAUUUUAAUUUUUCUAUUUUUAACAAAUAUUUUUCUAUGUUUUUAUUUCAAAUUAUUUCUACGUGUCAUUAGUUUUUUGUGAAGAUUUUGAAUAUUCAAUUAAAAAUAAUUUGAAUUUUAAUUAAUAUAAACAAACCAAUUAAAUAAUAAAUAGAGAGAUAAAAUAUUUUAAAGACCAAAGCAUUAGCGGCGCUUCUUCAAAAACGCCACUAAAGACCAGAGCAUUAGCGGCGCUUUUCCAAAAACGCCGCUAAAGCCCAGAGCAAGCCUAGAGCAUUAGCGGCGCUUCUUCAAAAACGCCGCUAAAGCCCAAAGCAUUAGCGGCGCUUUUCCAAAAACGCCGCUAAAUCCCAGAGCAAGCCUAGAGCAUUAGCGGCGCUUCUUCAAAAACGCCGCUAAAGCCCAGAUCAUUAGCGGCGCUUCUUAAAAAACGCCGCUAAAGGUCCAAAAACUCAAAAAACGACAUUUUUAGCGGCGCUUAUUGGAAAACGCCGCUAAUGCUCAUUUUUAGCGGCGUUUUCCAAAAAACGCCGCUAAUGUUGGAUCUUUAGCGGCGUUUUAGAAAAAACGCUGCUAUUGCUUGAUUUUUAGCAGCGUUUUUUAUCCGAACGCCACUAAAAACGCCGCUAAAAGCCUAUUUUGGUAUAGUGCCGCAGUGAACAUGGACAAUCAUGUCAUGAUGCAGAACCAGAAAAUGGUGCCAACUCUCCUUCUUCUCCCCCUCUUUCUUCCAAAACUAUAUCCUCGAAUCCUCAAAAAUGGUGACAUCAAACUUCCUUUUGUUUAUAAAAGGUUCACCCCUCACAUUACAGGGUCCUGUUCGUAUCUCAAGGCAAUCAAACAUGGAAUCCAUAUAUAUGAUUCUUCCCCAAUCCUUGUUGUAGAUUCUUUGGGGAUACAAGCCUUUUUGUUUGUAUUUAAAUACAAAAAAGGGAAAAUGAAAAGCGCCAUCUACAACUGCAUGCUAAUGAUUGCCAAAAUCACUGUUUGUUUUGUCGGAAGGCUUUCAAUCUUGCGGGGUCUUGAAGAGCCUGUUUCAGUAACUUGCCAUUAAUUCUCUCAUACAUUCCAAUCCUAAAAAAUGCUUCCAUCUUUUAGCUGCAACAGUUUAUAAUCAUCAGAAAGGUCUAGUCAGAAUAAUAUUACCUUCUCCUUUUUAACAGUUUUUUUUUUUUAAAUCAUGCCACUACAACUGUAGCUGCGCUCAUGUCAACAAUUAAUUCCUAUAAUCGACAUCAAAAUUAUAUGAAAGAAUUAACAUUUGGAUACCGAGUUACCAUAUUUGAAGAUAAGGCGAAAGGUAAAAACACAAAAGGCAAGCAUGACCAAGCAAACAAGGUAUGGACAUUGAUUUUUUUGAAUCGGGAAUGGCCAAAUGGGACCGUGAAGAGGUGACAAAGGAGAAAUCAGGCAUUCACGGUUUCCAUUGGAUGAAAUGAGAUAAGAUCACUGUGCUUCUUCCACGUGGCAGGUUGCCAAAGAUAAGGCUUUACCAUUCAAGAAAAGUUUCCACCCUCUUUGUGGUCAUUAUGGUUGUAAUGUCAUCUGAUUUAGGAUCCAACGGUCACCCUUUCUCCUAAACCAAUCUCUAAAUGUGGUGAGCUUAGGCCAAAUUUAAUGACUAUAUAUAGGGGAUUGCACCAAGGCAGUCACACUAUUAAGGGAUCAGUGAGACUCUUUUGUAUACCUGUAGCAUAUAGUAAUAGUAAGCAGUAAUAGCAAUGGCCUCCUCCAUGAUCUCAUCGGCAACCAUUGCCACCGUGAACCGCUCCUCCCCGGCACAGGCCAACAUGGUGGCCCCCUUCACGGGCCUCAAAUCUGCCUCUGCUUUCCCAGUCACCAGGAAGGCCAACAACGACAUCACUUCUCUUGCAAGCAACGGUGGGAGAGUGCAAUGCAUGCAGGUACUUGGUGAUGCAUAAAUACCACUUAAAUUACCCCAAGUGUUUGAACACAACAAAUUACAUAAAUUGAAUCAAAUAUAUAUCUUGGCUUUUGAGUACAGGUGUGGCCGCCUCUUGGGAAGAAGAAGUUCGAGACUCUCUCAUACCUGCCCGAUCUUACUCCCGUACAGUUGGCUAAGGAAGUAGAUUACCUUCUUCGCUCUAAAUGGAUUCCUUGCUUGGAAUUCGAAUUAGAGGUGUUUUGGAGCUCUAAAUUAUUCCAUUCCUCCUCUUAAUUUUUUUAGUGGGAUAUUUGAGUUGAUUAAGUGUGUUUUAUAUGUAUGUGCAGGAGGGAUUCGUGCAUCGUAAGUACUCGAACUUACCCACGUACUACGAUGGACGCUACUGGACCAUGUGGAAGCUGCCCAUGUUCGGGUGCACCGACUCGGCUCAGGUGUUGAAGGAGCUUGAGGAAUGCAAGAAGGAAUACCCCAAUGCAUUCAUUAGAAUCAUUGGGUUCGACAACGUUCGUCAAGUGCAGUGCAUUAGUUUCAUUGCCUACAAGCCUGAAGGCUACUAAGUUGUUUACUUCCCUCCUAGGAAUUCCAUUUGUUUCAAAGUUGUACUUAAAUUAAGCCCCUCAAACCCCCCCCCCCUUUUUCUUUUUCUUUUUUAGUUGAGUUAUUUGGCUUGGGGUCUUUCUCUUUGUUUUGUUUUUGGAUUUCCAAUGGAACGGCUGAGAACUAAUGAAUAAAAAGGUAGUUUCUUGCCAUAUUUCAUGAAUCCAGUUCUUCCUCCAUUUUCAGUGCUAAGAUAUUCAUGUUAAGAUAGGAUAAAAAUUAAAAGAAAAAAAGGUGAUUGGGUGGUCUGGCUUUAAAAUAAGAGGAUAAAGAUUUUGUGGACAAGCAACGCUGUGCUGUUGGAGGCUCAUUAUCUUAGUACAUAGGAAUACACCAAACAAACCAUUUAUAUUAAAUUGUUUUAUUAUGACAUCACAAGUUUCUAUUAUUAAAAUAACAACUUAAAAAGGCUAAAUUCAAAUAUAUAUAUUCUGCAUUCAAUCUAUUUCCUCGUUAAAUAUUAAAAUCACUAUUGGUAUAGUGAUAAAUGAUUUGCAUUACAUAAGUUUUAGUUGACAUCUUCGAGCUUAAUUUAAAAAUAAUAAUAAUAAAUUUAAUACAUAAUAUAUUUUUAUUUUAUCAUUUUCACCCUAAUUUUUUUUUAAAGUCAAAUAUUAGUUUGUUUUGAAUAGAAAAAUUGAAGAAACUGUUAAAUUUUUAAUAACACCAUGUGAUAAUUUAUAUGACAGUUUACAUAUAUUUCAUUGUUUAUGUGGAUAAUUUUUUAAAAGAAAUUACAAUUUUUUAAAAAAUAUUAUUUUUAAUUUUAUAAAUUACAUCACGCAAGCUAUUGCAUCAAUGCCAUUUAAAUUUAAAAGAUGUAGUCACUUUUUCCAUCUAAAAAAAAGCAAUUUAACUAAUUUUCAAGGUUGACGGUAAAAUAUCCAAAAAAAUAAAAUAAAACUAAAAUAAUAAAAAAGUAUUGAAUUUAUUAUUAUUUUAAAAAUAAUAAUUAUGAUUUUCUUUAUUAGUUUUUAACCCAACAUGGAAAAGGAAAACCAUAAUAAUGCUUAGUAAUUAUAAUAUUGAAUAAUACUAGUAGCUCUAUGUUCUUAAACUCAAUUUCAUUACAAAAAUUGUAACUCAAAGGGUUAGGAUUUUUUGUUUUCUAAUUUGUGAUUAAUUAGUGGACUAUAAUUUCCAUUCUCUUUUUUAUAUAAAAAAAACCCUAAUAUUAAGGAUAGCUACAUUUGUGGAGGAACCAAAAGAUAGAGAAAUUCAGAUAAGAAUUGUCUCCCUCUCCCUCUCCCUCUCCCUCUCCCUCUCCCUCUCCCUCUCCCUCUCCCUCUCAGUCGAAGUGCGCCAAUAAUUGGAAUAGAGCUCUAAAAAUGCAAUUCUAGAAAAAAAAAUUUGCCUAUCAGAUAUUAGUUUAAAUAUUGGUUAAAUUGCGAUUCGAAUAAGUAAUUAGGAAUAGAAAAUAUAAAAAAUGACACUAACGUAAUUCAAAAAAUUUCACCAUUUAUAAGGUUUUGCUCAAAAAUUGACAUUAAAAAUUUGUUCGCACGGUUCAAAAAAAAUUUCCAUUUAUAAGGUCUUACUUAAACAUUAAAAUAUAAUUUAAAUUCAACUCACUCUCAUUAAAUUUAAAAAAAAAAAAAGUUUAGUUAUAAACUAAUCCAUAAAAAUAUAUUACUUACAAAGAAUUUACACUCAGAUAGAUUUCUAAUAUAAACAGAAUAAAUACUCUCUCAACUCCUCUAAAAAAAUCGAAAAUACAUUUAAAUAGGCAUUAUGGUAAUUUUUAAAAUGGUAAUGUGAUCAAAAUGAAUAUGGGAAAUCUCAUUUCAAUUAAAUAACUUAUUAUAAAAUAUAAUAAAAGAGAUUUUCUUAAAUCAAUCUCUUUUAAAUGAGGUAGGCAUAUUACAUAAAGAUUCUUUGAAAUUUUUCACUUCAUUCAAUUUUUUUCAAUAUUGUAAUUUACUUAAAAAUAUAUAAAUAUAUACAUGUUAAGUAAAUUAUAAUAUUUUGUCGACUUUUGGCCUUUCCUUAAGUCGCAACUAACAUUAUAACUGAUGUUAACAAAAUUCAUAACUGUUUCUCUACCAUGUGUAGCCUAAAAAUGUUAAGAUUAGAGAAGCAAUACGUAAAAGAUAAAGAAAAGAACGAUAAAAGUCAUUGUUUUUUUUUUAAUUUUAAGAUAUGUUUUUAAAAAAAAAGAAAUUAAAGUAUUUAUUCUGUUAAAUUGGAUAGUAAUUAUCUAAAAUUUUUAAAUACACAUUAAAAUAUUCUCAAUCAUUAAAAUUUUUUAUUUACAUCUUACGGCCAGUUUUGUAUUGCUUCUCAGAAGUAUUUUUUAAGAUAAAAUGUAUUUUUGAGAUAAAAUAUACUUUAAAAUGGUACUUUCUUUACCAAAAGUAAGAGGAAAUUUAAACUUUAACUCAAAAGAAUUUUUUAACCCAAAGCGCUUUUAAAAAGUAUUACUAAAUUAGCCUUGCUCUCGUAAGUACAAAAAAAUAUAUAUCAAAUUUGAAAAAAUAUAUAUAUUUCGCAGGUUACUGAAAUAUCUUAAAUAUUUGAGAAAAACCAACCAGAAUAAAUCCAUCCAAUGGAAUACUGAGAAAAAAUAAAAUAAUAGUUGUAAGAAAAUGAGUGGCGUCACAUUUACACUAAUGGUUUCCCAAGGGGUACAUGAGAAGUUUUUAAGGCUCCUAUAAAUUUAUUUUCGGGACCAUAAACGUAGACCUACCAAUAAUUGCAUUUGUUUUCUUUUUAUACUUUUAUAACUCAUAAUAUUGUAUAUUUAUAUAAAUCCCAAUUUUUUCACUCAUAUAAAAUAUAGUGUUAAAUUCGAAUGAAAAAAGAUGCUAAAUUUGUGUUGGGUAAAAAUAUAAGAAUUUUAUGUUAUUUGCAAAAUAUUCCGUGGUAUUUAUGUUAGAACCGUAAAUAAUAUCUAAUAUAAAUUAAAAUUGCAAAUUAGGAUCUGUCAUGUCAAAUUAUCAAGAAUAUAAAUCAAGAAAAAAAUUAGAUGCGGGAGCGUACUUAAAUUUACCGAUUUCUUGAAAUCUAUGGAUCUUGGAGUUUUGAUCUUCCAAAUUAGCAUACAAGUAAUCUAAAGAAUGUGACUCUCUUUUGGCAUAGACAAAAACAUCAAAGCAAUUCACGCAUAUACGUGUAUGCAAAAUCAGAUAGAAAAAACUUAUCAUGCAUAUACCAUGUAAAUCUAAAAUUGUAUUAAUGAUUAAACAGAGAUUUGCAUGAAUACUUGAAAAAUACAUUCAAGCUAAUAAAUCUCAAAAAAUAAAAUCAUAAUAGUUGAUAUAUCCCAUAGUUCAUAUUGUAGACCAUAUCAACAUAAUUUAACUAAAUAUUUGGAACCAUAAAAUGCCAAAACCUAAUGUUGUAGAACCAACCUUAAAACCAAAUUAUUUAAACAUGUACAUAGUUUAUAUGAAUUUGCAUCAAACACCCGUCAAAUUGAAUAUAUAACCAUAACAGAAAAAAAAAUUAACAACGUCAACGAUAUCCAUCAAAACUUAAUGUCACCAAUUAAACUAUAAAAUGUAUCUUAUUGAAUAAUGGUUAUAAACACCUAUCCACGCAAACUAUAAUCAUGUAUUAAUCCUCAAAAUCAUUGAUAUGCAUAAUAUAUAUAUAUAUACAAUAUAAUAAUAGAAAAAUAAUACUGGCUUGCCUUACAUAUUUUAUGUAAACUCAAAUUUAUAUAUAAAACUUAUUUAUACGCACAAACACUUAAAAAAAUCCAUAACCACCAAAUAUAAAAACAAUCCCAAAUUAUAUAAAGGCCUUCAUAUGCGCAACUAUUUAUAAAAAUUUAUAGCCACCAUAUAAAAAAAAACCCAAAUAUUUUAAUUUUAGUUUGGUUCCAUAAGAAACUUAUAUAAAAUAAUUAUAACAGAAACCAAGUAAUCAUUCGUAUAUAUGAAUUGAAUUCAAUCGUGAAUAUAAUUCAUCAUGAAUAAAGACAAAAGAUGAUAAUUCCAUAUACAUUCAACCACAAACAGAAAAUUUAAAAUAAAUAGUGCAGAAAAAAUAUCUUAACAACAUUUAUUUAUUCGAUUAUCAAGUGAAUUACUAUUCAAAACCAAUUAUACAACCCAAUUGAAAUUCUUCAAUUGCAAAAAGUUGUAAGUCUGUAACUUUAAUCUAAUAAUAACUUUAACCAAAAUUUAUAAAAUAAGUGUGCGAAAAGAAGAGAAAGAAAUCUCACAAAUCUAUUUUUAUCAAUUGAUUAUAAAUAAAUAAAUAAACCUUCAUCUUUCGAAUAACAUAUGCAAAUAUUAAAUUAGAUUAUAUUUAUAAAACCCUAAACUUUAUUUAAAGAAUCAAAACCCAAAAAUUUUAUUAAGAAUCUCAAAGAUUUAACAUAGUAUAUAAUUAAAAUAUCAAAUCCAUAAAUUUAAAAAAGAAAAAUGAAUCAAUCCAAAAAUAAUAAAGAAUCAAUUCAUUCCCUAUUAUUCAACAUGACAAGCUCUGAUGCCACUUGUUAGAACCGUAAAUAAUAUCUAAUAUAAAAUUAGAACUGUAAACCAAGAUCUGUCAUGUAAAAUCAUAAAAAUAAAUCAAGAACAAAACUAGAUGCGGAAGCAGAGCUGAAUUCAUCGAUUUCUUGAAAUCUACGAAACUUGGGGUUUUAGUCUUCCAAAUUAGCACACAAAUAAUCUAGAGAAUAUGAUUCUCCCUUUUCUAAAGAUAGGAUAUUAGAAAUGUUACAUUGUAUGUAAUUUGGAAACCAUAACCAUAAUAUAUAUAUAACUUUGGCACAUUAGCCCUAAUUUCUAAUCAACUCAUCAUCAAUUAAAAAUUAAUUACUAGAGUAUCUACACAUAUUUGACACAUAUUUUUUUAAUAAUUAAAGCCCAAUAAACCGUAACUAAAUUAAAUCACUUUUAAUUUAAACUAACCUAUUAAAAUAAUAAUAAUAACAUGUAAUUACCCUUAUUAUUAUAUAUAAUAAUAUAUAAUACUAUUAUUAUUAUAUAUGUAAUGUCCAGAUUUUCAAUCUAUUUAUAUAAAUCUCUCCUAAAUUAUGCUUUCACGAACUUGUAAGAGUCAAAACUGUUGAAAGCUGCUUAUGGGGUGUGGCUGUAUAAUAGAUCGAUCAAGGUAGUGCUGAGCGAGUUUUUGUUUUUGUUUUUCUUAUAUAUAUACUCUAUACAGUUAGGUUGAUACACACGUGGAAGGAAUAUGUUAGAAAAAUUAAAUACUAAAAUAAGAAAUAAAAUAAUGGUUUAAAACAUGUAAAACAUUUUUCUUAAAACUUUAAAAUAUUUUUAAAUUACAUCAGCACUUCAAGUAAAAUAAUAAAAAUAUUAAUAAAAAAUCCAUUUAUAUAAACAUCCAAUAGGUGAUAUAUUAAUAAAAAAAUUUGAAAGUAUUUUAAAAUUAAAAAAUAAAAUAUAUAUAUUUAUUAUAUUCGGGCCAGGCCGGGGCCAAAAAAGUAGUGCCCGAGGCCCGGCCUGUUUUUUAAACGGGCCUCAUUUUUUUUACCCAAGCCCAUAUUUUGGACCUAUAUUUUUAUCCGAACCCUCCCAUAUUUCGGACGAGGCAUCGGGCCGGGCCGGGCAUGGUCAGGUCUACUAUAUAUGCACACCCUCCGUUCAAAGAGUGUUAUCUAAAUAAAAAUUUACCCAAUUCUUUAAAUCUAAAAAAUUAUAUAAAUCAAUAUCUUUUAACCACUAAACCAAACAUAAAAGUUAACGGUGGAACAGUGAAUUGAGUUGAUUAUAUUUAGAACAUCACAUCACAACCACAUCAGCUUCCAAAAUAAUAUGAAGAAGAGUUAUCCAAAUGUGAAGCUACCAAUGUCCCGACCCUUAGCUGCUUCAACCAUUCCAUUACUAUCUCCCAACCACCCUGCCUUUGCCUCCCCUUUCUUUAUUGCUCUCGUUCGCUCGCUUAAAUUUUAAUCCUACUUUUAAUUUUAUAUUUAUUAUAUUAAAAAUUCCAUUGAAAAAUAUUUCAAUAAUUAAUUGAAUUCUCAAAUAGGAUAAUACUCAAUUGAGUUUUUAAUUAAAUUUAACUACUCAAUUGAAUCCUCAAUCGAAUUUAAGCAAUUAAUUAAAUUUUCAUCUUUUAACAUCGUUAAUUUGUCAAUGACUUCAUCACGUGUUAUGCCAGGGUUGUGCCACGUAACGAAAUUUGGUAAUUUUUAUUAUAUUUAUUUUAAAAAUAAUAAAAAAUUUAAAAAAAUAAAAAAGGCAUUUAAAAUUUUAGAACAUUAAAAGAAAAAAUAGACUUUAAAAAAAUUAUUAAAAAUUAUAAAAAUAGAAUUCAUUAAAAAGCAUAAUUUUUUUGAAAUUUUAGAAAAAUAUUUAGAAAAAUAGAAUUUAGAAAAAUUAUAAAAAAAUCAUAAAAAAUUAUAAAUAUAAUUUUUAAAAAUUAUAAAAAAUGGAAAUAUUAAAAUAUUAAAAUAAUAGAAAUCAUUUAGAAAAUAAAAUAUAAAAUAUUUAAAAAUUAUAAAAAAUUUAAAAAAUUAGAUAUUUUAGAAUUUUUUAUGCUUUUUAAUGAUUUUACAAAAAACAUUUUUUUAAUAAUUUUUAUAAAUUGUAUAUUUUUAAAAGUUUCAAAAAAUUUAAAUUUUUAAAAAUAUUUUUUUAUGAUUUUUUAUAAAAAAAUUAAAUUACCAAAUUUCGCUACGUGGCACAACUCUAUUGUGCCACAUGGGGGAGUUAAUGUUGUGUAGGGGCUUUUGAAUGAUUAAUUGAGUGCUUAAGUUUGAUUAAGGACUCAAUUGAGUGUUGCUUUUGAUUGAGAGCUCAAUUGUUUAUUGAAUUAUUUUCAAGUGACUUUUUUAUAUAAUAAGUAUUGUGGGGUGUGCCUCGCAUUUAUCGGACAGUUUGCAGACACUUACCAAAGUCAGCCAGCAAUGUCACGACGAGAAGCUUCCCGAAGUUGCGAUGACGAACGACAUUAUGAUGACGUAAAUGAGGACGUUGCGAUGUGACAACGUGUUUCCCACAAACACCGAAUUUCUUUUCCUAAUUAAACUAUGUUAUCUUUUCCCAGUCGAACUCUAAUUACUCUAGGGAUAUUUUAGUAAUAUUAUGACUUUAAUAUUAGCCUAUUUAAAUGGUUUUUGUAACCCUAUUUUAGAGAGUUAAUAUAGAAUAUCUCUUAUGUGAGAUUUGAUGAAGAGUUUUGGGGAGAGUUUUGGAAAGAGCUUUGUAUUUAGGUUUUUGAGUUUUGCUCUUUUAGGAUUAUUUUCUUUAUCUUGUACUCUCGUAUGUUUACUCAUCUAGUGAAAAGUUGAAGUCUCAUUUGCCCGUGUCCUUUUUAUCCUCUUAACUGAGGGUUUUCCACAUAAAUAUUUGUAUGUUUGAUCUUCUCUAUUUUCUUGUUCGUUGCUUAUAUAGGUCGAUCCUCAACAAACUAGUAUCAGAGCUAGGUUAUGUUUUUGCAAUCGACCCGUUCAAGUAUAAUGACAACGAUUUUGAUAUUGAAAAGUUCGAUGAAAUCAUAGAUUUCAUAUUGUAACAGUUUCAGAUAAAGUAAAGUGUUUAAAGCAAGGUUGGUCGCAAAGGGUGACAGUCAAGUGGAGGGAGUUGAUUUCCUCAAUGCUUUCUCUAUUGUUGUGAAGCACACAUCCGUUCAGGUAUCAUUGGCAUUGGUUGCAUUAUACAACCUUGAUUUGAAGACUAGGAGUCUUUCGGUUUCCAAGUUCGAGAACGGUUUGGGCUUGGUUGACAUUCUGCAAAGAUCGAGUUCUGCCUGUGGCGGGACCUGGAGAAGAAGGUACGAUAAAUACGAGUCAAGGUGGAGGUUUGUAGGGUGUGUCUCGUAUUUAUUGGAUAAUUUGUAGGCACUUACCAAAGUCAGCUGACGACGUCACGAUGAGAAGCUUCCCAACGUUGUGACGACGAACGACUUCAUGACGACGCGAAUGAUGAUGUUAUGACAUGGCGACAUGUUUCCCACAAACACCGAGUUUCUUCUCUUAAUUAAACUCUGUUAUCUUUUCCUAGUCGAAAUUUAAUUACUUCUGGGAUAUUUUAGUCGUUUCAACCUUUUAAACUUAGUCUAUUUAAAGGGGUCAUUGUAUCCCUAUUUUAGAAAGGCAAUUAAAGAUGUAGUACUAUAGAGCUCCCUUUUGGGGACGACAAUAUGUAGUUGCAAAUGAGUUUUAGUGAGAGUUUUCGUAGUAACUAUGGAGAGAAUUUAGUUCCCAAGUUAAGACUUUGUUUUCAAGGUUUGGGUCUGUACAUUUAAUACAUUUAGGUUUAUUUUUUUCAUCUUAUACCCUCGUUUGUUUACUCAUCUAGUAAAAAGUCGAAGCCUCCUUUGCCCGUGAUUUUUAUCCUCUUAAAUGAGGGUUUUCCACGUAAAUAUUUAUGUGUUCGAUCUUCUAUAACUUUUCUAUUUCGAUAUUUAUACAGGUCAAUCUCUAACAAAUAUUAAUUCUAGGAAUUUAAUAAUUGAAAAUCAAUUAAAAAUAUCAUUAAAAGAAUGUGAGAUAUAUAACAUUUUAAAAAUACUCAUGUAUCUAAUAUUGCAAACAUAAAUAAGCAAAAAAACAUUAAAUGUGGAGUUAUAAGGUUUCGAUUCUAAAUUAAAGAUGAUAAGUUUCUUCAGACUCUUUCAACGAAAGAGAUUAAAAGUUUAUUAUUAUUUAUUUAUUUAUUUUGCUUACAUGAUUUCUACGCUUCUUUCAACCAGCCAAAUGAACCAUUUUCAUUUUAAAAAUGGCAUGUUAUCUAAUUUAAUGAAAUUCCUUAACCGCCUUAUUAACUGAAUUUUAAUUAUUAAAUUUUAAAAAAUAGAAUGAGUAAUUUAAAAAAAAAGAAAAAGAAAAAGCACUAAAUUUCAAAAGUAUAAUUAAACUAAAAAGUGACACAAAAAAUCAUGUUCAAUCAUAGCUGCUGCUAUAAGGGAUUCGGAAGGUUUUGCAAUGGGUUCUUGUGUAGCUGCUAAGGUCAAAACCAGUCAUGAAGCAAAUGGGAAUUGCUCUCCCAAUGGGAAUUACAGAGGGGAUGUGCAUGCAAUGACCAUCAUCAGGAACCAUGUCGGUUGCUAUCAUAUGAUAAAACAUAAAGAUGAUGCUCAAUAUGUCAUAGGAAGAAAAUUUGACAAUUAUUGAAUCAUAAAUUACAGAACAAAAUUCAAUUACCAAUAGGAUCUAUACACAAUUUCCCUUCCUCUUCUCCAUGGUGAUUUACAAAAUCAAAAUAUCAAAUCAUUUAUAUUACGAUUCAUCAUCAUUUGCUCAAUCCCCUGAAAAUUCAAUCCUUUCACAUUGCCUUCCCUUCCAUCCCAGCAAUCAAAUAGAUUUUACCAGACCAAAAACCACAUCAUAUAUACACUACUACACACAAGUUAAUCUCUUUCUCCCCAAAAAUAAUCCAUAUUUCCCUAAUUCAUCCCUACUUUGUCCUCCCGGACGGUGGCCUUCUAUGUACACUGUAGAUUUAAGCCAUAGCAGGGAUUCUGGAAUUUUGGCUAUCCCUGUUAAGGCAAUCAAAUCCUUCUACUCUAAUUGCCGCUGGUUUUAGCCCAAACGACAUCCUAACAAAUCCCCCUUUAUGUGCCGAUGGCGACGGAGAUGGACUUUGCGAUGCUGAAAGGGCUGCAACUCUUUCGUCACCAAAUCGAGCAUCUUGCACAACUGGGUUCGUGGCCCUACUUGGGGGCGAACCACAAAAAAAUGGGGGUGAAGAUGCUACCUGUGCUGCAGAUUGCUCUGCCCAUAAAUCACCCUACAAAAACCGAAACAAAACAACACGAUAAAACAAGUCCAUCCUAGAAACAAAAACAUUAACACACAUAACUCAAACCUCAGAAAUGCAAACAUCCAAUAUUACUCCAAAUUGGAAGUAAAAAUAUAUCCGACUUUUAGAAGCAUUUUCAUAUAGUCGUUUAUUCGGAUAGAAGUGCAAGACGCAAAUACUUUUAAGAACCAUAGCAACUAUCAAAAAGCAAUAUGUAUAUAACAUUAGUAUUUUCACUUCUUUAAAAUACUUGAGAUUCAGUGAUUACCUUGUUGAGGAUGAUAUCUAGAAGUUCUGCACUGGCUUUCGAUUCACUUACAUCGGCUUGGUGACUGGAAUUGAAAACCAAAAAUCAAAAUUAAUAAAAGCAAGCAAAUCAAAUCAACCAAAAUUCCAAUUAGAGAAAAGGGGGAAAAACCCAAAGGAAAGAGAAAAGAAAAACAAUACCUCAUAUGCAAUCUAAAAGGCUUGAUAGGGUUAUUGGUGAGAACCCCAAUUCGCCGAGGCUUAGGGCAAACAACGGGGCCGGCCCUAUGAUGCUCCGAUAUUGAAGAGAUAAACCCUCCCAUCUCCUCAUAAGCGGAAACGGCAAUGGGAUUCUGCUGAAGAUUGUAGUGAUUCAUCUUCCUCAAAAAUCUAACAUUCAAAUAAUUAAUUACAAAAAAGAAGUCAACAACCAGAUCUAAGAAAAAUGAUUCAAUUAAGACAUAGAAACAGACAAUUUUUUUUCCCCUUUAGUUUCCUUCAUUUUCACAGAAUCCCCCCCAAAAAAAAGGUCAAACCCAAAAAGGAAAACAUAAAUAGAAACACAGAUCUAGGCCCAGACCUUAAAAAUCAGUGAUCACGGGUUGCUGUGGAGGUAAAACUGUAAUAAAUUUAGGAUUUAUAUGCCUGCGUAAAAAAUAUUAUAAUUUACAUUUAUAUAUAUCAGAUUCAGAGAGUUAAAAAGAAGAUCCGAAAUAUCAGGGAUUAAUUAAGACGUAACAAAUAAGGAUGAAAUACCCAGAAGGGAAAUUCAAGUGUUACAGCUAAAAACUCAUCAUAAAUAUUGAAUAGACACUUUGAAAUUUGACUUAAAAACAGAAUUGUUCUUAACAGCAAAAAAAUAGGAAGAAAAAGAAAAAGAAACAGAUCUAAAAAUAUAUUUUACAAAAUAUAUACAGAGAAGUGAAAUCUUAUAUAUGAUUAAAUAAGUUUAAAAAAGGGAAACUUGAUUUUUGAGAUUUACCUGAAGGAAUCCCUUUGAAAGAAGAAAAAGCAGAUAAAUGGUGAAUGAGACGAGGAAGGAAAAGGUCUUAAUGGAGGCCAGGAGGGAAAUUAUAUAGAAUGCCCAUUUUACCAUUGUAAAACAAUCUCCUCCACUUUUUUUUAAAUAUAAUUUCUUUUUGAAUCUUGGGAAAAUUAUUUUAACUUCGGUCAAUUAAAAUAUUAAUUUAUCAAUAAAUGCCAAAAAAAAUUACGUGAAUAGAUCAAUUUUUUUAAAAAAAUUAUGGGAAUAAGCUAUUUUUUGGAAAUCACUUCCAAUUUGCAGGAAAACUUGGAAGCGUUUUUAGCAUGUUGUAUUGAAAACGCUUUCAACUAGAAUCGCUUUUUGCUAAGUCACUUGAAAAUGCUUCCAACUGGAAGCGUUUUCAGCAUAUUGCAUGGAAAACGCUUCCAUCUAGAAUCGCUUUCUGCUAAGUCACUUGAAAAUGCUUCCAGUUGGAAGUGUUUUUCCCCCCAACGGUAAAAAAUAACAGUUAUUUAAUUAGUCGUUAGACACCCCCAAACAGUCAAAUUUUAUUUUCCUAUAACCCUCUCCCAUUUCAUUUUUUCCAAUUCAAUCUCAACUCUCUCUCACAUUCUCAAUACCCACUUAAAUUCACUAAUUUUUUUUGCUCUCUCAAUUUUAUUUCUUUUUUAUUUAAAUUAUCUUAACAUUUUCUUAAAUUAUUCUUCUAAUACGAAUUAUUCAGUUUUUUUCGAAAUUAUCAAUGGCAAAUUCUCUAAUUCGUUAUGAUAAGAACUAUAUUUUCGUCAAUCAAUUGCAAAUGAUAAUAAUAUUUCUUAUUAUAUUUUAAUGUUGCAUAAUUUUUAUAUUUUUUUAUAUUUGAAUUUAUUAUUUUGUAUAUUUUUUCCUUAAAUAGGCAGAGAUUGAAUUUUGCAAGCCAACAUUCGUAAUCUACUCGCUCCUCCAUCACCCUUGAUCAAACCGUACUUGAGAGAAGUCGAUUUUUCGCACGUGGCCCUUAUAGGUAAGGGGUGUAAGUUGGACCCAACACUCGUAAGCGCGUUAAUGGAAAGGUGGAGAUCGAAGACGCACAUUUUCCAUCUUCUAUCUGGCGAGUGUACUAUCACUUUGGAAGAUGUGCAAUUACAACUUAGGUUACUAGUGGAUGGGUCUGCAGUGACUGGGACUGUUCACGCAACCAAUUGGAAAAUGGUAUGCGAUGAACUUUUGGGGUUGGUUUCGGAGACAAUUUUUGGAGGUCGGAUAGAAAUGGCUUGGUUAAGAAGAAAUUUCAGUAAGCUUGAUGAGGAUUCAACUGAAGUCGAAAGAGAAGAACACAUUCAGGAUUACAUCCUUAUGUUAAUAGAGGGUAUCAUAAUGCCGGAUAAGUCACGAAAUUUCGUCCAUUUAAGGUGGUUGUUGAAACUCGUCAAUAUUCGUAAUCUACUCGCUCCAACUUAGUUGGGGGUCCACCGUGUUGGCGACCUUGUACCAAGAGAUGUGUCGAGCGACGCAACCACGAAAAAUUAAAAUUGGUGGUUGUAUGCUACUACUGCAGUCAUUGGCGCGUUAUCAGCUGCCAUUUUUGUCCUGAAGCAAACUACCUUUACAAAUUCAUUACAUAAUUUAUUUAUUGCAAUAAAAUAAUCUAAUGUUUAAAUUAUUCUGUUAACAAAUUAUUUCAAUAGGUGGAAUAAUGGGUCAAGUUACGUGAGAAUAUCGAAAGAGCUAUGAGAUAUACGACUUCUGUUAGACCAACGAUCUGAAGCAAAGGUAAGUAUUUUUUUAAAUUUGAAUUAUAUAAUAUUAAUGUAUUUGAUUUGAUAUUUAAUAGUAUAUAUAUAACUAAUUUUUUAUUAUUUUAAUAUAGUUUGAAUGGACACCAUACAAGGAUCUGACAAUUCGGCAAUGCAUCCCAUCCGAAAUCCUGGUGAAUCCCAAUAUUUGACAUGUAAAUGUGCCAUUGGUAAUGUACGCUAUCGUGUAUAUGCAUGAGUCGGAUAGGGUGUUGCAGCAAAUCGGGUUCAGACAAUCGAUUCUAGUGGUACCUUAGGACCUUGAUCAUCUGCAUCCUAUCAACUUGUGGGGGAGGUCGAAUGAGAAUUGAAUUAGAUUCCAUAUUAAUAUAUAUACACAUGUGGAAUAAUCGAUAUGAGUUUCUACCUCAUCGCAAUGCUAUUAUCGCUCUAGAGUUAGCUUGCGGUUUGGAUUACAUGCCUUGAUUUAGGCUUUUUGGCAAGCCAUGCUUGUUGAGCGAAGAAUAUAGGAGUUGGCAAACGCAUACGAGGAGGCCACGACGACCGUCAACACAUCCAAGGUUUGGCGAGGCAGGUCCAUCGGUUGCACCUACUCAAGAGCCGACAUCGGUGCCCACACCACCCCUGAUCAGUAUGUGACGUCCUAUUCUGAUUUGUAUGCGAACACCGUCAUUUUCACACAAGCACCAUAUAUUCGACCACAUUUUUCUGCUUUUACUUUGAUGUUAGGUUUUGUUUUCAAACCUUGGUCCCUAGUAUAUUACACGUCGAUGCCAUCCAUAAUUCUGGCGACGAUGAUGCCGAUGACGACGUAUAGGCCAUCCAUGUUUCGACCACCGACCAAGAGUCCAAUUGUUAUGUCACCAAUGUACGAAACACAAUAUAGUUAUACCCUUACACUGAUGGUGAUGCAAACACCUCCAGGAUCAUUGUUCUAUCAAGGCGAAUCAUCUUCCCAACCACCUACUGCUAGACCGGAGGAUGCACGAUGGCAACCAAGAAGCAACUAAUCGCAAUCAACUACGGAUGAAGGCGAAGAAGAGAAAAGGCCUAUACCACAACCUAUGUCAGAGGUUUAACCAGAGUUUGGAAAAUCGAUCGCAAUUGGGUUUGGAAAACGCAACGGAAAAUAAAUUUAGGAAAAAACCAGAGUUUUAAAAAAAUCCAAAAUAAGAAUUUGGUUGUGAUAUCUAAAGUAAUAAAUACUCAAUCAAAAUUGUACAAUUUUGAUUCCUCUAGGAUGAACGCUUCAACCUAGUAGUCUUCUCUAUUAUCCUUAAGCUCACGUUUACCGAGUGUGGGCUCGCUUCAAAUAAAAAAAUUAUAAAAAUUACUAGUGCAGUAAUUUCGUAAUUUCUCUGAACUUUUGGGGUAAGUUAUAAAUAAGAAAAAUAUCUCUAGAAAUUUUCUAAAAUAAUUUCUUUAGAGAAUUUUCUCUCUACAACUUUCUAUUGAAUUCAAGUGUGUGUAAAUAAUAACCCAAGACUAUAUUUAUAUAAGGAGGGUUUAGAGAGUUCAACUAUAAUUAUACUUAAUCACUUUAAUAUUAAUUUUAAUAUUAAAUCUUAUUAAAUUAAUAGAAUAUUUAUCUACAAGAUAAAUAUUAAAUUAAAUUUAAUAUUAAGAUAAUCACUUUGAUAUUAAAUUAAUAAAAUAUUAUUAAGAUAAGUAUCAAAUGAAAUUUAAUAUUAAAUCUAUUAAAAUAAUAUUAUUAUUUUAAAUAGUUAAUCAAAAAUCAAAUUCUUUGGUAGAGUCUCAAUAGGAGUGUAAUUCUUCCAUUGCUUAACCACUGAAGAACCACUGCCGCUAACCAUUUUUUGGCCAUCGAAAUGCUGUCGUCGUAACCGUCGGCACCUGAGCUGGUUUGGUUUCUAUCAGUUCCAUCCGGACCACUAACAGUCCGAUAGGUCCGAUCCAACCACCAGUUGGAUAUCAACUUAGUUUCACAUACCAGACCUGGUUAGACCAGUUUUUGGGUCUUAAUCUCGGUUUUGGGAUCCUAAGCCCAAUUUAUGAUCUCAGGUCUAAUUUUCAAAUUCAAUUACCCAUUGGGCCAAUUGUCUGACUUGAAAAAUUAAUUUUCAAAAAUAUCAUAUUAAUUUUAAUUAAUUUGAUUGAUUUAAUUUUACUUGUUCAAAAUUAAUUUUCCCAAAAAUCACUUAGAUUUUCCAAAUUAAUUUUUCAAGAAAAUUCUUUAAUCAAAUUCUCUAGUUGAACAAUUCUUACGACCGUCCAACUUAAUUCCACAUCGAAUAAAUUGACUCAGUUAAAUUAUUUCCAAAGUCGUAGAAUUUACUUCUAAUUCAAAUGGAGUCCGAUUAAGCCUUUGUUGAGCUAGCGGAGGCACCAAUCGGACAUAUACAAUUAUGUUCUAGUAAUUGCAAUUAUGUCCAGAAGCAUCGUUCCUAUAAUUCACAAUUACUUAAUAUGGAGUUAGGCCACAAAAAGUACCAUGAUUGAAAACUUCUUAUUGUAUACUCUUUACGAAAGUAAUUCAUCCAACUACUUUGUCCAAUGACCUCGUCAUGUGUGUGUUACCCUCAUAUGAUAUCCUUGAUUCCUUUGAGUUAAAUUCAUUCACUCAAUACAAUCCUAUUUUAUCCCAUUGUCGCCAUCUGUCUUCUUAAUGAUUAACAUGAUCAAUGUCAACAAAUGGAUGUGAUAAAUUACUCAUUCGAGAACAAGCAACCCGUGGCCACAUUCCGUAUUUAUCAAUCCACACAAUGCUAAUGAGAGGAUAUCAUUAAUUCUUUAAUUGAGCUAUGAAUUUCACUGUUUCUAGAAAAACCAUGCCAUACACAAGUCAUGUACCCAACAUAUCGGCUAUUGGUUCGAUCAUCUUUAGAGCAUAAGCCUCUACUUAUAUCAAAGCACAUGAGUUACAUAUGCAUGGUCAUUGACUAACUCAGGAUUUUGAUAAAUCAUAGCAUGAAUGUCACAAGUGAAUUAAUUCAAAAAUGAAUUCAGAAUUAAUUCAUCUUGGGUCUAGUUCAAUGUAUCAUUCUGCCAAUGAAUACAUUUAUGUGUCUACCUGUAGAGUCAACUACUCCGAUAGCCAAGACUAGUCAUCCCCUCAAUUGGAAUUAUAGACAACAUAAUAAUCAUUCUCAGUAUUUGAAUUAAAUAAUCACUUUGAUUCUUUUACGAAAUUACAAACUUGUUUAGAUUAUCUAGUGAAGUAAGUUGUCUUUCUCGUAAUGCAAAUGUUCUUACAAUGCCACUUAUCAUCAUUUUGAACUUAGACAAUCAAUGAGCUAAUUUUUGCUUGUUACAAAUUCGCUAUGCAUGCAAAAUAUGAAAGCCAGAAAUACAAAAUACAUAACAGUGAAAUGUGAAAUUUAUUUAUUCAUUGUUCAAAUUCAUAGAAAACAAUUACAUGUUUACUACAAUAUGUGCACAUUUCCUAACAAUCUCCCACUUGCUCUAGUGAAGUAAAUGUGUCAUAUUUCACAUUCCCAAAUCCUCAACUUGUUUGUUAAAACUCUUAGUUACAAGAGUCUUAGUAAACAGAUCUAAAAGGUUAUCUUCAUAAGCUACUUUCACCACAUCUAUAAUUCCUUCGACUGCUGCCUCUCAUAUCAAGUGAUACUUCUGAUAAAUGUGUUUAUUCCUCUUGUGACUUUUCAUUUCCUUAGUAUUAACUAUUGCAGCACAGUUAUCACAAUACAGUGUUAUAACUUUUUCCAUACCAUGAAUAACUUCAAGAUCGGUUAAGAACUUUCAAAGCCAUAUUGCUUCUUUGUUGCUUCAGAAGUAGCCACAUACUCGGCCUCCAUAGUAGAGUCAGUAGCGCAAGUUUGUAUUACACUUCUCCAUACUAUGGCUCUACGGCCUAAGAUGAAUAUAUUUUUUGAUGUUGAUUUCCUCGCAUCUUUAUAGGUUUGGAAGUCUAAGUUUGUGUAUCUGAUAGGAGUAAAGUUCUCCCUAGAAUAUAUAAACAUAUAGUCUUUGGUUCUUUUAAGAUACCUUAAUAUAUGCUUUCAGCUUGCCAAUGUUUGAAACCAGGAUUCGUCUGAUAUCGAGUAACCAUUCCCACUGUAAAACAAAUAUCUGGAUGUGUGGAAAGCAUCGCACACAUAAGGUUUCCAACUAUCGAAGUAUAUGGAACCCUACUCAUAUGGUCUCUUUCUUCUGUUACCUUAGGACAGUUAUAUAAAGAAAAAUGAAAACCUAAUGAGGUCGGCUGAGUGCCUAACUUCACAUCAAUCAUUGCAAAAUGUUUCAGUACCUUAUAGAUGUAUGAAGCUUGUGAUAGAGUUAUCGUUUUAUUCUUUCAAUCCCUAAGGAUUCGAAUUCGAAGAACAUAACUAGCUUCACCCAUGUCCUUCAUGUUAAUUGUUGAGCUAACCACAAUUUAACUGAUGACAAUUUUCUUACAUUAUUUCAUACAUUAAUAUAAACUUAACAAAAAUUAUUCAUUCACAUACACAUCAUCCCUAAAUUGAUCCUCCAAGGCCAUAAAAAUACAUUAAAAAAAUUCGAGACUAAAUUGGAAACAUUUCGAAAGUUCAAGAAAAAGUUAGAAAAAUUUAACUGUAGGGGUUACAUGGCUGUGUGCCUUACACGGCUGUGACACACGCCCGUGUCUCAGGCCAUGUAAUAAUCAAAAUAGGGACACACUGUUGUGUCUCAACCUUUGUCCUUACCCGUAUAACUCUCUAAGUAGGGUUACACGGCCAAAUCACACAACCAAGUCACAUGCUUGUGUGCUAUGUUGUGUAACUCUCAAAAUAGCCCCACAAGCCCGUGUGUCAAGCCGUGUGUUAGGCCGAGUAACUUUCUGACUUAUAUGCAAUUGAACCUAAAUGGGACACAUAGCCAUGUCGCCAGGCCGUGUGUCAAACACGGUUGAGUCACACGCUCGUGUCUCAAGCCAUAUGGACAUGAAUUUGCCAAAAAAUAAGCCAUUUCCAUCACCAUAUCAAGCAUAUACCUAAAAACAUUUUGUGCACAUAAUCAAGACAUCAAAACCUUACCAAAACAUGCAUAUAGUAACCAAAAACUUAGUAGAGUCAAAAGGUAUUUUCUUAUAUGACACUAAAGUUGUGCAUAUAUAUGAGUGCGUUGACCCAGGGUCAAUCAAAGCAUUAACAUUAGUAUCAAAAAUAAAAAAUGUACCAGUGAUAACAUCUGGAGCUGAAGCUUCCUCUCGAGCACAGAUCGCAUAAGCUUUAGUCGGCACUGGUGCCUCAAAUCUCACAGUAGAGCCUUUCAUUCCACUACGACUAUUACCCCCUCUCGAGCACGGAUCGCAUGAGCUUUAGUCAACACUGGUGCCUCAGAUCUCACAGCAGAGUCUUUCGUUCCACUACGACUAUUACCCGCAUUACCAGUGUUCCGGGCUGGUCUCCUUCUCGAAGCUGUAUUACUCAGUCGAGUAGUCUGAGCCUUUUCUUUGUCGGGCCUUUCAAGGCAAUCCUUGAGAUAUUUUUAUAUGAACCACAUUUAAAACAUUACCCGUCUUUCAAUCUGCAUUCACCAAAGUUUCGUUUAUUACAUUACUGAUAUUCGGGCUUGUUGUUUCUGAUAUUGCCCACACUUGUUGUAGACGUAGCCUGAGGUUUUGAGCUCGAAUGCUAAUUUCCUCAAUCUUUCUCAGAAUAAUCCACUGAAGCUGACGAACGACCAUGACAUUCUUUCAACUUCUUCGAUGGCGAUGAGUAUGACUUUUCCAUAGGGCUCUUUCCCGAGUCAUGAGCCUCAUCGGCUUUUCUUUUUGCUUUGCUAAGUUCUUCAGCUUUAUGCACUUUACCAACCAGAACUACAAAUUCUUUCAUCUCAAGGAUCCCGAAUAACACCUUGAUAUCUUUGUUUAACUCGUCUUCAAACCUUGUGCACAUAGCAAACCUUGUAGGUAUACAUUCUUUGGCAUACUUACUGAGUCGAACAAAUUCCCUUUCAUACUCUAAUACAGGCAUACGACCUUGUUUCAACUCAAGGAAUUCUUUACGUUUCUUGUCUAAAAAUAUCUCGCUCACAUAUUUCUUUCGAAAUUCAGUCUAAAAGAAUUCCCAGUUUACUUGAUCUCUCGGCACAACUGCAACUAAGGUGUUCCACCACUGAUAAGCCGAAUCUUUCAAUAAUGAAACAACACAUUUCAAGUAUUUCGUAGGAGUACAUGAUAAUUCAUCGAAAACUUUCACCGUGUUUUCUAACAAAACUCGGCUCUCUUUGGAUCAUCUUCAGCUGUUCCUCGGAACUCUUAAGCCUCAUACUUACGAAUUUUAUCAACUAGAGGUUUGCUCGUCCGAACUAGUUCCAAACCCUGAGGAACUACGAGGAUCGAUUGGGGUACAGGUGGGGGUGGAGGUCGUUAAGCCAUUGGUUUCAUUCGAAUAAACUCGAAGAACCAUUCAUACAUCAUCUGGAGGAGAUCGAUACCGUCGUAACAUCGAAACAUGGAAUACAUUGUGAAUAUUUUCUAACUUUAACGGCAAAGAUAAUCUAUAAGCUAUUGGUCCAAUUUUUUCUAUGAUCCCAUACGGCCCAAUAAAUCGUGGACUAAGCUUUCCUUUUCGACUGAAUUGAAGAACUUUCUUCCAAGGCGAUACUUUUAGAAAUAAUCUGUCGCUUACUUGAAAUUCAAUGUCUUUUCUUUUCAAAUCUGCGUAAGAUUUUUGUCGAUCCGAAACUGCUUUCAGGCUAUCACGUAUCACUUUAACCUUUUCUUGAGUUUGUCAAAUUAAAUCAACAUUGAAUAACUUUUCCUCACUCAGAUCAGUCCAGUAUAAAGGAGUUCGACACUUCCAACCAUACAAAGCUUCGUAUGGUGCCAUUUUAAUACUCACUUGAUAACUAUUGUUGUAUGCAAAUUCAACCAACGACAGAAAUCUCUCCCAGUUACCUUCGAACUAUAAAACACAACAUCGUAGCAUAUCUUUGAGUAUCUGAAUCACUCACUCAGAUUGACCAUUUGUUUAGGGAUGAAAUGUUGUACUAAAAUACAGUUAAGUACUAAGAGCUUCGUGUAACUUGCUCCAAAAUCGAGACGUAAACCGCAAAUCUCUUUCAGAAAUAAUAGAAUCUGGCACACCGUGCAAUCUAACAAUCUCAGUAACAUAUAACUUUGCCAAUCUCUCGAGUGAAAAAUCCAUACGCACAGGAAUGAAAUGCGUGGACUUCGUCAAACGAUCAAUAGUGACCCAUACAACAUAUUUUUUUCUCGGAGAUAGAGACAAACCCGAUACGAAAUCCAUCGUGACACAUUCCCAUUUCCACUUUGGAAUCAUCACAGGUUGUAACAAACUAGAAGGUACCUGAUGUUUAGUUUUAACUUGCUAACAAACCAAGCAUUUCGGUACGAACUCUAAAAUGUCUUGUUUCAUACCUGACCACCAAUAUAUGUGUUUCAAAUUGCCAUACAUUUUAUUGCUACCAAGAUGAAUAGACAAGCUAUUACUGUGAGCUUCCUGUAAAAUUUUCUGAAUAAGAUCAAAAUUUCUCGAAACACAAAUUCUUCCUUUGAAGUACAAACUGUCAUCGGAACCAACAUGAAAAUUUGAUGCAGGUGUCAUCUCAAUCUAUUUCUGUUUAGUGAUCAAAACAUCGUCACAUUUCUGAGCUUCGCAAAUCUGUUGCAGAAACGUCAGUCUAACUUUUAAUUCUGCCAAAAUUGAUUCGUCAUCAAUCAACGUCAAUCGUGUGUUCAAUGCUCGUAAGGCAAACAUGAACUUUCUACUCAAUGCAUCAGCAACAACAUUAGCCUUUCCAAUGAUCAAGUCGUAAUCUUUCAAUAAAUCGAGCCAUCUGUGUUGUCUUAAAUUCAAAUCCUUUUGUGACAUCAAAUACUUUAGGCUUUUAUGGUCCGUGAAAAUAUGACAUUUUUCUUCGUACAAAUGGUGUUGCCAAAUCUUCAAAGCAAACACAAUGGCUACAAGCUCUAAAUCGUGAGUCGAAUAAUUCUUUUCGUGCAGUUUCAACUGUCUAGAAGCAUACACUAUUACUUUGUCUUCUUGUAUCAAAACAUAACUUAAUCCAUUCAAUGAAGCAGCGCUAUAAAUCACAAAUUCUUUACCGGACUCUGGCUGAACGAACAUAGGUGCCUCGGUUAAUAAAGUUUUCAACUGAUUAAAACUGUGCUGACAUUUCUCGAUCCAUUCGAAUUUAACAUCUUUUUACAAAAAUCUCGUCAACGGCAUAGCAAUCAUCGAGAAUCUCAUGACGAACCUUCUAUAAUAUCUGGCUAAACCCAGAAAACUUCUGACUUCAGAUACAUUUCUCAGAGGUUUCCAGUCUACCACAGCUGAAAUUUUACUUGGAUCAACUCUAAUACCAUCUGCUGAUACCACAAGUCCCAAAAAUCCUACUUCUCGGAGCCCGAACUCACAUUUGUUGAACUUAGCGAGCAGUUGUUUUUUCGCGUAAGGUUUGUAAAAUAGUUCUCAAAUGUUGGGCAUGUUCUAUCACAUCUCGUGAAUAAAUCAGGAUGUCAUCAAUAAACACAACAACAAAUCUAUCUAAAUAUGGUCUGAAUAUUCUAUUCAUCAAGUCCAUAAACACAGUAGGUACAUUAAUCAAACCAAAUGGCAUCAUAAGAAACUCAUAAUGUCCGUACUUAGUUCUGAACGUUGUUGUCGACAUAUCAGACUCUUUAACCCAUAACUGAUAAUAACCAGGAUGAAGAUCGAUCUUUGUUAAUACCGUCACACCUUUCAAUUGAUCAAACAAAUCAUCAAUAUGUGGUAAUGGAUACUUGUUCUUGAUCAUGACUUUGUUGAGCUGUCGAUGAUCAAUACAUAGUUGCAUGGAUCUGUCCUUUUUCUUGACAAAUAACACAGGACGUCCCCAAGGAGAAAAACUGGGCUGAGCAAAGCCCCUAUCUGAUAACUCUUGCAACUGAGCUUUCAAAUCUUUUAAUUUUAUAGGUGUCAUUCUAUAUGGAGCUAUCGAGAUCAGAGAUAUUCCAGACAUUAAUUCAAUAGCAAACUCAACUUUUUUGGUCGAUGGUAACCCUGGUAAUUCUUUUGGAAACACGUCUGCAUACUGACAUACAACUGGAACUGAUUCUAACUUAAAUUUUAAAACUCCAGAAUCAUAUAUAUAAGCGAGAUACGUUUCAAAGCCUUUUCUAACAUGUUUUUGUGCCGACAUAACCAAAAUAACAUCAAAUGCACUAUAUAAUAUGUCUGAUUCAAUUCGAAGCUUUUCACCAUUCUGACAUUUUAACAUAAUAUACUUUCGUCUAUAGUUCAAAACAACAUCAAGCAGAGUUAACCAGUCCAUACCCAGAAUCACAUCAAACUCAUCAAAGCGUAGUAACAUCAAGUUAGCCGGAAAGUUGCAACCCCGAAUAAUCAAAUGGCAAUUUUUAAAGACUUUAUCAGCUAACACAAACUGACCUAAAGGGUUCAUUACUUUAACCAAAAACUCAGUAGAAGGUAUUUUCUUAUUUGACAUUAAGGUUGUGCAUACAUAUUAGUGCGUUGACCCAGGUUCAAUCAAAGCAUUAACAAUAGUAUCAAAGAUAGAAAAUGUACUAGCGAUAACAUCUGGUGCUGAAGCUUCCUGUCGAGCAUGGAUUGCAUAAGCUCUAGUCAGCGUUGGUGCCUCAAAUCUCAUAGUAGAAUCUUUCGUCCCACUACGACUAUUACCCGUAUUACCAGUGUUCCAGGGUGGUGCUCGUCCUCUCGCAGUUGUAUUACUCGGUUGAGUAGUCUUAGCCUUUUUUUGUCGGACUUUUCAAGGCAAUCUCUAAGAUAAUUUUCAUACGAACCACAUUUAAAACAUGAAUCAUCUUUCAAUCUACAUUCAUCGAAGUUUUGUCUAUUACAUUGCUGAUAUUUGGGCUUGUUGUUUCUGACAUUGCCUACACUUGCUGCAAACGUAGCCUGAGGUUUCGAGCUCGAAUGCUAAUUUCCUCAAUCUUUCCCAGAAUUAACCACUGAAGCUAACGAACGACCAUGAUAUUCUUUCGACUUCUUUGAUGGUGAUGAGUAUGACUUUUCUAUAGGCUUCUUUCUGGAGUCAUGAGCCUCAUUGACUUUUCUUUUCACUUUGCUAAGUUGUUCAGCUUUAUGCGCUUUUUCAACCAGAACUACAAAUUCUUUCAACUCAAGGAUCCCUACUAAUAGCUUGAUAUCUUCGUUUAACUAGUCUUCAAACCUUGUGCACAUAGCAACCUCUAUAAGUAUAUAUUCUCGGGCAUACUUACUGAGUCGAUCAAAUUCCCUCUCAUACUCUACUACAGAUAUACAACCUUGUUUCAAUUCAAGGAAUUCUUUACGUUUCUUGUCUAAAAACAUCUCGCUCACAUAUUUCUUUCAGAAUUUAGUCUAAAAGAAUUAUCAGUUUACUUGAUCUCUCGGCACAAAUACAACUAAGCCGUUCCACCACUAAUAAGCUGAGUCUUUCAAUAAUGAAACAACACAUUUCAAGUAUUUCGUAGGAGUACAUGAUAAUUCAUCGAAAACUUUACCGUGUUUUCUAACAAAACUCGGCUCUCUUUGGAUCAUCUUCAACUGUUCCUCGGAACUCUUAAUCCCCAUACUUAUGAAUUUUAUCAACUGGAGGCUUGCUCGCCCGAACUAGUUCCAACCCUGAGGAACUAUGGGGAUCAGUUGGGGUACAGGUGGGGGUGGAGGUCAUUGAGGCAUUGGGUUCGGUCGCACAAUCUUGGAGAACCAUUCAGACAUAAUCUUGAGGAAGGCUUCCUUAGCCUUUCCUCCCCAACCCUCAGAUACGGGCCUAUUACCACUAGACGCUGCUCCGUGAACGAAGGCUUGCGCGUUACUUUCUACGUCAUCGGAAUCAGUUUAAUUUGAUGACAUUUUAUCUAUUUGAAAACAUAGUCUGAGAACCGACUAAACCGUAGCUCUAAUAAUACUAAAUGUAACACCCCAAACCCGUAUCCAUCGUCGGAUUAGGGCUACGAAGCAUUACUGUACAAAUAGAACAUUACAACAUACAUUUCAUACAUUAAUAUAAAUUUAACAAAAAUUAUUCAUUCACAUACACAUCAUCUCUAAAUCGUGCUGCCAAGGCCCUAAAAAUACAUUAAAAAAUUUGGGACUAAAUUUGAAGCAUUUGGAAAGUUCAAGAAAAAGUUAGAACAAUUUGACUGUAGGGGUCACACGACCAUAUGCCUCAUACGACUGAGACAUACGCCCGUGUCUCAAGCUGUGUAGCAAUUGAAAUAAGGACACACAGCCGUGUCCUUACCCAUGUAACUUUCUGAGUAGGGUCACAUGGCUGAGACACAGACCUGUGUGCCAGGCCAUGUGCUAGGCCGUCUAACUCCCUGACUUGUAUGCAAUAGAACCUAAAUGGGACACACGGCCAUGUUGCCAGGCCGUGUGUCACACAUGGCUGAGUCACAUGCCUGUGUCUCAGGCCGUAUAGACAUGAAUUUUCCCACAAACAAGCCAUUUCCAUCACCAAAUCAAGGAAACACAUAAUCAAGACAUCAAAGCCUUACCAAAACAUGCAUAUUCAAUAGCUUUAAACCAUUAAACCAAUAUGCCAUUUCAAGGCACCUCACAAGCAAACACUAAACUUACACAUUUGAUCACAUUUCCACAAUCAAACAUAAUUCAUCUUCCUACAAAUCAUACCAUAAUUAUGACCAUUAGCAUUUCAACAUAAACUUACCGUUUGAGCCAUGCCCUUGAUGCAUCAUAUGUACAAAAGUGACACAAUCCAACCAACAUCAAAUGGUACCAACACAACUUAUACAUGCCAAAAUCAUCAACUCACAUUCAACUAGAUACCAAUACAAGUCCACCUAUACAUGCGAUUAUAACCUUGGCCAAAAUAUAAAAAACUACCGAUAUUUAUGCUUAGUAUGAUUGAUCUCCGACGAGCUUCUAAACCGAUCGAGCUUCCGAUUAUCUAUAAAACAUGGGAAAGAAAACUAUAUAAGCACAUAAUGCUUAGUAAGUUCGUAAAACAUGAAACAUAACUUACCAUUUCCUUAUAUAACAUUAAGUACAAGUAUAAUGUAAUCAAACACAAGCUUGGCACAAUCCUAAUCACCAUCAUCAAUACACAAGUUAGUGCAUAUAUACAUAAUUCAAUUGAAUUUAACAUAUGGUAAUCCAUUUCCAUGGAAAUAUACAUCAUUUGAUUCAUUCUUCAUUUUCAUGAACAUAAGCAUACUUCUAUUUGGAAACUUACCAUUUCAAUCCUUUUCUUAAAUACAUGAUAUAGUUCAUUUUGAACACUUACCGUUCCUUUCCUUUUCAUGCCCGUUGAACCAUUUAGAAUAUCAUCAGAUACACGAGAAAGCUCACACGAAUUGUGCUUAAACAUAUAAUCGUAACCUUUCCUUUACAUUGUUGCUCACACGAGCUGGGAAAUAGGCCUGCUUAUACGAGUUGUGAAAUGGGAUUGCUCACACGAGCUGUGGGUCAAAAUGUAUGCUAGACGAUGUUGCUCACACAAGCUGUGGAGUAUCUAAAACAAAUGCAGGACCUCAGUAUUGGUAUGACAUUCAAGACUAGCACCUAAUCAUGAAAAUCCUAAUGUCAUGUCAUUUGUAUCCUAUGAAUUAUUAAAGUUCAACUGGGACUCGAUAACCGUCGUGGCAUGAUUUUGGAUAUACAUUGUUCAAUAGCAUUUUUAAUACAUAAUAACAUAUAAUUAGAAAUCAUGAACAUAAUAAUCCGUACAUACAAAUGCUAGACGAGUAAGGCGUAAAAACGGGAUCUACUAAUCCAAGGCUUUAGCUUUUCCCCGAUCUCGAUCCGUUCGUGGCCUAUCUUGAUCUAAAUAGAAAAUAUAAUUCAUUAAAUUUCCCUAGCAUUCAAUUUAGUCCAUAUUUCAUAUUUAUACAAAAUUACUAUUUUUCCCUUAACAUUUUAACUUUUUGCAAUUUAGUCCUUAAGCUGAUAAAUUAAAAUCUAAGCUUUUUCAUCCUUUUCUCAAGUUAGCCGGUUUCUUUAGGGACCUAUAUAAACUCAUACAAACCAUCAUUUCAUAGGUUUAACUUGAAAUUUUAUCUUUUUUACAAAUAAGUCCCUAAUUACAAUUUUCAUAAAAAAUCACCUUAUAAAACUUGUUUAUUUAUGAACAAGAACUCAUAAUCUACCAUUAAACAUAAAGAAUAAUGAAAGAACAUUCAUGGAAAAACCCUAAAUCUUUAACAAUUUUACAAAUUGAUCCUCGGGAUAGCUAAGUUAAGCUACAAAGAUCUCAAAAACAUAAAAAUCUUUAAAAACGAGCUAAAAAUCACUUAAAUGCAGUACUUGAACAUAGCCAAACCUUCAAGAUGAAAAAUGGAUGUUUUCCUUCUUUAAUUUCGAUGGAAACAUGAACUAAAGAAGAUGAUACUUUUAUUUUAUGUUAUUUUUCUUUACUUAAUUAUUAAAUUACCUUAACAACCUUGUUAAUUAACUAAAUAAAACACCUAAUUCAUGCCCAUCCUUUUUCACUAACAUUAUGAAUGGUCUAAUUACCAUUUCAGUCCACUCACAUUUAAGCUUUGUAGCCAUUUGACCCUUUUUACUAAUAGAACUCUAUUUUUUCACCUUUUAUGAUUUAGUCCUUUUCACUUAAUUAAGCAUGCAAACAUUGAAAUUUAUUGACAAAAAUUUUAUACGACCUUACUAACAUUCCAUAAACAUUAAAAAUAAUUGUAAAAUAAUAAUUUACUUGUCGAACUUGUGGUCUCAAAACCACUGUUCUGAUUUCACUAAGAACGGGUUGUUACAAAGAUAGUCAUUAAUAAAUGUUGUCUUGAUAUCCAUUUGCUAGAUCUCGUAAUCAAAAGCAGCGACAAUGGAUAAGAGUAUGCGAAUAGAAUUGAAAAUGGCUACCGGAGAGAAUGUCUCAUCGUAAUCGAUGCCUUCUUGCUAUGUGUAGUAUUUCCCUACAAGUCUAGCUUUAUGUGUUUCCACUUCCCCUUCCGCAUUUCUCUUCUUCUUGUAGAUUUGCUUACACCCUAUAAGUUUUAAUCCCAACCAGUAAGUCUACAAGUUCCCACACCAUAUUGGAUUUCAUAGAAUCCAUCUCGACAUCCAUGGUUGUUUCUAGAUAUUUGAAUCAAGGUUCUGCAUAGCCUCAUCGUAAGUGAGUAGAUCAUUAUCCUCAUGAUUGACUUCUAUAUUAUAAAUACUACAAUCAUAGAUGAAGAAGUCUAAUUUCUUAAAAAUUCUCCAACUACGACGGAUUCCCCUAUGUUGUUGAUUGUUUGCAGGUCGUUCUACAACUAUCUCGAGAAUUAAACUUUGUUAUUGUUCUACAACUCCCUAAAGUUCCUCGAGUACCACUUUACUUCGAGCCUUAGAGUUAUCCAUGUAGCUUUCCUCGAGGAAAAUAGCAUGAGUAGAAACUUUGAUCGAAUUAUCAUUUAGAUUGUAUAAUAAUUCACCCUUUGCUCAUUCUGGAUAUCUUAUAAACAUGCACAAUUCUUUCUGUACAUCCAACUUCUCUGCAUCCUUAUCCAAAACGUGUGCUGGACAAUCCUAUAUUCUAAAGUGAUUUAGAAUUGAUUUCUUUUCAUGCCACAGUUUAUAAGGUGUCUUACAAGCAGACUUGGUUGGCACAUCAUUCAGAAUAUAGCAAAUUAUUUGUAUCGCAUAUCCUUAGAAGGGAGUAAGGAGUUUUGAAUAGCUUAACAUUGAAUGAACCAUGUUAAGCAAUGUUCUAUUCCUUCUCUCAGCUACGCCAUUAUCCUGUGGAGUGCUCGGCGUAGUCAACUGGGAUUAAAUCUCAUUCUCUAUGAGGUAUCCUAAGAACUCGUCAGACAAGUAUUCCCCACCUCGGUCAGAUUUAAGAUUCUUUAUGGAUAAACCUAAUUGCUUUUCCACUUUUGCACGAAACUCUCGAAAUUUAUCAAAUGCUUCACUUUUGUGGUUCAUUAGAUACAUUUAUCCAUAUUGAGAAUAGUCUUAAAUGAAAGUCAAGUAAUAAUCAUAACUUCCUCAGGCACUGAUGCUCAUGGGACCACAUACAUUAGUGUGCACAAGUUCUAAAGGUUGGUUGGCCCUUGUACCUUUCGCAUUAGAAAACUACUUAGUCAUUUUACCUUCCAAGCAAGAUUCACAUUGUGGAAGACUAACUUCCUUAAGCAUACUUAAGGGACCAUCUUUCAUGAUUCUAGUGAUUCUUUCUUGGUUAAUAUGACCGAAUCUUAAGUGACAUAGGUAUCCCUCAUUAGAGUGAGGCGUUUUAAGUUUUUAUUUUCCAUCCAUCCAUUACAAAUUAAAGAACAAUUUUUGUGAAUAAUAAUCCCUUUAUUAAAUGUCACUGUAUAACUGUCGUAAAAUAAACAUGCUACAAAUAAUAAAUUCCUCUUAAAAUAAGAUACAUAAAAUAUGUUUUUUAAAAUAAUCUUCCUAAAAUUAUCAAAAUGUAAAAUAACUUCUCUCACUACUUCGACUGAAACAUAGCUCCCAUCUCCAAUCUGCAAUGAGAGGCUCUUGUCACGUAAACAUCUCAUUCCACUGAACUCCCGUAAAGAAACAUAUACAUGGUUAAUGGCUCUAGAAUCAAUAAAUCAGUUGUCUAUUGAUUCUUCCCUUAAGCAAGUUUCAACCAUAAAGAGUUCCAUACAUUUGCCAUUUUCGGCUGGGUAAAUCAAAUACUCUUUACAGUUUGCUUUGAAAUGCCCUGUAACACCCAUAUCCCGUCUCUGUUGCCGGAUUAUGGAUUGAAGUGUUAUAGAACCAAACCAAAACAAUUUAUCUUAAUUCCAUAACAAGUAUUCAAUUAAUUUAAAAACACAUAUCAUAUUAUAUCAUAUCAAUACAUAUCAUAUCAUAUCAUACCAUAUCAUAUAAUAAAUAUGCACAUGAGCCUUUUUUCGGGUUUGCAAGGCCUUAAAAUUAGAUUAAAAAUAAUCAUGGAUCAAAUUGAGACAAAUUAUAAAUUUUUGAGAUAAACAUGAAAAUUUGAUAUGCAGGGGUCACACGGCCAUGUGUCCAGACUAUGUGACAUAGCCCAAACCGUGUGGGAAUUCGAGGUUGGGACACACGGCCGUGUCCCAGCCUGUGUCUCUAUCUGUGUAACUCACUGACUUUGAUCACACGGUCAUGUCAUAGAUUGUGUGUCAGGCCAUGUAACUCUCUAACUAAAUACACACGGCCGUGUGCUAGAUCGUGUAUGGCACACGGCCGUGUGGCAGCUCGUGUGCACCAAAAUGAACAUUAAAGAUCAAGUUUACCAAAUCAUGCUUACUUGAACACUAAACAAUCCAAUUACUAGCCAUAACCUAUUCAAAACACAAUUAAACAUGCUCAAAACAUGCCAAAACAAUCAUCUUAAGUGCCUAACCAAUGUACCCUCUUUAGUACCACAUUUUAUAUUUUGUAAUAUAUUAAUAAAACAUUAAACUAAAAUAUAUACCAAAACAUUUAGAUAGGCUAACCUACCAAAACAUAGUCUCAAAAAUAAUGAAAAAACCUCCCUAUAUAUGUCAUUACAAAAUAAAGCAUCACACCAGAACUCUAAACCACAUCAUUCAACAAUUACAGAUCAAGGUAUUCAUCUAUGCAUUACAUAUAUAUACACUUGUUCCAUCAUUACAAAAUGCACUCUAGUAAAACGCAGAUCUCACUCAUUAACUAAAUCUAUCAACAUUCUCAAAACUCAUAUAUUCAUCAAUAUAUACAUGCCACUACCCAAUUAAGAUGCAAAAGUACCGACUUAGAUUUAUAGUGUGAGCUGGUUGAUUGAUCAUUCCAAAAAGUCAGCAACGAUUAUCUACAACACUUUCGAUUUAAUCACAGGGAUCUAUUCUGUAAUUUUCCCUUUUCCUCGAUUUAAGUCUUUCUGUCCCGGUUCUUGAUAUGCAAGCAAUGGAAAUGGCCAAACCUAGCUUUAAAAGAAAUGGCUUUCUUCUCUUCUCAAAUUCAGCUAAGGAUGGUGGAAGAUGACAAUGUUUCUUUUCUUAUUAUUUUACUUUAGUUUUGUUUUAUUAUAUUACCAUUUUACCCUUAGAAUUAAGCUUAUAAUUUAACAGCUAAAAAGGCCCUUAACUGUCUAUCCAAAAUCACAUGGACUAAUUACUUUAUAAGUCCUCUUUUAUUUGAUAGUUAAGCUAUCAAAUCAUUAUAAUUCAAUUAUGUCUAGAUUUUGAACAUUUUACAACUUAGUCAUUUUUCUUAAUUUAACUAAGUACAAAUUAAAAUUCUUUCACUGAAACUUAAUACGACCCUAAUGUAACUCCACAAACAUUGAAUAAACCAUAAAACACAACUUCAUAUAUUGAUAUUUGUGGUCCCGAAACCACUAUUCCAUUACCACUAAACAACGGGAUAUUACAUGCCCUUUUCUAUUGCAGAAGAAACAUUUGAUCUUUUUAGGAUAUUUUGACUUCUUAGCCUUCUUCCUAUCCAUACGAGGCGGAAUCGAAGACUUAGUAGGUUUAUUCUUUCUUUUAGCUUUUUGCUUUCAUUUAGAGGAUGAAAGACCCACUGCUAAGUUUGCCUCAGGUUUCUCCUGAACCGACUUUCCACCAUUCAACAUCAACUAAUAGGAUGGUAAUUCCUUCAUGAGCUGAGUCAAGGUAAGCGCCGUGUUCCUUAAGUUAUAAGCAACCUUAAAACCAGCAAACUCCUUAGUUAAGGAUUUGAACACUAUUUCAAUCUGAGUGUUCACGUCUAGUUCAACCCCAUUGUCUUCCGCUUCCGCAAAGAUUCCCAUAAGCUUAAGCAUAUGUUUUUUGACUGGAGUGCUGGAUUUUUGUUGAGAGUUCAUCAUAUUUGUAAUAGCGGAUUCUCGAGCCAAUGCGACUUGGCCUCGGAGCAAAUCCUCUAAUUUUUCAUAAUCUUUUUAGUAGUACGAAAAUUCUCAUGUUGCUUUUGUAACACACUACUCAUGCUUGUUAACAUAUAACAUCGAGCAAACGAGUCAGAAUCUCUCCAACAAUUUCUCGCUUUGGGCUAAGCUUUAAAAGGGUAUAUUUCGUCAAGAACGAAUUUGUGUUUUUCACAGCUAAGAACUAUUAGCAAGUUUCGUUUCUAUUCUCGAAAGUUAUCCCUAUCCAAUUUAUUUUUAGUAAGAAUGCUAAUAAGAGGAGUAAGAGACAUAUUUGAACUGAAAAAUAAAGAUUCACUAAUUACUAUCUUUGUAUUAAGCAAAUAUUUUCAUUUCAGAAACAUAUCAAGAAUGCAAUAUGAUGCAUGCGUCUUGUAUUAAAACCUUGAAAAACCAUUUUUCUGUUGCUACGAUCAUUCUCAUACCCAUCAACCAUGUCAUCUUGGGGUCCCAUGAUUAACUAGAAAGAAUACGAAUUACAUCCAUUUAGUUCGUGAAUCUUAAUUCUCAAGACUCUACACGAACCAAUGACCAUUUUGUUGGAUCGCCAGCACCCCUACGGCGCAGCGGAAAAAAAAAUCGGCGACCUUAACCAUGGAUCCAUGUGUGAAGAACGAAUCGGGGUGAAAAGAUUACGAAAUUACCUAAUAUUUCGAUUGAGAAGACAGUAACUUCUCGACAAUGUGUAGUCUGAUCUACAGUCAAACCAAGUCGCAAUCUAUCGAGACUCCGACCUCUACGUAAUCCACCCAGUUGACUACGAACGAAAGAAAAUCCCCAAAACAGUUUUGAGAGUUGUAUUUCUUUGACGGCUGCUGGACCUUAAAAAUAAUGAAAAACGGGAUUCUAAUAUAUCCCUUUUAUUUUUAGGGUUUUUUAGGAAUUAAAUAAAUAAAAUAAUAUUUUAAACCAAAAAUUAUAAUUACAUUAAUUAUAAUAUAAUUUCGAUAAACCAUAUAUUUAUUUAAAUUCAUAUGCUAAUCACAUUCAUGUCCUCAUUAUGCGUACAACAACCUUGUACAUAAUGUGUUGGAAAUUUGAUUACUGAAUUAAAUUAAUUCUAUAAUUAAUUUAAUUCAAGUGACACCCAAAAAUAAAACCAACUAUGGUUUAUUCCGUUCAUUUCAACUAUAGGGUGUGACCCUGUAGGUUCCUGUAACGUUAGCAGUAAUACUAGAACGAUUCCAAUGUUACAAACAAUGAGUGGCAUCUAGCAAUGCAUCAUUGCUACCUAAGUCACAAGAGAUCAUGAUUCGACAUAACCUUUUAUGAUUAACCUUUUAUGCAAUAAUCCUUAAGUCCUUUAUCUCUGGAUUGGAAACAAGUCAUGGAAUAGUCACACUUGUAUAGUCCAUUCCAUGUUCCUUGAUAUCUUAAGCAGGCUACGAUAUACAAAUAAGUAUGACAUCUCAUAUUAACUUAUUUGAGCAUGGCCAUGCAUUUCUAGUCUCACUUAAUCAAGUGGCCUAAGAUAUUACUCCCAUUAUGUAGGAGGGACUUAUUCUAUAUCGACCAACCAUAUCCCUCUACAUCGAUUGUGAUAUAUCCAACAUCAGCCUUUAUAGAACAACCAGUUACGGUGUACGUUUAACUGUAUCAAAAUAUACUACUCACGAUGUUGGGAUUAUGAUGAUCUCAAGUCUGAGGAUCAUAUACAUAUUAAUCACUAUGAGUAAUGUCGUGACAAUUACAUAAUAAUCCAAGAGACAUACUCAUAAUGGGUCAGUCCAAUGUUGUUCUCUAACACACAUAUUCAUGCAUCGAUUCUGACAUUCCAUAUCAAUGACAACUCUUUAUCAUCAAUCAACUACAUGUUAGUCUUAAUGCAUUAUCGUUGUCCUAUCCAACAAUAAUACUUGACUAAGGAUCUUUUAAGAAUAAUCAUAUUAUUCUUAGGACAUUAUUAUAAAACAGCUUAUUUAUACACACAGAAAAGAAACUUAAAUAAUAAUGGUAACGCCUUAUAUUAAUAAACAUGAUAAAUCAAGUAUGUUAUUACAACCAUCUCAUGAUUGGUCUUUGGGCAUACUCUAACACAUUUAACGUUUGGUCAUCAUCUCUAGCUUAAAUAUAAUUUUUUGGGAAACUAUUUAAUAAGAGAAUAUCUUGAGUGUGUAACCAUUGUCUCAACAUCCAUCAUGAACACACUUUCAUUUGUGAGUCAUCUUGGGACAAUCUCAUAGAGAGUCAUGCAUGACUAGUUUUCCUGAAAAGGAAAUCUCAUCCAGUGAAUUCACAUGAUAAAAUUUACAUUGGGGUGCGGCCAAGGUAGGAACCAACUCAAAAUUUUAUCAUGCUAUCACUUAGGGACCAUUAAUGGCGGUCAUAGGUUUUGUACAAUAACUUUCUCCCACUCAAUAUUUUAAAAUAACAUGCAAGGUUUUUUAUCCCAUAUGUCAAGAAUGAUCAUGCAAUAGUCCUAGUGGCAUUCUUACCUAAUCUAUAUGUCAUGCUUCCAAUAUAUGCAUGGUAUGCUAUAAAAAUUUUAUAAUAUUUACAUUCUUUUAUUCACAAGAAUCAAUUAACCAAAAAACAAACAAUUUUGAUUCUCCACAGUUUUUGUUUUGAGGGAAAAACAUGAGAAGUGAAUGUAAACCAUGCACUAGGUAGGGUCCUAGGAAAGAGAGGCGAGUCAAAUUUGACCGCUUAAAAACCAAGUAUUUCUUAGCUAGAAUCAUUCCUAGACAUGCACAUUCUCAUUACCACACUCCUCACAGUAAUCGAAUAACCUAAAGAAGUGACUAGAACAAUACAACACAAGUAUUUUCUCAUUAUCACACUUCUUAUUUUGUAUUCGAUCAACUACAGAUCAUCUCAUAUAUAUCACAAUUAUAACAUUACAUAAUAUAAAUAUUAUAAACAAUUAUAAAACAGUGUCCAUCAAUGUUUCUAUGGUUCUAUUUCUAGAAUAAAUGAAAAAAAAUAAAAUUACAUAAUUUUUCGCCACAAGGCAUUCCUUGGGCCUUCAACUGGCAUCGCUCCAUCUUCUCCUCAUUAUGGACUUCUUUUAAAAAAAUUACAUUUAAGUCCUAUAUCCGUUUUCGGCUCACAAGAAUUUUAUGAACUAAAGAAAAAUUCUUAUGUGGAGAUGAUAGUCAACAGUCUAUUUCCUAAGAACCACAACCUUGGAAAACAAAAUUAUAUAACAAAUAUAUAAUAUUACAUCCAUUCCCAUAUACAACUCAAAACAUGCAUAAGAUCUAAAGAAUAUCACUUUAUAUGUAAUCAAAUCAUUCAAGAAGAAGAGAAAUUUAUAUUGAUUAUCUGCUUAUACUUACAGAUAAAACACAAACUGACUCUAAUACCAAUUGUUGGAAAAUCGAGUUUGGAAAAUGCAAUGGAAAAUAAAUUUAGGGAAAAAUUAGAGUUUUAAAAAAAACUCCAAAACAAGAACUUGGUUGUGAUAUCUAAAGUAAUAAACACUUAAUCAAAAUUGUAUCUUUUCGAUUCGUCUAGGAUGAACGCUUCGACAUAGUAGUCUUCUCUGUUAUCCUCAAGCUCACGUUUUCCGAGUGUGGUCUUGCUUCAAAUCAGAAAAUUUUUCACAAAAGUACCAGUAGGGUAAUUUUUCAAUUUCUCUAAACUUUUGGGCUAAGUUGUAAAUAAAAAAUAUGUUUAGAAAUUUUCUUAAAUAAUUUCUUUAUAGAAUUUUCUCUCUACAACUUUCUCUUGAAUUCAAGUGUGUGAAAAUAAUGACCCAAGACUCUCUUUAUAUAAGGAGAGUUUAGAGAGUUCAACUAUGAUUAAACUUAAUCACUUUAAUAUUAAAUUUAACAUAAUAUUUAAUCAAGAUAAAUAUUAGUCUAAAUUUAAUAUUAAAUCUUAUUAAAUUAAUAGAAUAUUUAUCUACAAUAUAAACAUUAAAUUAAAUUUAAUAUUAAGAUAAUAACUUUAAUAUUAAAUUUAUAAAAUACUAUUAAGAUAAGUAUUACAUUAAAUUUAAUAUUAAAUAUAUUAAAAUAAUAUUAUUUCUGGAAUAGUUAAUCUGCAAUCAAAUUCUCUAGUAGAAUCCCAAUAGGAGUAUAAUUCUUCCACUACUCAACCAUCGAAGAACCACCGUCGUUGACCAUUUUCCUACCACUGGAAUGUUGUCGUCAUAGCUGUCGACGCCUCGAGUUGGUUCGAUUUCUAGCGGUUCGGUCCGAGCCAAUGAUAGCCAGAUCGGUCCGGUCCAAGCAGUUUUCACAUCCAAGCCCGGUUCGACCAGUUUUUGGGUCUUGGUCUUGAUUUUGGUCUCCCGAGCCCAAUUUACGAUAUCAGGUCCAAUUUUCAAGUUCAAUUACCCAUUGGUCCAACUGUUUGAGUUGAAAAUUAAUUUCCAAAAAUAUCAUAUUAAUUUUAUUAAUUUAAUUUUACUUGAUCAAAAUUAAUUUUUCCAAAAAUGAUUUAGAUUUUCCAAAUUAAUUUUGCAAGAAAAUUCUUUAAACAAAUUCUUUAGUUGAACAAUUCUUACAACCACCCAAUUUAUUUCAACAUCGAAUAAAUUGACUCAAUUAAAUUAUUUAUAAAGUCGUAAAAUUUACUUCUAAUUCAAAUGCAGUCCAGUCGAGCUUUUGUUGAGCUAGCAAACGGACCAAUCAAACAUUUACAAUUAGGAUUUAUUAAUUGUAAUUAUGUCCAGAAGCACCGUUCUGAUAAUUCACAAUUACAUAAUCAUGGAGCCAGUCCACAAUAAGUACUAUGAUUGAAAACUCAUUAUUGUAUACUCUUUACGAAAGUAAUUCAUCCAACUAUUUUGCCCAAUGACCUCAUCAUGUUUGCCUCAUAUGAUAUCCUCCAUUCCUUUGAGUUGAUGUGUUCUCGGGUUUGCUAAAUGGCUGAAACCUAAGCUGCCAUUUCCAUCCUAUUUGGGACUAUGACUCAGGCUAAAGCUAAAGGAUUCAAAUAAGUGUUUGUGGGCUCUUAAGGCCCUAACCGUCCACUUUAUUUUAUUUAAUUAAUUCCACAAUUUAUAAUUUUAAUUUUAUUUAGUAUGUGUCAUGAUUGUGUCGUUGUUAUUACAUCGUUUUAAAUAGAGUCUUAAGAAUGUCUAGUUUUCUACGUGUUUAAUGUGUCUUAAAAUAUGUUAUGGUGUCAUUAUUAUGUUCCAUUUUAUUACAACAUUGUUAUUAUGUUUAUUGUGUCCUAAUGGUGUGUUUAACGUGCCCUAGGGAAAUCUAAUGGCCUUCUUAAGAAGCUAAGGGAUUUUUCGCUUGGCUAAAAGAGAUCAAGCGCGUUCACACCUGUUCAAUUCAGCUUGAAAAGUGACCAUUCAACCAACAAGUGCUUCAUUAAGUGCCACUAUCCAAAUGAGGGCUGAAUAUGGUUGUUGGAAACUUUUCUAGAAAAUGUCUAUUGGGUUUUUCCAUGCCUCAUAAAGCUGCCGUUCACCAAGGGGGAAGUAUGAGCCUUUUGAAGAAUUGCUUAGCCAUUUAGCAUGGUUGAAUUCUUCCCCAAUGUAAUUAAUGGCAACCUCUAUAUUCAAUGCUAAGAUGCAUGGAUGGCUAAGGUCAUGUACUUGAGUUUAAAGUAACAUUUCAUAUCUUUCAAAUUAAGACCGAAUGUGGCCAUUAGCAUACCUAAGCCUAUAAAGAUUUUAGUCAUGUUGUUUUGUAAGGUUAGACAUCUUUGAAUCAAUAUUGUGAGAUUAUUCUCUUGUUCCUUAAGAACUUAUUUCUAACUUAUCAAGAAUUCGUUCUUGUGGCAUUCUCCCAUUUUUGAUCUUAUCACACCCCUUCUUAUCUUUCCGGAGUGUGGCAGUCAACCCUAUACCUUUGGUUCUUAUCUCUAUAUAGAAAGAGGGUCAAGGUUCUUCUUUCUUUCUAAGCUUCUUGAGUUUUAAACAACCAUAUAGAAAUUGGGUCAAGUUAUUUUAUAACGUUGGUUCAUUUUUUGUUCAUUUUAAGUUCGUGAGUUAUAUCUUGUCAAGAACGAAUGGGAACUUAAUAAUCAUGACUCGUGAUUUCAAUACGUAACAAGGUCCAUGUCAUGAGUUAAAUCCGUUCACUCAAUAAAAUCCUAUUUUAUCACAUUGUCACUAUUGUGUCUUUUUAAUGAUUAACAUGAUCACUGUUAACAAAUGGCUAUGAUAAAUUGCUCGUUCGAGAACAAGUAACCGUGGUCACGUUCCAUGUUUAUUAAUCCACACAACACCAAUGAGAGGAUAUCGUUAACUCUUUAAUUGAGCUAUAAAUUCCAUUAUUGCUAAUAAAGUCAUGCCAUACACAAGUCAUGUACCCAACAUACCAAGUAACGGAUCGAUCAUCUUUACAACAUAAGCUUCCACUUAUAUCAAAGCACAUGAGUUACAUAUGCAUGGUCAUUGACUAACUCAGGAUUUUGUUAAAUCACACCAUGAAUGUCACAAGUGAAUUAAUUCAUCUUGGGUCCAAUCCAAUGUAUCAUUCUACCAAUGAAUACAUCUAUGUCUCUACUCGUGGAGUAAACUGCUCUGAUAACCAGGACUAGUCAUCGCCUCAAUUGGAAUUGUAAACGACAUAAUAAUCCUUCUCAGUAUUUGAAUCAAAUGCUCACUUUGAUUUUUUUAUGGGAUUACAGACUCUUUUAUAUUAUCUACUAAAGUAAGUUGUCUUUCUCGCCACGUAAACAUUUUUAUAAUUCAACUUAUAAUCAGUUUGAACUUAGAUAAUCAAUAAGUUAAUAUUUGUUUGUCACAAAUUCACUAUGCAUGCAAAAUAUGAAAGGCAUAAAUACAUAAGACAUAAUAGUAAAAUGUGAACUUUAUUUAUUCACCGUUCAAAUACAUAAAAAAUAAUUACAUAUUUACUACAAUAACAUUUCCUAACACAACCAAGAAGGAAUCUGGCUCGCGACCGUCGAACACCCGGAUGUGGCACACAUUUUGACACGGGAUAAUAGUUGAUUUACUUUAUUAUUGUACUUAUCAUGUUAACAUUUCAAUAAAUAUCAAACAUGUUUAUUGCAUCGAUGUCAAACAUCUUUAUUUUUUAAAAUAAAAAUAAUUUUUUCAUUAAAGUUGGCCUUUGUUAUAAAUUAUUAAUUUGUAUUGUGUAGCAAAAAUGUUUUUUUUUGCAAAGUACAAUAAGUUGAUUACAAUAAACAAUUUAAUAGGUCUAUUCAUGAGGUGUUGUAAUUGUACCAUCCCUUCGGUGUGGACAUGAUGACAUUGUAUGCCUCGAUUGCCUUCACCACCCACAUAACGUUGGUUGGUGUGGCUUCUCCUGGAUAUCGAUGUUAUCGCAUAUCCAAGUGGACGUCGGUCGACCUUUUGGUUUGUGACAAAAUAAUCUAUCGGGUAACAACUUGAAUAGAGCGUUAGAUACAGAUGGCCACUUGCGUUCAUUAGGGACCUAUAGGAAUACAUUUCUCCACACGUUGUACAUGUUUACCUAUUUGUAGACUUCAUCCACAAAGCUUAUUAGAUCCAAACGUAGACUGCUACAUGCUACAAUUACAUGAGCGCAUGGAAAUCGAAGUGCGUCAAAUCUCCCACAGUCACAGGUUCAAUAUCUGAGGUGUACACGGUACGCUCCCCCAACAAUCUUUUGGUUGGGUCUUUCGAAUUCUAUUACCCAAAACCAUAGGUCUUCACGCGAGUGACACACUAGAUGCAUACAAUUCACUCGUGUUGUUGCCUUCCUAAUUUCUUUUAGUAUGUCCUCGCUCCAAACAUGGUCGCCCUGUAUCUGCCCAACAUAAUUCGCCGCUCGCUUUGGAAAAAUUUCAGCCAAAUAGAAGUAUGUCACUUUGAUAACCGAGGUUACCAACAAAUGAUACGUUCUCUUCAAAGCAGAAUUGAUGCAUUCUGCCAGGUUUUUUGUCAUGUGCCCAAACCAUAGACCCUCAUCAUAGGAUUGUGUCCAUUGUUCAAAGGGUAUGUUACCGAGGUAGUCCUCCCCGUCAUCAUUAAUGGCCUGUAAGUUUCUCAGCAUUUCACAGAAACAGUCUUUGAAGAACUCAUACCCUAUCAACAAAAGUGAAUAAUAGUUUAUCCAUAAUGCCCAACAUUUUUUCACUGGUUAAAUAUCAAAGAAUAAUUAAUAGUGGCAAUUAUAUACCCAUGUUGAUCACUUGUGCUCGUGAGCAGUAGAGUCGUAUUAUCUGUGGUAAAUCGAUGAACAUGCCUUAGACAAUACCUAUGGUAUGUGUGGUCCCAAAGGCUUCCCUGUCGUCCAAAUAUGGCUAGAAUUUUAGACCCUCAAUUUGAGAUGAUGCAAAUAUCGAGUUGGGGGAAAACAUGCCUCAUCAACUUAGAAAGGAAGAAUCCCAAUCAUCUGUUGACUCUCCAAGCUUGAUUGCAAAGGCAAUCGGUAGGAUUUUUCAAUUGUCGUACUGUGCCACACCCAACAACAACCAAUGGGUAUAUCUCUUGUACAUAAAAAUACCUUCGUUUGUACAAGUGGCUUACAGUAUUGGAAUGCCUCUCGACAUUGCAUGAAAGUCCAAAACAAAUGUUUGAACACUUGGGAUCCAUGGAGCAACCGAUUGUUGUAGUACGCAACCUGAUACGUACAUCUUCAAGACCCGACAUCACUGCCAUAUCUCAUUGUACGACGCAUUCCACCCACUAUGCCUUCUCCAAUGUCUUCUGCUUUAUGAUCCACGCCUUGCAGUACGAAGACGUGUAAUCGAACUGGCUAUAAAAAUUUGCAAUUAGAACUAGCAUAACAAUUUUAGGACUCGUUUUGACUACAGGUAGUAUUAUAUCUGCGAUCAUCUUUGAAUCCAAUUUCGAAUGGUCCCGUGAAAUACUUGCAACAACACGAGUAGGUUAAGAUUAACAAUUCAACCGUGUCAUACACUAAACCAGUAUUAGUGCAGUAUCUGUGACAACACACGUAUACAGAGCGAAAAAUUUCUCUAUCGUUCACAACCCCGUCUUUCUCUUAACAGAUAUCAUGAUUUUCCAUGCAUAUCUGCUGUCUCGCAUUGCGCACUUCACCUUGAACUUGUCAGAUCAGGAUUUAACCACAUAGAAGUUUACCCCGUUCUUGAUUUUGUAUCGCUUCACUGUAACGAUAAAACCAUCUUCAGUUGAGAACUCUUUCCCCACUUCUAAAUCACCCAAAUCCAUCGAAGAAAUUGUUUGGCCCGACCUUCUGGGUGGUAAUUCUGCAAACUCCAUUCCAUCAUCUAUAAAUAGGUCCACAUUAUGCAUGUGGACUGGAGGUGAGUACGCCGUGAACCAUGGAUCUUUUUCAGCAUCGUCACUGAGACAUUUACCAUUUGAACCCUCUAUCUCUUAGUUCGGUUGGAAUCAGUUCUAAUUCAGAAAAUAAUGCAUUUUCUGAACCAUCAACACCAACAUCUUCCAUGUCAUUCCCUUGUAAGUGUUCCUAGCAUUGAACACCAGCUAACUGAAGUUUAAACCAGAACCACUAACUAAGUGUUGUGCAGGGGUCCUACCACAAAACCCCGAUUGAUCGGUGUUCUGACUGCUGUGGUUGAAAACUAGUGCUGAAACAGAUGGAUGUCUUCCCAUUGAUGAUUCUGGGAUAUCAUAAUGGAAAUUUUCUAAUUGAGAGGUGAACCCACCACACAACUGUGUCGUUGGACUCUCAACUUGUUCUUCCAUUCUAGCCACUCGAAUAGGAACAUAUGUCGACCUCCGAGGACCUUCAUAUGUCCUUGUAAACUCCACAUAUAACUCGAGAAAUGGUGAUCCAAUUCCAAUAUGCGUCUGCACUAUCGCCUCUAACCCCCUCACACCUCUGAUUUUGAAAUCGUCAUAUCUGAUAGGGUCGACUGAAGCACAAAAUUGAUAUUUAAGGGACAAUACUCUAAUCUGGUUGGAUCUGAUAAUUUUUUGCCUAAUUCUUUUCCAAAGUUAUGGCAAUUCUAUGUUCUGGUUAAAAGCUAACCGCGUUGUGUUCUCUGAUAAAAAAAUGACACCAUUUUCGGUGUCAUGCACUUCACCAUCGUAGUAAACAAAAGCAUUCAUUCGUCCACUCAUUUUUAGAUCUAGAUAACCUAUUCCACAUGUUCGACACAAAAUUAUCAUGUAGAGAAAUAGUGCUGUAAUUAAAUAUGAACAACAAAAAUCAAUGCUACUUUACACAAUUGCUCCAACUUAUGCCUUAUAUGUGAACUUCUCCUCUUCUGAUCUUCUUACAAUUUUUCUUUACUCGUAAAUGGAUUAUGCCACUCGAUGUUGAAUUAAUUUGGUUUUAUAAACUAGAGGCGACUUGCAGUUGGUUCAGAAAAUUCUUCAGGCCUAGUGGGGAGUUAAAAAUUGUAAAGAGAAAAUGCUCCAAGUAGGAUGCACUAUCUGAAAACACUUUCAAGUGGGCACACUUUCAAUGUUUCUAAUGAUAGUGUUGUUAGAGUAUGCCCAAAGACCAAUCAUGAUAUGAUUGCAAUAACUUACUUAUUUUACCUCGUUUAUUAGUAUAAGGCAUUGCCAUUAUUAUUUCAAUUUUUUCUAUGUAUAUAAAUAAACUAUUUUAUAAUAAUAUCUUAAGAAUAAUAUGAUUAUUCUUAGAAGGUCCUUAGUCGAGUAUUAUUGUGAGCUUGGACAACAAUAAUGCAUUAAGACUCACGCGUAGUUUAUUAAUGACAAAGUGUUUUCAUUGACAUGGCAUGUCAAAAUCAAUACAUGAGUAUAUGUGUGAACAACAUAUUGGACUAACCCGCUAUGAGUAUGUUUCUUGGAUUAUUAUGUAAUAGUCACAACGUUACUCAUAGUGAUUACUAUGUAUACGAUCCUCAAACUUAAAAUCAUCAUUAUCUUAACAUCAUGAGUCGUAUAUUUUGAUACAAUCAAACAUCCACCGUAACUGGUUGUUCUAUAAAGGCUGAUGUUGGAUAUACUACAAUCUAUGUAGUGGGAUAUGGUUGAUCAAUAUAGGAUUUGCCCCUCCUACAUAAUGGGAGCAAUAUCUUAGGCUACUUGAUUGAAUGAAACUAGAAAUGCAUGACCAUGCUCGAAUAAGUUGAUAUGAGAUAUCAUACUUAUUUGUUUAUCAUAGUCUACUCAGGAUAUCAAGAAACAUUCAAUAGACUAUGCAAGUGUGAAUAUUCCAUAACUUGUGUCCAUUAUAGAUAUAAAGAACAAAAGGAUUAAUACAUGAAGGGUUAAUCACAGAGAGGUUAUAUUGAAUCAUGACUUCUUAUAACUUAGGUAGCAAUGAUGCAUUGCUAGAUGCCACUCAUUGUUUGUAAUAUUAGAAUCGUUCUAGUAUUACUGCUAACACUACAAGAACAUACAAGGUCACACUCUAUGGUUAAAACGAGCGGAAUCCAAACAUAGUUGGUAAUAUUUUUAGCUGUCACAUGAAUUAAAUUGAUUAUAGAAUUAAUUUAAUUGAGCAUUUAAAUAUCGAACAAAUUAUAUGUACAAGCAUGUUGUACACAUAAUGAGAACAUGAUUAAAUUAAUAUAAAUGAAUUUGAUUCGUAUAAAAUUUAACUAAACAUAAUUUAUCGAAAUCAUUGUUAUAAUUGUUGUAAUUAUAAUUUACGAUCGAAUAUUAUUAUAAUUAUUGUAAUUAUAAAUUUUCGAUCAAACAUUAUUAUAAUUAUGGUAAUUAUAAUUAUUACAUUCGGUUAAUUAUUAUAAUGAAUUUUGAUUCAUAUUAAAAAUAUCAACUAUUCCCAGAUUAGGAAAUAUAGGGUUUUUAAGAAAACAUAAUAUACUUGAAAUAAAAAGAGUGAGGUCUUGCAGCCAUUAUAUAGUGAAUUCUCUCUGAAAAUUUUAAGAGAGUUCUUGUCGUUCGUUGCGACACCAGGUGGAUUAUGUAGAAACCGAAACUUUUCGUAUCGGCUUGGAAUCGACAUACAAUUGCGUACUCAAUUUCACAACAAUUAUCUGUAGUUUUUCAGACGAUUAAAAGUAAUCGUUCAUACCCUUCUCACCCCGAUUCAUUUCUCGCACAUGGAUCCCUCGAUGUGAUCUCCAAAUUUAAUUUUUUUCGGCUGCACCAUGGGGUGUACUAGUGUUCUUACAAGUGCGUCCUACUUGGAGUGUUUUCUCUCUAUAAAUUUCAACCCCAGCCUUAUUCCAAGAAACUCAUCAUAUAUCCCGAGAUUCCUGAGAUAUAUUUUCUAAACCUAACUAUUUGAAAAUAAUAGAUAAGAGAAUAAACAAUUUACUAAAAAAUUGGAUCAAACAAAUAUUAAGAAAGCGAAAAAAUUAAUAACUAAUAUUUCAUCCCUCGCGAGUAGACCAGGUUUCGAUUAUGAAUCCAAUUCAAUUUUCCAAUUUGAAUAUACGAUUGGUGUAAAUACGAUGUUUUAAAUUUUGAAAUAAAUAGUUAUUAUUUAACAUCUCAAAAAAUUAUUACAAAAUAAAUAAUUAAAAAACUCAAAAAAAAGAAAUUAUUAAACCCUAAACUCAAAAAACCUUACUUUAUAUACCCAAAACCCUAACCCUAAAAACCAAUAACCCUAAUUUUAAAAAAGUCUGGCAUUGGAAAAAUCAGAGGAAAAGUGUUUCCAGCUAGAAGUGUUUUCAGCUGACUUGGCAGAAAGUGCUUCCAACUAGAAACGUUUUUCAGGCAACACGUUGAAAAUGCUUCCAACUGGAAGUGUUUUCCAAAAAAUGGUCUAUUCCCGUAAAUUUUCCUAAAAUCGGCCUAUUCACGUAAUUUUUUUGACAUUUAUUGGUAAGUUAGUCCAAUUAAAAUAAUUUUAAUUCUUGAAUUAAAAUAAGUUGAAUUUAGAAAGAAAAAGAAAGUCUACCUUGUAGCAUGUCUGUUUGGUUUUCUCUCUGUCUGCUUGUAAAAUGGUGGAAGAAAUGGUGAAUCUCAAUAUAGCAGAAGAUAAGAAAGAGCCGGUGCAAGCUUUGGGGGAUAAAGAUGUGGUAGAAGAGUAUUAUAGCCUAUGUUUGGUGGGGCGGGUAUUAACGAAUAGUGUGGUUCAUUUCCCAUUUACGAGGAAUAUUUUGGUAGAUCUGUGGCAUCUGUUGGGGGGAGUAUCCAGCACGGAUAUUGGGGAAAAGCGAGUCCUGUUUUGAUUUUUCAAUAUGAUAGAUCUGAGGAGGGUGAUGGAUGGAAUGCCCUGGUUUUUUAACAUACACCUAAUUAUUUUCCAUUAACUAGAGAAGGGGGAAAGAUCCUUUGCAAGUCCCUCUCAUUCAUGCCUUAUUUUGGGUGUAAGCGCAUAAUUUGCCGAUGGGUUUCAUGUUCGAAGGAAUGGCGCGUAGAUUGGAAACUUUAUUCGCCAAUUUCUAGAGUAUGAUGUUGCGUUAAUAACAAGGGGAGUAAGGAAGUUUAUGCGUAUUAGGGUUAAAUUAGAUGUCCUGGUUCCGUUGAAAAGGAAGAAGCGUGUAGUCUUUUAGCAUAAUAGAUCCACACAUGCACAGUUCCAAUAUGAGAAGAUCACUUUGUUCUAUUUUUUAUGCGGUAGGUUGGGCCACGGGGAAGGAUUUUGUCCUGUUAGAUUAAUGCUAGGAGCACAGGAGGUGGUUUUUGGUUGGGAUAGCUCGUUGUGGGCUUCACCGCAGAGGGCGGUGCCGGUUGCUAGUUGCUGGCUGAGGGAAGAUCCGGGGGAUGGAGUUGGAUAGAGGACAAGAGGGGAGGAAUUUUGGGGAUAUUCAAACUGCUCAAUCUUAUAACAGUGAACAAGCGUUGUUUUAUUAAUGAUAAUUUGAUAACAAUAUUGUUGAAAAUACCAAUUUGUUUAGAGCUACUGAAGUCUCUGUUUCUCCAGGUUUAUGAAAGCAAAUACAUGAAUGGUUACCUUUCCCAGUUGGCAUAAUUCCAGUAGGGGUGAAAGUAGAGUACUUCCUCCUCAAGUUCAACUCCAAACUUGCUGUCAACCUUAUCCUUCACCAAAGCAAUGAGAUUGAGCAUGUCUUGAGAAGUGGAGGCACCAUUAUUAACUAAGAAAUUGGCAUGGAUAUUGGAAACCAUUGCUCCUCCUAUGCUACACCCUUUCAAUCCAGCUUUAUCAAUCAACUCAGCUGCUGAAACACCCAAAUUCACCGGAUUCCGAAACACCGACCCAGCGCUGCGUUCAUUUACUGGUUGAGUUGCUCUUCGCCUGCAAAUAACAAUUGUUUAUCAGUAAGCAAACCUUUUUCAUACACAGGUUUUGACUUUAAAAGACAGGCAACCUCUUCAAAAGCUCUUGUUGCCUUUUCUUAGCUGACCCUGAGCGCUCUAACCGGAACGUAGCAGCCACGAUUGCUGCCAAGUUGUCCAUGUCCUGAAACGAUGAUGAUCGGUAGCCGAAAGUGAGAUCAAUUCUGUUCAGUGUCCGAAAAUUUCCUUCAGUUGUAACAAUGUCUACGCUUUCAAUAACAUUGGCAGUCUCCUUCAAAAACAAAUGAUCCUUUUUAGCUUCUUCAACCACGAAAAGUAACAAAAAUCCAUUAAUGGUUAGGGUUUAAUCUCAAGAUAAGUUGAAGUCUGAACUCGAGUUCCAUUCAAAAUUCGCAACCCAAAAUCCAAAUCGAGUAUGAUGAACUAUUUCAAACUUAUAUAUCAAAUAACUUUUCUCUACCUUCAACUUCAAACUCAAUUAUUUUUGCUCGAGCUUCGAAUUCCAAAUUAGAAUACUCCAAUUCUAGAGCUCGACAAUGACCGAACCAAAUUGGAGUUAAGAAUUAGAGACAUACCUGACCAUUUGCUCCAGCAUUCAUGUAAGUUGCACCUCCUACAGUCCCAGGAAUGCCUGCUGCAAACUCAAGACCUGUAAAUCCUUCAUUGCAACUCAGACUUCCCAAGUGAUUAAAUCGAAAACCACUACCAGCCCUAUAAACUCCAGGUUCCAUCCUCUCUAAGAAGUCAAUCUGAUUUAGAAUCACACAACCAUCAAAACCCAGAUCAUCAAACAGACAAUUUGAGCCUUUGCCAAUCACAACGUAUGGAAUGGAAAACUCACGACAAUAUCUGCAUUACGUAUCAGUUGAAAUCUAAAAUGUUGGUCAUUGAAUCAAAGAGCUUUCAGCCUUGUCAAAAGAAUCAAAUUCAAAUAAAUUACCAUUUCUACUUUAUUAAGAUAAGGUUGAAGAUAGCAAGAAGAAUGAAACCUGAUGGCAGAAAGCAGAUGGGUUUGGUGAAAGACUUGAACAAAGUAAUUGCAAGGGCCACCAAUGCCCCAAGUGCUAAGAUCCUUCAAGAGUUUCUUGCCUCUGACGAAUUUCAAGGCAUUCCAAUUCUGGGUUUGCUCUUUGUUACUGGAAAAAAUGGGGGUUGAGUUUCUAGGAGAUUGAACAACGGGGAAGGCCAUGGACGCCAUUUUAGUGAAGGUUGGAGGAGUUGGGAGCAUGAGUGACGGAUUUUGUCGGGAAGUUGAGAACGGGAAAUUUAUUUCCAUCAGGUUCUUGAUGGGAUUUCACUAUCAAAGAUUUAAACACUUCCGUUUAAUGCGUUAUUACGGUAAAAAGUUCUUUCACUCCACUCAAUUUGGGAAAUAGUAACUGAGGGUUAAUUUUAUAUAAUUUUGAUUAAUAUAAUAAUUACAUAUUUUAACAAUUUAAUUUUAAUCCUAAAAAUUUAAUAAAUUUAACAUUUAAUAUAUAAAAAUCAAUAAAAAAAUACAAUUUAAUCUUCAGCACCCAUAGCAAUUCUUCCUCCUAUCUUUGGAUCCUUCCAUCUUAUUUUUGAAUUCUAAAGCUCUAAAUACUUUCACAAAUAAUGUUUCUUUUUUCUUCUUAAUAUCUGAAAAUCGUAAAGAUUCAAGGAAGCUUCUUUAGAUUCACUUUAAGACGGUAAUGUAUUCCAUCGACAUCCAACCUCUUUUGUAAUAAGUCGUUGAUUAUUUUUAUUAUUUUCCUCCAUCGACUAUAUUUUUCUUCUCAUAUUUAGUUCCAAUCAACAUAAUUAAUCUGUUUCCAUUCCCAUAUUAAUUGCUUUUACUUUUCCUUUUUCUUCCCCUUCUUGAGGUUAAGAAAUCCCAUAAAAGUAAUUUUUUUUAAUCAACUGAGGUGUUUGUCUGGGUUUGGCUUAGUUGCCCAUCUCAACAAAGCAAAAGUUUUGAGAAAUUGGGUUCUGAAUUCUACAUUGGAUGGGUUUUGAGAAAUUAAGGUUCCUCCGUUAGAUAGGUUCAACGCCAUUUAUAUAUGUAAAAAGAAGAGCAUUCAAUAUGGGAAUGGAAAUUGGAAACAUUUUAACUUUACCACCAUCGGAUCAUGCCCAAACUCAAACCAGCAGCACUUUUCUUUUUC
rnacentral:lncRNA from 1 species